rnacentral:lncRNA from 1 species
UACAAGUCCCCACCACCUCCAGUUUACAAGUACAACUCACCUCCACCUCCUCCCCCAGUUUACCUGUCUCCACCUCCACCCUAUCAUCACUACUACGGUUCUCCUUCUCCUCACCACUACUAAGCAAGUGCAUAAGUUUUGAGGUAAUAAUACCUAUCCAAAACUUUAUCAACACAAACUGCCAUGUAUAUCAUGCUAAGGACGUACACUUGAUCCAUGAAAAUGACUAGUAGAAGAUUUUUUUUAAGAACCAAAGAAAUACAUUAUUUUUUCGGUCUGUUUUCAAGAAUUUGAGCAGUAUACAGAUUAAAGAGUGUUUUUUUUUUUGUAAACUUGCUUGUCAACUUAAAAAUGCACAUAGCUGAAAGCCAACUGAAUAUUUGCAGGCAAAGGAGAAGGCAAUCGGUGUUUGAGACCUUCAAGAAGAUGUAGAAGAAUAAGAAUAAAAGCCCAAUGCGAGGAUGAUUCCAAGUUUCUACGUUACCAUUUCUACAUCUAAAUUGACUUUAGCUCCUGAGUUCCAUGUUUAUGGGGUUUGUACCGUUUUACGUACCAUGCAGUACAUGCUUGCAAGGUUUUCUGUCCUGUUGGCAAACUGCAGGUCCAUAUAAUAAAUGAAUACUAUUUACAUUACGACACUUUUCUCUUUUUCUCUUAUAUUUUGUCUUUAAUAUUGUUGAUCAUUUUUUUUUUAUCAAAAGCAUCAAAUGCUUAGGUAAUUUGGUCUAAUGCUAAUUGUUUUACUUUUAUUUUUCACCUACACCCCUUUUCAACUCAAAGGAUGCUAUAGUUUGUGAUAAUUGUUUAAGACCGAAGCAUGAUACUAAUAAAUAUCUCAUUGAAAGUCAAGGAAACUAACAUUAGGAAAAGUUUAAAUCUUGAUUUGAUGAAACUAUUUAUUCGUGGAAUUUAGAGAUACAAAACUCAAAUUGUGACGGUGUUGUUGCUAAAUUAUUAAGGACAUUAUCACCAUUAUUUUUCCCUGAUCACUAGUUUCAACUGCAAUGAUCUCAAUCUUUUUGUGACUAAUUCUUUCCUUAAUAAUUUAUAAAGACAAAACUCACAAAGAAUAUGUGACUAAUUCUUUCCUUUCGUCUUCUAAAGAAAAUGCCAACUGUUAGUUUAUCAAGGGGAAAAAGGAUCGACAUCAGUUAUUAUUGAAACUAGUAAGGAAUAAAUAAUGGUGAUAAUGUCCUUAAUAAUUUAACAACAGCACCAUCAGAAUUUGACUUUGAGCUUCGGUCUUAAACAAUGAUCACAAACUACAGCAUCCUUUGAGUUGAAAAAGGAAGUAGGUGAAAAGAAAAGUAAAAAAUACAAUUAGCAUUCCCUCAAAUUGUAGAAAGUUAGGUAGCAUUAUAGACAAGUUGAUAGCGGCAAUUUUACAUUUCAAACUUCACCUAUUCAAUAACUAAUUCGAUGGCUUGCUACAUGGUCAAUCUUUGGACCCCUUCCUGCCUCCAGAUAUCCCUUUCCUCAAUCAGGGGCUUCUACAAUUACCAGUUUCAAUUGUAUGGUAUAGUGUAAAUAUCAACAAAUUAGAUGUAGAUGCUAACAUAAUAAAUGUGAAUGCUAAGACAGCAACAUACAAUCGAACCUGCAAUUGUAUGAACCCCAAUCUCGCUUCCUAGUCCACCAUCUUUCUCUAGGUAAUAAUCUCCCUUCUAAUUUAUUCACAAAAUGCACCUUUCAUCACCUCCAAUAGCGUCGACAUGAUCUUUACCCUAGAAGACUAUUCACCGACUCUCAAUUGACGUCAGAAAAUCUAAGAGUAAUUCUACUUUACCCUAAGAUUGAUAUCAACAAGACAAGGACAAUUUAGAAUUAUUACACGCCUCUUCUUAAUAGGAAAAAGAAAUAGAGAAGAAAGUCAGGCCAGGUCUAAUUUCUUUUCAAAGGCAAUACAACAUUACGAAAUCAAGCAUUCAUUCAUACAAAUAUUUCAUAGUCACCGGUUUGCUGAGUAGAAAAAUUUAGACAAAAACUUAAUAUUAUAUUGUUUAAGAGUUAACAAUUUAGAGCUUAAUCUCCUUGUACUUUGGAGUUAACAAUUUAGAGCUUAAUCUCCUUGUACUUUGGACUAAACUUGAACGUGAAAGGAAAUCCCAAAACCAUAUUGGGCAUGAAUUCACACUUAAUAUACCCAAUAAAAGAUGGCGACUGGUGAAAGGCAGUGGAGACUGGUGGAGAGAUUUGAGGAAUAGAAGCAGACGGAAAAGCAACAAAUUUUUGCCGAAAAACGGUCACUUUCAUGGUUAAUUUUGCUACUCUCCAAUUGUACUUGACCAAUUACAACAAUUUCAUGGAGUUUGAUACGUGAAAAGAAUUUUUUAUAAAUUUUAUUUUGAUCCAUAAUGUUAUCUUUACAUAUAUAAAACAUUUUACAAUUUUGAUUUUGGCGCAGCUAACUUUUGGUUAACAAAAAUGCUCAUGUUUAAAAAACCAGAAAUAAAACAAAACAAGAAACAAAAGAAAUAAGAGGGUAGCAUAGACAUUUUGGAUUUUUCCGUUAAUUUGGAUGAUUUCCACCCACGUUCUAAUUUAAUCCAAAACACAAAGGAAUUACGUAGAGGUUUUAAAUAAUCAGGGAGCUUCAUGAUCGAACCCCAAACCACGUGAUAGCAUACAAGAGUUCUAUUUCACUAUCGGUAGACAAAGACUUUCUAUGGUUGAUGUACCGUAGGAAAAAAUCUGCCUAUACAACGUGAUAGCAUUUUUUCAAAAACACAAGAUGGAAAAUUGCCCCCUUAAACGUGGAAAUUCAUGAUCUUUCCUCGAACAAAGAAUACUCACGCCUAUUCAAGAUGGAAAAUUGCCCCCUUAAACGUCUAUUUGUCAAUUCUUGAAAAAAGAAUACUCACGCCUAAAACACGGCCUCUUCAUCUGCAGAAUUCUAAAAAGUUACGUAAACUCUAUAAACAAGUUGAUAGGUACAAUCGUACCCAAGAUCAAGUACAGAUAGUUGUACAUUCACUGCUGCAAUAACUAAUCUGAUGACUUACAAACAUAUCAUGGUCAAUCGUUGAAUGGUAAUGAGUCUUUUGUUAUGCAUUAGUAUUAGUGUGUACACUCUAAUAGAUUGAUACUUAUACUCUUUAAAUUAUCAUAAUAAUACCCUUAAUUAACUUUAACUCUUAAAAAGAAUACGUGUUAAUACACGAGAGUGUGUAACCUGAAUUGUUACUUAUACAUUAGUGUGUAAUAGAUAGGGAUGGCAGUGAGGGCGAGUGCCCGCGGGGGGCUCUCGGGGCGGGGGCGGGGGAGAAUUUUUUCCCCCCGUUUAGAAACGGGGCAGGGGACGGGGGAGUAUACCCCCGCCCCAUCCCCCGCCCCGCCACCCGCAAAAAAAAUUAUAUAUAUAUAAUUAUAUAUAAUAUGUAAUUUAAUUAGUUAUAAACUUAUGAUAAUGAUAUUAUUAGUUAGAUGUAUUAUAUAAUGUAUAUUAGUGUAUGUAAUAUAAUUAAUAUUAUCAAUUAUACGAAUAAUUAGACAUGUCCACUAAUAGAGUUUAUUAAUUAGUUAUACUAAAUUUACUAAUACAUUUGUACUAAAUUUCUAAUUACACUUAAUAGAAUAACACUUUUUUCUAAAAAAAAAAGCACAAACACAAUAAUGAAUUAGUGAUUGUAUUUGUACCAAAAGUGAAAACUUAACUAUUUUAGUUGUAUUUAUUUCAUCAUGUUGGAUUGUAUUCAAAUAAUUUUUGUUUGAUUGUUUUUAUGAGUUUCAAUUGUAAAAUUAAAAUGAAUAAUAACUUGAUGAUGUGUUGAUAUUUUAGUACUUGAUUAUUUAUUGAUUUAACUAUAAUAAAAUUUUAUUUUAUUAAAAUUUAACUAUAAUAAAAUUUUAUUAACCAAACGAGUUAUUAAUCCCGCGGGGGCACCCACGGGGGAAGCGGGGCGGGGCGGGGGAGUGGGAGGCGGGGGACGGGGCGGGGGUGGGGGGAGUUGUAGGUAGCGGGGCGGGGGAUGGGGGAGGGGUCCCCCGCCCCAACCCCGCCAUCCCCCGCCCCGUUGCCAUCCCUAGUAAUAGACUGGCAAGCAUUGUGGUGGUCAUUGAGAACUUACUGGAGAAAUAGUCCUAUAAGCUGUUCAAUGAGCAAUCACAACUUGCUAAUUGGAUGACUAAUAUAGCUCUAGCUGUAAUGUUUUAAUUAAAUUACAUCACUAACGUUGGGAUGACUUUUUAACCAAAAAAAAAUGCCUUAGUUCAAGCUUUUCCCUUUAUUGUGCAUUUUUUAAAGCAUUUGAUAGGCACUGCAAAUCUGUCAUUUUGGACAUUUUAUUAUUGACUAACAAUGAAAGCCGUGACGUCUACCCAUAACCAACACAAGAUUAAAUUAAUAUUAGAAAAAAUAAUUGAGUAAUUGGAAAAAAAAAAAGAGACUCAUUUUCAUUGAAACCCACCGACAAACUAAACGUGUCCAUGGCUUUUGAAUAGUGCAUUCAACGUUUAAUUGUAUAGUCCAGUUCAUUGCAGAUUACAUGGAGUAAAGAUUGUGCUCUUUCCUUUUUCACCCCUUUUGGAAUCGAUACUGUGGAGAAUUGGGUUUUUCCCUUCUUUUUUUCUUUUCUUUCCUUCUGUGCUUUGCAAAACAUAGGUAAAAAUAUGAAAUCCGAAGCAUUCUUUAAUUGGGAUUAAGUAUUGUUGUUGAAAUUAAAAAGAAAAAAGAAAGAACAACAAAAUUCCCAAUCUGGGUUGAUUGUUGAGCUCUAGAUUGGUUGCAUCGUGCUUCCAUAGAAGCUCUCUUAGUGUGAUACACUGCUUUCAAUCAGUUUAACACGGGAAAAAAAAAAAAAGAGAUGAAAAGCAAAUUUGGUGGGGAUAAUUUCAGAAACCUCCCCUGAAGAUUUUGACUAUUCUACUGGUCUCCCUUCAGAUUUUAAAAAUUACACUAAUCUUCCUUGAAGUUAAUUAUCUUGUAACAUUUAAAUUCAAUCAAUAAUUUAAAAAAUGAUAUUAUGAGAGAGAAAAUAAUGAUUUUAUCAUUGCCCCCCAUCUUACUACAUUAUUUAAUUAAUUUAAUAGCAACCCACACAUUAAAGAAAAAUAUUAAAAUUUGUUGUUUAUCAUUAAAGAUCAAAUCGCUUAUAACAUCAAAUAAUAGUAUAUUAUUUAUAUUUUUCACUCAAUAUAAUAUCCAAAUUACUCUUUUCAAUUACAUACCCAUUGUUAGACAAUCAACAACAAAUAACCAAAAAAUUUGCAACCAAAAUAUUACAAAAAAAUAAACUUUAACAUAUAAAUAUUCUUAUCAACAUAUUAAAGUUAGUUACUGAAAUUUUUAUGCUGUUAAACUUCACUCUUUUUGGUUACAGAUUUUUUUGAUUAUUUGUUAUUAAUUAUGUUUGAUGAUGGAUUUAUAAUUGAAAAGAACAAUUUGAAACUUACAUUAAGUAAAAUAUAUAGAGUGAUAUACUAUUUUUUAUAACAUAUGUGAUUCAAUCCUUCUUGAUAGGAUUGGUAAUAGAGGUAGAGGGGGGAGCCGGCUGCAUCCGGUCUACUUUUCAUAGAUAGUACAAUAUUGCGAAAUCGAUCGCAUUCACGCAAUAUUAUUUCCAAGUCAUUGCAUGGCUAAGCUGCAAAAAAAGUACGAACACAUGUUAUUAUAUAGCUUACGAUUCAAAACUUUAGAGCAUAACCCUCCACCUAACACAAUUGAAUAAUGAACAUUCACGUUUGUCAAAUCUGUCAAAGCACAGUUUGAGGACAACCCAUUCCAACCUGCAAAAGAUUUUUUACUUUUCUAAAGUUGUUGAGAGCUGUAAAAAGACUUACCAUGCUUGCAUCCUCCGAGCCUUGGGAGUUAAAAAUGAAGGCACUGAGUGCUAUAAAAAGGGGAAUAGAGGCUGCCUAGAAGCAUAUCAGCCUAAAACAAGAAUUUGUAGUUAAGAUGGGAAGCAAAGCAAAAGCAAUGGGGUCUGGGCUGACUCCUCUUCUUGCCACUGUUUUAGUGGUGUUUGUUGCUCUUGGCUUGCCCUCACAAACUGCAGCUGAUGAUCACUACAAGUAUUCAUCUCCUCCUCCUCCUUACCACUAUCCCUCACCACCACCACCAGUGCAUAUACCUCCACCUCAUCCUGUUUACAAGUACAAAUCUCCACCACACCCCCAGUACAAGUAUAAGUCACCACCACCACCUCCUCAUCCGGUAUACAGUCUCCUCCGCCACCACACACCCAGUUUACAAGUACAAGUCACCACCACCACCUCCUCAUCCGGUACCACACCCAGUUUACAAGUAUAAGUCUCCUCCGCCACCAGUUUACAAAUACAAGUCUCCUCCACCACCACCUCCAGUGUACAAAUACAAGUCUCCACCACCACCAGUUUACCACUACAAGUCUCCACCACAGUUUACAAAUACAAGUCUCCACCACCACCCCCAGUUUACAAAUACAAGUCUCCACCACCACCAGUUUACCACUACAAGUCACCACCACCUCCUCCCCCAGUUUACAAAUACAAGUCUCCACCACCUCCUCACCACUACUAAGCAAUUGCUUCUGAGGUAAUAACACUUGUUCAAUAUACCCACUUCUGCAUGAUAAAGCAUAUCUCUAUCAACACAAACUGUCAUGUCUAUCAUGCUAAGUGCCUUCACUUCAUCCACCAAAAUGACUGCUAGAAAAUUUUUUUUAUGUUACCAAAGAAAGGCAUCAUUUUUUCCCUCUGUUAUCAAGAACUUGUACAGUAUAUAGAUUAAAGAGUAUUUUUUUAACUAGCUUAUCAACUGAGAAAUGCAUAUAGCUGAUAGCCAGCUGAAUAUUUGCAGGCAAAGGAGAAGGAAACCAGUGUUUGAGACCUUCUUGAAGAUGUAGAAGCAUAAGAAUUAAAGCCCAAUGUGAAGAUGAUGAUUUCAAGUUUUUCUACGUUACCAUUUCUUUAUCUAAAUUGGUUGUAGCGCCUUAGUUCCUUUGUUUAUGGGAUUUGUAUCGUUUUACGUACCAUGCAGUACAUGUCAUGUUUGUAAGGUUUUCUAUCCUGCCGGCAAACCGCAGGUUCCAUGUAAUAAAUCAAUACUAUUUAUAUUACGACACUUUUCUCUGUUUCUCUUAUAUUUUGUCGUCUUUAAUAUUCUUAAUCAUAUUUUUAACAAAAAUAUUCAAACACUUAGGCAAUCUGGUCUAAUGCUAAUUGUAUGUUUUACUUUUCUUUUUCACCUGCUCCCCUUUUCAACUCAAAAGGAUGCAAUAGUUUGUGAUCACUGUUUAAGACGGAAGCAUGAUACUAAUGAAUAUCUCAUUGAAACUCAAGGAAACUAACAUUGCGAAAAGUGUAAAUCUUGAUUUGAUGCAACUAUUUAUUCGUGGAAUCUAUAGUUACAAAACUCAAAUUCUGACUGCGCCAUUGAUAAAUUAUUAAUGACGCUAUCAUCAUUAUUUAUCCCUAACUAGUUUCGACUACAACUGAACCCAAUAUUUUCCCCAUGAUAAAAGUUUUUGACUAUUUUACUGGCCUCUCUUCAAAUUUUAAAAAUUACACUAAUCUUCAUUGAGAUUAAUUAUCUUGUAACAUUUAAGUCCAAUUAAUAAUUAAAAAAUGAUAUUAUGAGAGAGAAAAUAAUAUAAUUUUAUCAUUGCCCCCCAUCUUGCUAUAUUAUUUAAUUAAUUUAAUAGCAACCCACACAUUAAAGAAAAAUACUAAAAUUUGCUGCUUUUCAUUAAAGAUCAAAUUGCAUAUGCCAUAAAACAUAGUAUAUCAUUCUAUAUGUUUCACUUAAUGUAAGAUCCCAAUUGUUCUUUUCAAUUACAAACCCAUUGUCAAUAACAAAUAACCAAAAAAUUUGCAACCAAAAUAUUACAAAAAAAAACUUCAACAUCAUAAAUAUUCUUACCACCUCUAGUGCAUUCACCCUCAUAAAAUAAUUCAAGACCCUACUGUCAUAAAAUGACUGAUCAACUCCCGUAAACCUAAUUUGACAACAUUUAAAUGGAGAACUUUAGCUAAAAGAAUUAUGGUCAAGCUAAAGAAAAAACCAGUUAUUUUCCAACAUAUGCAAUCAUUGAUCAGGGAAAAAAAAAAGAGCAAAAAGACAUCUUCAAUCAUUUAAUAGCUUACAGGGCAAAUUAACCCCUAAGCGAAAACUGGUUGCUCUAGAAUCAAAAUUUUACUUUAGUUACCCAGGCAACUUUUUUGUUGCUUUUUUUUUUUUUUUCCUUUAGUUUUGCCCCCUCUGUCAAGCUUAUAAAAUUAUUAAGAUAAUAAAAGUGCCUUGAAUAGUAUUAAUAUAUCCAUUGACUUGAGCUGUCGUCAGUUUGCGAUUCCAUGAGGCCUUUUCAAAGUACUCAGAAAAUGGGGAGUCAUGAAAUCCAUUUGUUCUAUUCAUUGCUAAGAUGCUUUUCUCUAUAAAGAGACUUCCUAACGAAAAUACUUUGUAGAUUUCUUUACUCCAAGUGGUGCAUGGAAAAUUAAUAUUUUCAAUUAUCAAAUAAAAUUCCCUUUUUUCGGCGUAGAUUUCAUCCAUCCAGCUGUUAACACAUUCUAUAAAUCCGAAUUGACUAAUCUUUUCGUUUCCAUUUUCCAACUUGCGAAUACGGCAUAUAGUGUCUGCUAAACACUAUAUAUUCUCUGCCAAAUAUGAAUACAUAUCACUUUUCUGAGCAAGUGCAGAGUCAUUAUCAUUUUUAUUCCCACCUAACAAAUUAGGGAUAAAAAAGUUAAUAAUCUUUACAUGCUAUCAGGUCACAAGUUAAUAAUCUUUUAAAGAACAUGUUAAAUUAAUUUAUUGGUAUGAAUAGUAGUCAAAGAAGUAUGUUAAAGUUAGUAAUCUUUAAAAUAAUAUGUUAAAAUCAUUCGUACAAAUUAGUCAGAGAAGUAGCAUAAACACCGCGAUGCAAUUAAUACUUUCAAUCUCAAGGUCUCUAUUAUGGAAAUUUGCAUCGGUCAAUAUACACUUGGCAUAAUAUAAUCUCCCAACUCAUUUCUUUACAAAUGCACCUUUAAUCACCACCAAAAGGUGUGGACAUGAUCUUUACCCUAGAAAACUAUUCACCGACAGGCAAAUUGACGUCAGAAAUACUGAGGAAUUCUAGUUUCCUUCGGGUUCAUGCCAUGUUGUAUCCUUCAACUGUAACUCGAUUUCUAAGCUGUAAUUUGUGACAUAAUAGUCCUUAAACUAUGAAACCCUUCUUACUUAAUUACAAUGGUUAAUACAAUGCCCGUGACUAGACAAGUAUGAAGCAACCAUAACAGAAAAAAAAUCCAAAAUUAGAGAAAAGAAAGAAGUUUCGCGACCACCACCAGUUUACAAGUCACCUCCACCACCUCCUCCAGUUUACAAGUCACCUCCACCACCUUACCAUUAUUCCUCACCACCACCUCCAGUGCAUUCACCCCCACCACCACCAGUUUACAAGUCUCCGCCACCACCUUACCAUUAUUCCUCACCACCACCUCCUGUGCAUGCACCUCCACCACCAAUUUACAAGUCACCUCCUCCAGUUUACAAGUCUCCACCACCACCUUACGAUUAUUCCUCACCACCACCUCCAGUGCAUUCACCCCCACCACCACCAAUUUAUAAGUCUCCCCCACCGCCUCCCCCAGUAUAUAAGUCACCACCACCACCUCCUCCAGUAUACAAAUCACCUCCACCACCUCCUCCAGUUGACAAAUCUCCACCACCACCAAUUUAUAAAUACAAGUCUCCUCCACUACCUCCUCCAGUGUACAAGUCAUCACCACCACCUGCUUACAAGUCUCCACCUCCUCCAGUUUACAGUUCCCCACCACCACCAAUCUACAAGUCUCCACCUCCACCCUACCAUUACUACUACAAUUCUCCUCCUCCUCCUCGUCACUACUAAGCAAUUGUAUCCAAGUUUUUGAGGUAAUAACGCUUAACCAAUAAAUUAACUUUCGCAUGAUAAACCUUAUCUCUAUCAAGACAAACUGCCAUGUGUAUCAUGCCAAAUACGUACACCUAGAUCCAUGAAAAUGAAUGGUGAGGAGGGCCAUUUAGGCUCGGAGCGCCCUAGGCCUAGUUCCCCACCAUUUCCUGAAGUGCCGCCUCGGGUAUUAUCCUGGAAGGCGAUCGCGGCCCAUUUACCACCUCGGCUACAAUGUCAGGUCGUAACACCGAGGUGGACAUUGAAUGACAACUACGAAAAGGGGAGAUGUGAUCUCUGACACCUGAGCAAAGGCUGCUCUGACCCGCCGCCUGAAUCUGACAGAAUGUCCCAUCACGUCUCUUCAUGGAGACCGGUCAAGUCCACCUGAUCCACUGACUAUCUCAGAUCUUUUGGGACCCGUGCAAACAUCUCCUCUCUCCUAUCAGUCCCCUAUAAAUACACGAUACUUCUACUGAAAAAGGAGAUGACCAAUUUCUGGUAAAACACACUCCACUCAUUAUUUACUUCUCUAUAUCCGAACUGACUUAAGCUUCGGAGUUAUACCGGGGGAUCCAGCCCCUUUCUUAUCCAAGCAGGUGACUUCGUCCAAGAGAGUUGCCCAAGGUAAAGAUAUUCUUCCAAUUGAGGUGACUCACUCCUGCGGGUCGAAAAUCACCUCUUCAAUUGGCGCCGUCUGUGGGAACCGCAAAGAUAUUAGAAGAUGAAGCCUGCGCGUUCUAGAAGCAGAAAAGCUCUCACUAUCGAGGCUGGGCAAAGCAAUGCAGCUCAACAAGAAAAUAUUUCUGAAGGGCAGGAGUCCCCAAGGACUCAGCCCGCAAACGAAAAAGCCAUAACCCGUAUGGCCGAGUUUGUGACCGAGAACCCCAACAUCUUUGAAGAGUUGGGAAGAUACCUGAAGAGGCAAGGCAAACAAAAGGCCGAGUCCUCUAAAAGGAUGUCAGAUGGGUCUCUUGAGGACUCAUCUGAGGAGGAGUCGGAUGGAAGGCACUUAAGCCGAAGUGCCUCAAAGCGAGCAUUUUCUAAGGCCACUUCUAAGGUAGCCUCCCUGACCAAGGCGUUUUCCCGAGGGCUCUUGGGCCGACGACCCGAGGAAGAACCUCGGCCCUUGGGAAUACCCGGGGUGGACUGCAUGAGGGCUCCACCGUUCACGGAUGAUAUAAACGAGGAAAGGCUUCCUCCCAAUUUUAAGCUCCCCGCAGUACAAUCUUACGAUGGCCGAGGUGAUCCCGAGAAUCACAUCCAUACCUUCAUCUCGGCCUUCCAAAUAUACUGCAUCCCAGACCCUGUCAUAUGUCGGGCCUUUCCAGUAUUCCUCAGAGGAACUGCUCGAAAAUGGUUCUGAGCUCUAGAACCUAGGAGCAUUUCGACCCUGGGUGAAUUAGUGGAGAAGUUUCUCCACCGAUUUGUCUCCUCCCGACCUACGACUAGGACCUCGGCUUACCUGCUCACCGUGCAGCAGAACCCGGGAGAGUCACUCCGGUCGUACGUCCGGAGGUUCCAUGAGGAAAGCGUUCAGAUACCUGACCCCAAUGAGCAGGUAACCCUCGCUGCCUUUACCCAUGGACUCGUUGCCGGGGAGUUCAAUACGGGGAUCCAUAAAAAAUACCCCCGCACACUGCAUGAAUUGUGGUUGAAGGUUGAAAAGGGCAUACAGGCCGAAGACCUCCAUCGCAUGAAGAAAGAGGUCCAAGCCACCCGUCCAAGGGCUGAGCCCAGAAAGGGAAAAGACGCUGGCCGAACUGAAGUAGGGUCGGGAAGUGGCUUCCGAAGUCCUGGCCGAGACCGCCGCAGCGUGUUCGACAGGAUAUCCAAGGGGAAGUCACCUAUUCCCGAGUCCGAGUUGACUCCUUUAAAUACUACCCGAUCUCACGUGUUGUCCGUGAUGGAACAAAACAACCUCGGCAAGGGCCCGCCGAGGAUGUUUGGAAGCAGAGACAAGAGGAACUCGAACCUCUACUGCUUGUAUCAUCGUGACAUUGGUCACGAAACUGAGGAUUGCAACGAUCUCAAGAAGGAGAUCGAGAACCUCAUUAGACGGGGACACUUGAAACAGUUCAUCCGCAGAGGUGGAGGUCACCAACGUGACGAAAACCGGCAUGACAAAUGAGGUGACCAACGCCGAGAUGAGCGGCGGAGCUCCAGAAGCAGUUGCCGACCUCCUGAGGAUCCCAGGGAGACGAAAAGGCCUCCCCCAGACGGAUCUUCGGGACAUGGGCCAACCAUUGCCCGGGUCAUUAACACCAUUGCCGGAGGUCCGACGGGAGGGGACAGUCAGAACUCCCGGAAGAGAACCUAUAAGCAGGCUAACCCGGAUCAGGCCGAGUCGAGUUCUCGCCUGUCCGAGGUGAUCACCUACGGGCUCAGUGAUCCCAUCCCAGCUGCAUCCAGCAGUCAUGAAACCUUGGUGAUUGAAGUCCUCACCAAUAACUACAUUGUGAAAAGGUCUACAUAGACCCGGGAAGUUCAGUUGACGUCAUGUACCUCCGUACCUUUGAGAGCCUUAAAAUGGCUAAGGGGUGCAUGACCCCGCUGAGAACCCCUCUUGUAGGGUUCGGGGGACACGUGGUGCACCCCGAAGGGAUGGUGACUCUGACAGUGACCAUAGGGCAUCACUCUCGCUGUAGAACCGUCCCUGUCAAUUUUGUGGUGGUUAAGGCUGACUCCCCAUACAACCUACUUUUAGGUCGGCCUACGCUCAAUGCCUUGCGGGCGGUCUACUCCACCUACCACCUGAGCUUCAAGUUUCCUACCCCAGCAGGGGUGGCCGAGGUCAGCAGCGACGUCUGUGCUGUCCGGGAGUGCUACCUCGCCACCCUACAAGCAGCCUCCCCGUCUACCUCCGGUGCGAGGUCCGAGAAGAGGUCAAAUAUCCUCUCAAUAGAUAGCAUCGAUCCUCAGUGAGCUGAGAAGGUCCCGAGGCUGGAGACUGGGGAUGAGGUGGAAGAGAUUCCCCUGGACCCCACGAAACCUGAUCAGACAGUUCGCGUUGGUACCCGAUUGCCCGGUCCUAUCCGAAGAGGUAUGAUGGACCUCCUCAGGGAAUACCGGGACGUCUUUGCUUGGGCCGCCGAAGAGGUCCAAGGAGUCCCGCACCAUCUCAUGAUGCAUGACUGAACGUCGACCCCCAAGUCCGUCCGGUCAAACAGAAGAGAAGGCACAUCGGCCCUGAGCGCAGCCAAGCUGUUGGUGAGGAAGUGGACAAGCUUUUACCCGCUAAAAUAAUCCGAAAAGUCCAAUACCCGAUCUGGUUGUCUAACUCGGUCAUGGUCAAGAAGGAUACGGGGGCUUGGAGAAUGUGCGUCGAUUUUACCGACCUCAACAAAGCCUGCUCCAAGGAUUGCUACCCCUUGCCCAAAGUCGAUACUUUGGUAGACUCAGCAAUGGGCUACGAGAUCCUCUGUUUCUGGGAUGCAUUCAAAGGCUAUCACCAAAUUGGGAUGAGUCAAGAAAACCAGGAGAAAACGGCCUUCUACACCGACCGCGGCACGUACUGUUAUACUACCAUGCCAUUCGGGUUGAAGAAUGCCGGAGCCACUUAUCAACGCUUGGUCAACCAAGCAUUCAAGUCUCAAAUCGGCCGGAAUGUUGAGGCCUAUGUAGAUGACAUCCUCCUCAAAAGCCAGACGAACUCCACCUUCCUGGCCGACUUGAAGGAGGUCCUUGACAUCCUGCGGAAGGUGAAAAUGAUGCUGAACCCCAAGAAAUGUGUUUUUGGGGUCACCUCGGGGAAAUUUCUAGGUUACCUCGUCUCAAGGCGAGGUAUCGAAGCAAAUCCGGAUAAGGUGCGAGCCAUCCAGGAGAUGUCUCCACCCCGGUGCGUCCGCGAUGUCCAAAGGCUGACAGGGCGAUUAGCCGCCCUGAAUCGGUUCUUAUCGCAGUCGGCAGCUAAAGCACUGCCCUUUUUCAAAGUGUUGAAGAAAGCUGACCAUUUCUCCUGGACGGAAGAGUGUCAACAGGCGUUUGAGCAGUUGAAGGAUUACCUUCACUACCUUCCAACGCUCACCUCACCUCGUCCGGGGGACAAAUUAAUCUUAUACCUUUCUGCUGCGGCCGAAGCGGUGAGUGCCGUGCUGAUAAGGAAGGAAGGGGUCCAAAUGCCCGUCUACUACGUUAGCCGAGUCCUCCGAGGUCCAGAGACCAGGUACACACAAGCAGAGAAACUUGUGCUAGCCCUGAUCCACGCCGCCCGCAGACUCAAGCCCUACUUCCUAGCUCACCACGUCUGCUUGAGGACUGAUCAACCACUUCGGCAGAUUUUGACACGACCAGAGGUUUCGGGACGUCUUACCAAAUGGGCCAUUGAGCUGGGGGAGUACGACCUAACUUAUGAGCCUCGCACAGCGAUCAAGGCCCAGGCUCUCGCAGACUUCGUAGCCGAGCUCACCUUUGACGAGGUGCAAGGAUCCGUCCCGGCUGCCACAUCGGCCACAGUUGAUGUGGCCACCACUGGGCUCCAGCGGUGGAUCCUACACGUGGACGGUUCGUCAACAGUGAGGGUAGUGGAGCAGGCUUGCUCCUCGAAGACCCCCAAGGAGAAAUAUGCUAAUAUGCCUUAAGAUUUGACUUCGCUGCUUCAAACAAUGAAGCUGAAUACGAAGCCGUCAUUGCUGGACUGCAGCUAGCUCGCAAGCUCGGGGCCGCACACAUCUUGGUUUAUAGUGAUUCCCAACUCGUCGUGUGCCAGAUAUUAGGUGAGUACGAAGCCAGGGACGAGGUGAUGCAUCGUUACCUCUCCAAGGUCCUCCAGUUGGCGACUCACUUCGAGUCUUUUGAAAUUCAAAGAAUACCGCUAUCGAAAAACAGAAGGGCUGACGCCCUCUCCCGGCUUGCCUCAACCUCUUUCUCUGACCUGAACAAGACGGUUCUCGUUGAAGUUCUAGCCGAACCAGGAUAUGUAGCCGAGGUAGUAUACCCCGUCUACCCUGGGGACACCUGGAUGGGUCCCCUGACUCGAUUUUUCAGCCAGGGUGAGCUCCCCGAAGACCGAGCUGAGUCACGGAAGCUCCAACGAAAAGCAGCACGGUACAUUCUCCGACAAGGCCUUUUAUACAAAAGGUCUUACCUCGGCCCUUAGUUGCGAUGUAUCACGCCCGAGGAAGGCCAGAGAAUCCUCCAAGACAUACAUGAGGGGCUCUGUGGUGCUCACGUCGGCUACAGAAUGCUGGUAAAAAAGGCUUUGUUACUUGGGUAUUUUUGGCCCACUAUGAGGAUAGAUGCCCAGGUCAUGGUCCUUUGCUGCCCCUCCUGCCAGCAUCACGCUCCUGAGCACCACCAGCCGACCAAUUUAAUGAUCCCUAUCACCUCGUCAUGGCCAUUUGAGCAAUGGGGAACGGACAUAAUUGGCCCCUUUCCCAGAGCUCCAGGCAAUUAUACCUACGUGGUGGUAGCAGUGGACUACUUCACCAAAUGGGUCGAAGCUGAACCCCUAAAAAAUAUCACUGGUGCGGCAGUCCAGAAAUUCUUCUGGAAGAAUGUGGUUUGCCGCUUCGGCCUACCCCGGGUGAUCAUCUCGGAUAAUGGCCGACAGUUCGCCGAUAAUCCUUUCAAGGCCUGGUGUGAGAACCUCGGGGUCAAACAGCAUUUCACUUCGGUGGGACACCCCCAAGCCAACGGACAAGCCGAAAACUUCAAUCGCACGCUCCUCCAUGGCCUCAAGACCAGGCUCCACCAGGCUGGAUCGUUUUGGAUGGAAGAGCUCCCCAGUGUGCUGUGGUCCUACCGAACUACGCCGAGAUCAGCAACCCAGGAAACCCCGUUUUCCUUAACCUACGGGUCAGAAGCUGUUGUUCCAGCCGAAUUCAUCACCCCGAGUCCACGAAUGGCCGCAUAUGCUGCCGAAGUCAAUGAAGAAGAACGGCGAGUUGACCUCGACCUCGUCGAAGAGAAGCGUGAUAUGGCCGCGGCCAAAGUUGCUGUUUACAAAAAUAUCGUAGCUGGCUACUACAACGCUCGGGUUAAACAUUUGCGGUUCAGUCCGGGAGACCUGGUGCUCAGGAAGAACUCAGUCAGCCGGGCUGAACCUCAGGGUAAACUAACCCCCAAGUGGGAGGGACCAUACCGUGUUGUUGAGUCCAGCCAAAAUGGAUAUUGUAAAUUGGCAUACCGAGAUGGGUCUCUGAGUGCCCCGAACUUGGCAUGCUGAAAAUCUUAAGUUGUACUACCCUUGAGGGUAUGUGCUUUUAAUCUUGAGUUAUUUCACACUUAUUUUCAUUUCAUUAUAAGUGAAAAAUAAGGGGACAAAGUAGCAGUAAAGAGGAAAACCGAAUUUAAUUAAAAAGAAAGCAAGAAUAUGAACUCAAUUCCAUUGAAUUACAUAAAAGUAGAAAGCCGAGGUCACCUUUAAUUAGGAAGAAAGCAAGAAUAUAAACUCAAUUCCAUUGAAUUACAUAAAAGUAGAAAGCCGAGGUCACCUUUGACCUCGGCCUACAAUGACAAAAAAAAAAACAAGUGCCUCUAGGCACUCCCUACCCUGACAUCCUGGCCCCCCGUGGUCGCGCCACCCGUUUCGGCACCCUGUCCACCCUCAGCUCCUCCACCGGCCUGGUCGUCUUCAGUACCAUCUAGUUCAAACUCCUGGAGCCAUUUGUUGAAUUCGGCUCGGACUUCGGUUAGGUCUUUCUCAGUCCGGAUGCCCUCAGCCAUGCUGUCGCAUAGCUCCUUGGCAUCCUCGUUAUAGUGCGAAGUGCUCUGAAGGGACUCCAGUUGUUCAGAGGGAAGAAAGGAUGCCGCGUCAUUAAUAGCCGACGUGUACCCGAACAUGAAGCUUGGCCGGGUGAGCUCGCCGAGGUCACGGAUGAAGGACUCUGACGUCCGGAAGGCUUCCACAGCAGUGACCCCGGCCUUGUCCAUGGCCUCCCUGUUUGACUGUUCUUCUUGGGCCCUCCUUUUUUUCUCCUCAUCAAGAGCAGUCACCAGGGAAUUGUUCGCGACCUCGGCCCUUUUGUUAGCCGCCUUGGCCUUGUCACGCUCCAACUCGGUUGCCUUCAGUUUUUCUUCCAACUCGGCAAUUCUCUUCUGGAGCUCGGCAGGAGGCUCAUAGUUUUCCAUGAACUUUCCAUACCGUUGAAUCAUCUCGACAAAAAAAGCCGUGGUAGAGGCCCAUGACACCGAGGCGCUCUGCAUCAACUCCCCUGCGGAGAGCUUCCUAGCAUAAGUGCUAUCUCGUGGCAGCACUGAAUGCACCAAGAGCUCCUGAGCGACCAAAGGGUUCUUGCAGCGAUCGUUGAAAUUAAUCUCCCACUCUGGACACCAGUGUGAUCCGGGGUGUCUCUUGUCCUCCUCAGCUGCCUUGAAAGGCACAUGAUGGAGUUUGAACAAAGAUGACCCCGUGACGGGGUUCUCCGGAAAUAUGGUCACACCCUGACCCCGGGGGGGAGUGGCAAUCGUGACCCAGCGAGAAGGGAUUCCCACCGGAAUUGCCGAGGCUCGGGAACCUCCCGGAGUGGCCGAGGUGUGCGAGCCCUCGCCCACGAUCACCACGGCAGGCUCGCGGUCGCCCGACGCCGCGGUGGUUUUCUUAGCCGGCCUGGAAGAGGACCCUGCAGUGUCCUUGCGCUUUUUGGGAGCUCUUUUGACCACCUCGACAUCUCCCGAGGUUAUCAGGUCGAAAAUCUUCGUCACUGCAAAGUAGGAGACGAAGUCAGUUAGAAUUCAAGAGGGAUAAACUAAAAGGGAAGAAAUGGAAAAAUACAAAGUCUGUGAAGCCUAGUCGAGAGUAAGACAGGCUGGUCAGAGCUCGUCAAGGCUCAACUGAUCCCGCCUUCCACGAGCACCACUUCGGGAAAAUCCCAGCAGUUUAUCCUGAGGCCCGACCCCGUUAACUUCUGGAAGUUACGCUCUUCUAACUUCCCUGGAGAUAUCUCCUUGAUCGAGGUGGGAGGCCUCCACCAGAAUCCGCGAGGGAAGUCAUCGGCCGAGACGAAGAAGAAGUUUUGCUUCCACUCCUUUAUUGAGUUCGGAGCAUCAACCACCAACUUCGGAACUUUGUUUCCGAAGUAGAACCAUCCUUUUUCACUUCUGCUGUUCUUGAGUGAGUAACAGCGGCGAAAGAGGUUGACCUAAGGUUGUAUCUCCUGAUGUCGGCAAAGUAGCUGGAAGCCAACGAGAAUGCGAAUAGCGUUAGGGGUGAGUUGAGUGAUUCUCACCCCCCAGUACCUCAGGCAGUCCCGAAGAAACCUCGUCGUGGGCACUCUGAGUCCGGCCUCCAGCUGUUCCUGAUAGAUAGUCACCUUGCCCUUUGGUGGCAGUGCGGCUGACUGAUGCGGUUGGGGUAUGUAAAUACUAUAAUCCCUUCUCCAGGGAUACCUGCGGACCACCUCGGCUAUUGAGGCUUGUCCCAUACCACUACUGAAGAACGGCAUCUGGCCGUAGUCGAGAGUUGCCACGUUUGGAGGAGUGGAAGGUUCUUGUACUCCCUCGUCUCUAGGGAUCUCAAUCCCGAGGUCAUCGUUGUAUAGGACCUCGGGCUGGACCUCGAUCUCCUCGGGCUGCACCUCAACCGCCUCAGCUCGGCGUGAUGCCUCGGCACCUCCACCCUCAGCUUGGUGAGAUGCCUCAGCACCUCCGCCCUCGGACGCGGUCCUUUCCUGGGAGGGGUCAGGCCUCUCUGCCUCAGUGAGGUCAGGUCUCACUGUCUCUUUGUGCGUACGAGCUGUUCUAGCCAUUGUAUCAGAAGGGGAAGAAGUGAACUUACUUAGAAUCUGCGACUGGAAGAAGAUGCCGAAGUAGACGUGGUUUAGAAAGGUUGCCGAAGUGAAAAGAGAAAGAAACAGAGUUCUGGGGUGAUUCUUGAUUUUUGGUGAAGAGUAAAACGGUGAAAAAAGACCACUAUUUAUAGGCCACCAGGGUGAAACCCAAGAGACGGCACCCUCUCUCUUCAUUAAUGGGAGGACUGUUCGUCUGCCAACACAGCUGACAGCCGUCCCUUCAGUUAUCACUCAGUCCCAUCUAUGCGGUCAUGACGUGUCCGUGUUCCGUGUUUUAUACGCUUCUCAGCUUCGGGAAGUAACGACCACGGCGGAUGCCCAUCUCGCCCUUCUCAAAGCUUGGGGGGCUUAGUGAGGAGGGCCAUUUAGGCUCGGAGCGCCCGAGGCCUAGUUCCCCAUCAUUUCCUGAAGUGCCGCCUCGGGUAUUAUCCUGGAAGGCGAUCGCGGCCCAUUUACCACCUCGGCUACAAUGUCAAGUCGUAACACCGAGGUGGACAUUGAAUGACAACUACGAAAAGGGGAGAUGUGAUCUCUGACACCUGAGCAAAGGCUGCUCUGACCCGCCGCCUGAAUCUGACAGAAUGUCCCAUCACGUCUCUUCAUGGAGACCGGUCAAGUCCACCUGAUCCACUGACUAUCUCAGAUCUUUUGGGACCCGUGCAAACAUCUCCUCUCUCCUAUCGGUCCCCUAUAAAUACACAAUAUUUCUACUGAAAAAGGGGAUGACCAAUUUCUGGUAAAACACACUCCACUCAUUACUUACUUCUCUAUAUCCGAACUGACUUAAGUUUCGGAGUUAUACCGGGGGAUCCAGCCCCUUUUCUUAUUCAAGCAGGUGACUUCGUCCAAGAGAGUUGCCCAAGGUAAAGAUAUUCUUCGAAUUGAGGUGACUCACUCCUGCGGGUCGAAAAUCACCUCUUCAAAUGGUAGAAAGUUUUCUUAAGAACCAAGAACAGCAUUAGUAUUCCCUCUGCUUCCAAAAACUUGUGUAUUAAAUAGAUUAAUGAAUUGUUUAACAUGCUCAUCUACUUGAAAAUGCACAAUACCCAUAACCCACUGAAAUUUUUGCAGGAAAAGGGAAAGAGAAUCUGUGUUUGAGAGCUUCAUGAAGAUGUUGAAGAAUAAGAAUAAAAGCCCAAUGCGAGGAUGUUUUCAAGUUUUUCUAUGUCCACUUUAAUUUGUAAAUUGAAUUUUACAACUCAAUUAAUUCCUUGUUUGUGAGGUACGUAUUGUUUUACGUACCAUGCCGUACAUGUUUGUAAGGAUUUCUAUCCUAUUGGCAAAAGUCGGUUCCAUACAAUUAAUCAAUUCAUUUCACUUCUAUUGGCUCUACUAUUUAUGCAUGUUACGACACUCUUUCCCUUAUAUUUUGCCUUUAAUAUUAUGAGUCAAUAGUAAUAAUGGGCCUUUUUCUUAAAAUUAUACUAUUAUACAUAGGUAGUUUGGUCUAACGCUAAAUUCAUGUUUGUCUUUCUUUUAUUCCCUUUACAUCUCAAAGUAUACUAUAGUUUGUAAUCAUUGUGGUGAUGAUAUUACCAGCUGGUACUUAUAGUUUAAGGCAGAGACAUGAUAUUAACAACUAUCUCAUUGAAACAUAAGUCAAAAUCAUGACAAGUGUGAGUCUUGGUUAAUGCACAAUUUGUUAGUGGAAUUUAUAUUUAUAAAACUCAAAAAAAAUUUUUGACAAUGCUAUUACUAAUUAAUUAAGGACUUCAUUGCUAUAAUUUAUCGCUUACUAGUUUAAACUAUAAAUGAUCUCAAUACUUUUCUCCAUGAUGUCGAUUUCUUUAGACUACGAAAGGGAAAAAUUAGUGACAUAUCCCUUACUGAUUACAACAUCAGCAAAAAUUAGUUAUAAACUUUUCCGGUGGUUUUAAAUCCCUCGGGCACUAAGGUUUUUUGCACAUCGAGUGAAUUAAGGAACAUAGGCAAUUCGUUCUGCAUACCAAGUCCUUGUUUAAGAUGCACGUACUAAAAUGCAUCCACUUCAUUAAUUUGGAAAAUUGCCAUAGUUUUUUUUAAGCAUUUUGAUUUUUUACAUGAUUCAAAAUUUUCUUAUUGGAUACAAUCACUUUGUGUCAAGAACACAUUUUCAAUCAUCUUUUUUAUCUUCUCAAUAAGAAAAUAAAAAUUUAUUCAUGCUUUUCUAACAUAUCCAAUCAUUGAUCUGAAAAAUAAAGAAUUAAAAAAAAAAGACAUUUUCAAUCAUUGCUUACAGGGCAACUUCCCCAUGUGAACCUCUUCAAACAAAGCCAAUAAUAUGAAGGAACAUCUAAAUACACUUUUGCCCUAAAGGCUGGUUGCCUUGGGGUCAAAAUUUAACCUUCGGGAGUAUAAUUACCCGCCAAAUUUAUUAUUUUUUAUGGGUAUAUAGUUCCAAUUUUGCCUCCUGUUAAGCUUAUAAAUAUAUUACGACCCAGAAAAUAAAGGAAUCUUGAAUAGUAACAUGUCCAUUGACUUGAGUUGUCAUCAAUUUGGCUACUUCGAUUCCAUGAGGCCAAUCCAAUUCACACUAGCUAGAGAAAAUGGUGAUAAAGGCACUUAGAAAUUUAUAUGUAAUAUUGAUUGGUAGUAACUGAUAAGUAUAUAUUUUACGUGUUUUAAAUAUGUUUUAUUAGUUAGUUUUGGUGUGUUUUAACUACUUUUAUAACUAAUUAACUAGGAAUCUAGUGAAAAUAUGCAUUUUGUGGUUUGAAGUGUGAAAAUUGUAUUUCUAUGGAUUUUAAUGGUGAAAACUUCAUGUUUUUGUAGGUUUAAUGAUUCAAUCAUCAAAUGACAUGAUUUGAGAAGAUAAUUAGAUGAUUGAUGAUGUUUUGAAGUGAUAAAAAGAGAAUACAAAGUGCAAGAGAGGAAAUGCAAUCAAGAAUAAAAGAAGAAAAUUUUUGUAGCUUUGACAUAUUGUGGUAUUUUGGCAAUAUAUUGAGCUACAAUGAUUGGAUUAAGGUGAUUCUUAAACCAUUUGAAGCUAAGAUAUAGAUCUACAUUUGGUAUGAAGGCAUCGAAACCCAUGUCAGUCAUUUUCCUUGUCAAAAUGUUGAAAUACAGAAGUGCAACUCUGUUCUCGAAAGCUAAAACAGAGCUCUGGCUAGUCGAGGGUAUUUUCAUCAUUUCUUAGUCCACAGAGCUCCAAAUGAGAUGAUUCUUAAGGCAUUAGAACCCUAACUCAAAGAGCUACAACUUUCAUAUUUUGUACAAGAGUUAGUUCGGCCUCCAUCAUUCAGAAAAUAGUAGUUGAAGUGGUGCCAAAUGCAUAGAAGUGAAAACGCGAGCUAUCAAUACUCGACCUGAAGUCGCGUAUUCCUGAGGUCAUGCAUUCUCUUCUAUUUUCUGCAACUUGCCCUGCUUUCACAUAAUUUUUUCAUCUCAAUUCCAACUAUCAAUUUCGGCUAUAUCUGAUCAAGAAAAGUGUGGAAAGUUUGAAAGACAACUCAUAGGAGUUUCAAGAGUCAAAAAUUACAAUUAGAAACAACUCAUUUGGCUCUUGAAUCCUCUAUAAAUAGAGGCCUUUGAAGAACAUUUUCACAACUUUGGAAGGUUAGAGAAACUCCACAAAAACAUAGUCUUCACUAGAAUUUCCUUAGUUCAUUAGUUAGGGUAGUAUAGUAUAGUUAGUGUAGCUUUUCCUUCUUGUAUUUAUAGUUAGGUUUGAAUGAAGAUUCAGGAGCAAAGAUAGAGAGGUUGAUCUCAUGUGACAAGGGUGAUAUCUCUUCUACUACUUUCUCUUUUGUAUUUGAUUUCAUAUUUAACUAUACUACAAAUUUGGCUUUGUUUUUUUUUUUUAUCAUGUUUAGUUAAAGUUUAUGCCUAGAGUAUGGAUGACCUUUCUAUAUCUUGUUUGUGAUAUUUAACUGGUUAUUUGAUGAUGUUAUUUUUGAGCAAGUUAUUUAUCACUUUUGCUUUUCUAAUCGUGAUUAACUGGCCAUUAGUUGUGAUUAUCUAAAAGUGUUAAGUUUGUAAUGAGAAUUGGAGUUUAACACUAGUUCAAGGAAGUGAUAAAUUUAGGGAGUUCACUCAUGAGAGUAGAGGAACACCUUUGUGACCUAAGUGACUUGUUUCAUAUAAUUUCAUAGAAAAAAUGAACUUGUAAUUAAUUUCAUAACCACGAGAGUAAGUAUGGUUUAGCUAUAUGUAUAGUUGAUUCACUACGAGAGUAGGUUUCACAUACAUUAGAAAAUUACAUCAUAACUAGUCAAGAUAAUAUCAUUCAUUUAAUCAGUAAUCUCAUUUGCAUGAGUAGUAAGGCAUUCCAUAUCUCUAGGAGGUUUUUAGUAUUAUUUUCAUUACUUUUAUGUUUAUGGUAGUCUAGAUAAUAAUGGAGUUCAAAAACUACUAGUAAUUGAAAAUUUUCCCUGUGGGAUCGACCUUUAAUACCCUAUACUCGCUCUCGACUCGUAUACUUGCGAAAAAUCACGUGUGCGGUAUUUAGAAUUUAUAAAUGUAAAACUUGACUGUAGAUGAACUAAUUGAUAUAUGUAUACCCCGCACUCGUCAGUAACCAGCUUGUAUUGAUCCCAUUAUUGUGGAUAAUUGUGCUCUUAUGAAAAAAAAUUAUAAAAAAAUUAGCAAAAUUUAUGAUAACAAAUUAAAUUUAUUCAUACAAAUCAGUGAAAGAAGUAGAAUUUUAAAGACCAUGAUGAAAUUAAUACUUUCAAGGGCUCUAUUAGGAAGACUUCACUUGUUGGUGAAACUACACUAGCACAGUUAUAUGCACAUUUACUGUUUUGGUAUCUAAUUUCCUUGCCUUAAGUUGGGUGCAGAUGUUUAUAUUACAAAUAGAUGGUAUCAUAAAAUUGUUGUAUUCACGUUUGUUCUUUUUUUUUCUUCCUUAAGUUUUUUUCUUUAUUCUCGUGACUUCAAAAAUACGAACUCAAGAAAUUGGCUGCUUAAUCAAUAUGUCAUACAGGCUUCGCUAGUGAGGUAUAACUUCACAACUAGAGUCAAUAGAAAUUAUCAAAUGAUUUUUUAACAUCCAAAUUAAGCAAUAAAUUUUGUUUUCAUUUUAUGACAUAUAAUAGUACUACUUCAUGAGAGAUUUUAUAGUUUCUUUUAGGUAUCAUACCUACAAGUGAUAUUUGUCAUUGGAUAGUGACAGAAGUGUUAAUGAUUGUAAGAUUAAAUAUUGUUAAAUAUUGAAAUUUAAACUAUUUAUCUUUAUUGAAAGAUACAAGUUAAAGAAUCGUUCAAGGGGGCAAUUUUCCAUCUUGUCUUUUUGAAAAAACGCUAUCACAUUGUAUAGGCAUGAUAGGUUCAAAUUUGUCAUUAAAUUUAUGAUUGAUUUCCCUUUUAUUCAAGCCAAAUAUUGUUUUAAUUAUCAAAUUCUACUUAUAUUUGGUUAAUUGUACUAAUUGUAGGGCGGUAGAGCAAAAGUUGCUAAAAAUAGGUGAUUUUCUGCAAAUUGGUUGUCAAGGCUGAAGGAUUUGGGAUUCGCAUGUUCAAGGCCUGUUUCCAAGUUUGAUUCAAACUCUGGACAGUUUUAGAGGAAGAUUUGGAAGAUUUGAAAUUUCAUUAUUAGUUUUAUGGUUGAAUUAGGAAUCUUGGAAUAAUUUCUUUUGUGAUUUAUUUUUCUAUUUAGGAGACUAGUUGUUAUUUAGUAGUAGACUUCAAUUAGAAAACAAAGAGAAAAAGAAGGCCGGAAUCCCGCUUGAUUAAUACCUUGGCCAGGGAACAAUCUCGGUGGGGAGGACGGCCACUUAGCCUCUCAAUUCAUCUUGCUUUUCGUUAGUUUGAGAGGAAAACCAAUUGCAACUAGAUUCAAUGGAGUCUGGCAGAAUUUCUUCUAGGAUGCGUAGCUAAAUCCUCAAUUUUUAGUCGAAGGUCAAUUUGAAAAUUCGGUUCCAAAUAUCUGUGAAAUCGAAUUAUUUUACUUAUUUCUUUUAUUUAUUGGUAUUCGCACGUUUUCUGAUUUAACUUUUUAUGAUUGUUUUGUUAUUUGAAUGUCAAGGGUCCGAUAUUCGAAUUAACUUAAUAAUCUACUGCCAAAUUAACCGGUUAAAUCCGUAAUUGUUUGAUUGAUUAAUAUCAGUGGCGACUAGCGUGAUUGGUCCCAUGUUAGGAAAACGUCUGAUCUAAUUUAAACAAACCGUCGUAGCGUGUUUGUUGAUUAGGGUUGGACUUUUCUAAUUCUUAAUUCAAUUGAGAAAUUAAAUCUCCCGGUCGUACCUAAGAUUAUUUUUUUGUUAGCGAAAUAGUUAAUGGUCGUACCUUGACUAUCGAAAAAGUAAGGAAGAGUUGAUUGUUUAUCGCGUGUACGACAACUAUAAUCAAUCUAUUAAUGAGUAAUUGAAUUAUCUUUGCAUCAGUAAUCAGUUGAAUGGACCGUGUCUGAAAAGUUGUACCUUUGGCUAGAGUCUUAUCUGUUGUUGAUUCAUUCAUAUCUAUCUUCAUGCGUUGUUUUAAUUUAGUUAAUUAGUUAUUUUUAUAAAAACCCCUCAUCUCUGGACUCUAAAAGAAAUAAAUUAUUUCUAGUUCCUGUGGAUUCGAUCCUACUCACCGCUAUAUACAAAAUUUGUAUUUUUUUGAAUAAAUAAUUAUUAUUACACAGGCUUGACACCUGUCAAGGCAAAAUUUCCUUAACUUCAUCAUCUGUAGACGUAAACUUUCUACGGGUGAUAUAAUAUAAGGAAAUUUUGCCUAUACGAUGUGAUAGCAUUUUUUCAAAAAAGACAAGAUGGAAAAUUGCUCCCUUGAACGGAAAAAAUCAUGAUCUUUCCUCAAACUAGUCUACUAGUCAAUUCUUUACAAAAGAAUACUCGCUCCUAAACAUAGCCUGUUCAUCUACACUGUCCCGCAGAAUUCUAGAAAGUUAGGCAAAACUAGACAAGUUGACAGGUAUAAUCAUACCCAAGAUCAGGAACAAGCAGUUGCACAUUUCAAAAUUCGCUGCUGCAACAGCUAAUUUGAUGACUUACAACACUACACGGUCAAACUUUGAAUGGCAAUGGAUCUUUUGUUGUACGUCAUGAUGUAAUUUUCAUGUUACAUACAUUAAUAGGUUGAUAUCUAUAUUCUUUAAAUUAUCAUGAUAAUACCCUUAAUUAGAUUUAACUGAUAAAAAGAACACGUGUUAAUAUACAAAAGUGUGUAACGUGAAUGUUACAUUACUGUAUUGCAGAAGACCUAUAGUCUCUUCAUAUCUCUUCCUGCACGUAUCAAUUCGUUUCCUCUAGAUAAUAAUCUCCCAACUCGUUUCUUUACAAAUGCACCUUUUAUGUUUUAUUACCUCCAAAAGCCUUUACAGGGUCUUUACCCUAAAAAUCAAUUCACCGACUCGCAUUUGAUGUCAGAAAUUCUUAAGACGAAUUCUACUUUACUCAAAGAUUGACUGUUAAUAAUGAGACAGCGACCAUUUUGUAUUAUUAGACCGUCCUUCUUGAUAGGUAAAAGAAAUAGAGAGGAAAGUGGGUCCGUAUAUGGUCUUUUAUUCAUAGAUAAUACAACAUUACGCCAUCGAGCAUUCACACAAUAUUUCAAAGUCAUAGCAUGCCUAAGGCCCUGUUUGAUAGCUCAAUUUCGUAAUUAAAUUUAAUAGAUUCAAAUUUUAACACAUUUAAAUCAUUUGAUAACAAAAAAUUGAAUAUUUAAAUUAAUUAAGUAACACUGAACUUUCUAAACAAAACUUGCUUUCAAAAUUAAGUGAUAAGUUAUUCACUUAUCUUUGAAUGUGAUAUGCACUCAAAUAUAUUAAAUUUAAUAAUUUAAUGGAUUCAGAUUUCAGAUUUCAGUUUUAUUACACACCCUAAGUUGCAAAAUAAUACCAAAACUUGUUAUUAUAUAGCUUGAGAUUCAAAAAUUUAGAGCAUAAUUCUCAACCUAACACAAUCGAAUAAUGAAUAUUCACGAUUGUUUCAAAGUACAAUUUGAGGACAACCCAUUCCAACGCGUACACGAUUUUUAACUUUUCUAAAGUUGUUGAGAGCUGUUAAAAGAGAUUUACCAUGUUUACAUCUUCCAAGUCUUGGAAGUGAAAAAUGAAGCCACUGAGUGCUAUAAAAAGGGGGCUAGAGGCUGCCUAGAAGCAUAUCAGCCUAAAACAAGAAUUUGUAGUAACAAUGGGGAGCAAAGCAAAAGCAACGGGGUCUAGGCUGACUCCUCUUCUUACCACUGUUUUAGUGGUAUUUGUCGCCCUUGGCUUGCCCUUGGAAACUGCAGCUGAUUAUUACAAGUAUUCAUCUCCUCCUCCUCCUCCUUACCACUAUUCUUCACCACCACCUCCAGUGUAUUCACCUCCACCAACCCCUGCUUAUAAGUUACCCCCACCAUCUCCUCCAGUUUACAAGUCCUCACCACCACCUUACCACUACUCACCACCUCCGGUGUAUUUACCUCCACCAUCUCCAGUUUACAAGUCACCACCACUACCCCCUCCGGUAUACAACUCCCCGCCUCCACCAGUGUACAAAUACAAGUCCCCACCACCACCUCCUCCAGUUUACAAAUCUCCAUCGCCACCAGUUUACAAAUACAAGUCACUCCCACCACCUCCUCCGGUAUACAAGUCUCCUCCGCCACCUGUUUACGAGUACAAGUCUCCUCCACCACCUCCUCCAGUGUACAAGUCCCCACCACCUCCAGUUUACAAGUACAACUCACCUCCACCUCCUCCCCCAGUUUACCUGUCUCCACCUCCACCCUAUCAUCACUACUACGGUUCUCCUUCUCCUCACCACUACUAAGCAAGUGCAUAAGUUUUGAGGUAAUAAUACCUAUCCAAAACUUUAUCAACACAAACUGCCAUGUAUAUUAUCAUGCUAAGGACGUACACUUGAUCCAUGAAAAUGACUAGUAGAAGAUUUUUUUUAAGAACCAAAGAAAUACAUUAUUUUUUCGGUCUGUUUUCAAGAAUUUGAGCAGUAUACAGAUUAAAGAGUGUUUUUUUUUUUGUAAACUUGCUUGUCAACUUAAAAAUGCACAUAGCUGAAAGCCAACUGAAUAUUUGCAGGCAAAGGAGAAGGCAAUCGGUGUUUGAGACCUUCAAGAAGAUGUAGAAGAAUAAGAAUAAAAGCCCAAUGCGAGGAUGAUUCCAAGUUUCUACGUUACCAUUUCUACAUCUAAAUUGACUUUAGCUCCUGAGUUCCAUGUUUAUGGGGUUUGUACCGUUUUACGUACCAUGCAGUACAUGCUUGCAAGGUUUUCUGUCCUGUUGGCAAACUGCAGGUCCAUAUAAUAAAUGAAUACUAUUUACAUUACGACACUUUUCUCUUUUUCUCUUAUAUUUUGUCUUUAAUAUUGUUGAUCAUUUUUUUUUUAUCAAAAGCAUCAAAUGCUUAGGUAAUUUGGUCUAAUGCUAAUUGUUUUACUUUUAUUUUUCACCUACACCCCUUUUCAACUCAAAGGAUGCUAUAGUUUGUGAUAAUUGUUUAAGACCGAAGCAUGAUACUAAUAAAUAUCUCAUUGAAAGUCAAGGAAACUAACAUUAGGAAAAGUUUAAAUCUUGAUUUGAUGAAACUAUUUAUUCGUGGAAUUUAGAGAUACAAAACUCAAAUUGUGACGGUGUUGUUGCUAAAUUAUUAAGGACAUUAUCACCAUUAUUUUUCCCUGAUCACUAGUUUCAACUGCAAUGAUCUCAAUCUUUUUGUGACUAAUUCUUUCCUUAAUAAUUUAUAAAGACAAAACUCACAAAGAAUAUGUGACUAAUUCUUUCCUUUCGUCUUCUAAAGAAAAUGCCAACUGUUAGUUUAUCAAGGGGAAAAAGGAUCGACAUCAGUUAUUAUUGAAACUAGUAAGGAAUAAAUAAUGGUGAUAAUGUCCUUAAUAAUUUAACAACAGCACCAUCAGAAUUUGACUUUGAGCUUCGGUCUUAAACAAUGAUCACAAACUACAGCAUCCUUUGAGUUGAAAAAGGAAGUAGGUGAAAAGAAAAGUAAAAAAUACAAUUAGCAUUCCCUCAAAUUGUAGAAAGUUAGGUAGCAUUAUAGACAAGUUGAUAGCGGCAAUUUUACAUUUCAAACUUCACCUAUUCAAUAACUAAUUCGAUGGCUUGCUACAUGGUCAAUCUUUGGACCCCUUCCUGCCUCCAGAUAUCCCUUUCCUCAAUCAGGGGCUUCUACAAUUACCAGUUUCAAUUGUAUGGUAUAGUGUAAAUAUCAACAAAUUAGAUGUAGAUGCUAACAUAAUAAAUGUGAAUGCUAAGACAGCAACAUACAAUCGAACCUGCAAUUGUAUGAACCCCAAUCUCGCUUCCUAGUCCACCAUCUUUCUCUAGGUAAUAAUCUCCCUUCUAAUUUAUUCACAAAAUGCACCUUUCAUCACCUCCAAUAGCGUCGACAUGAUCUUUACCCUAGAAGACUAUUCACCGACUCUCAAUUGACGUCAGAAAAUCUAAGAGUAAUUCUACUUUACCCUAAGAUUGAUAUCAACAAGACAAGGACAAUUUAGAAUUAUUACACGCCUCUUCUUAAUAGGAAAAAGAAAUAGAGAAGAAAGUCAGGCCAGGUCUAAUUUCUUUUCAAAGGCAAUACAACAUUACGAAAUCAAGCAUUCAUUCAUACAAAUAUUUCAUAGUCACCGGUUUGCUGAGUAGAAAAAUUUAGACAAAAACUUAAUAUUAUAUUGUUUAAGAGUUAACAAUUUAGAGCUUAAUCUCCUUGUACUUUGGAGUUAACAAUUUAGAGCUUAAUCUCCUUGUACUUUGGACUAAACUUGAACGUGAAAGGAAAUCCCAAAACCAUAUUGGGCAUGAAUUCACACUUAAUAUACCCAAUAAAAGAUGGCGACUGGUGAAAGGCAGUGGAGACUGGUGGAGAGAUUUGAGGAAUAGAAGCAGACGGAAAAGCAACAAAUUUUUGCCGAAAAACGGUCACUUUCAUGGUUAAUUUUGCUACUCUCCAAUUGUACUUGACCAAUUACAACAAUUUCAUGGAGUUUGAUACGUGAAAAGAAUUUUUUAUAAAUUUUAUUUUGAUCCAUAAUGUUAUCUUUACAUAUAUAAAACAUUUUACAAUUUUGAUUUUGGCGCAGCUAACUUUUGGUUAACAAAAAUGCUCAUGUUUAAAAAACCAGAAAUAAAACAAAACAAGAAACAAAAGAAAUAAGAGGGUAGCAUAGACAUUUUGGAUUUUUCCGUUAAUUUGGAUGAUUUCCACCCACGUUCUAAUUUAAUCCAAAACACAAAGGAAUUACGUAGAGGUUUUAAAUAAUGAGGGAGCUUCAUGAUCGAACCCCAAACCACAAGGCGAUUUACUAUAUUUUACUCUUAAAUUUUGGUUUCAUCUCAUAGCAUACAAGAGUUCUAUUUCACUAUCUGUAGACAAAGACUUUCUAUGGUUGAUGUACCAUAGGAAAAAAUCUGCCUAUACAACGUGAUAGCAUUUUUUCAAAAACACAAGAUGGAAAAUUGCCCCUUAAACGGGGAAAUUCAUGAUCUUUCGUCGAACAAAGAAUACUCACGCCUAUUCAAGAUGGAAAAUUGCCCCCUUAAACGUCUAUUUGUCAAUUCUUGAAAAAAGAAUACUCACGCCUAAAACACGGCCUCUUCAUCUGCAGAAUUCUAAAAAGUUAGGUAAACUCUAUAAACAAGUUGAUAGGUACAAUCGUACCCAAGAUCAAGUACAGAUAGUUGUACAUUAACUGCUGCAAUAACUAAUCUGAUGACUUAUAAACAUAUCAUGGUCAAUCGUUGAAUGGUAAUGAGUCUUUUGUUAUGCAUUAGUAUUAGUGUGUACACUCUAAUAGAUUGAUACUUAUACUCUUUAAAUUAUCAUAAUAAUACCCUUAAUUAACUUUAACUCUUAAAAAGAAUACAUGUUAAUACACGAGUGUGUGUAACCUGAAUUGUUACUUAUAAAUUAGUGUGUAAUAGAUAGGGAUGGCAAUGGGGGCGGGUGCCCGCGGGGGGCUCUCGGGGCGGGGGUUGGGGCGGGGGGGAAUUUUUUCCCCCCGUUUAGAAAUGGGGCAGGGGACGGGGGAGUAUACCCCCGCCCCAUCCCCCGCAAAAAAAAAAUUAUAUAUAAUAUGUAAUUUAAUUAGUUAUAAACUUAUGAUAAUGAUAUUAUUAGUUAGAUGUAUUAUAUAAUGUAUAUUAGUGUAUGUAAUAUAAUUAAUAUUAUCAAUUAUAUGAAUAAUUAGACAUGUCUACUAAUAGAAUUUAUGAAUUAGUUAUACUAAAUUUACUAAUACAUUUAUACUAAAUUUCUAAUUACACUUAAUAGAAUAACACUUUUUUCUAAAACAAAAAAGCACAAACACAAUAAUGAAUUAGUGAUUGUAUGAUAGGGUGUAAUUUUACUAUUUAUUUUAUUAUUAAUUUCCCCUAUCACCUGACCUGAUGUGGAUUAAUUGCUGGAUUCUGCUCACUUUUAGUACUUUGUAUUUAUUUCAGGGAGUAGAACGGAAAUUUGAUAACAGGUGCUAAUUUGGCAGAAAAAGAGUCCAGAUGAUAGAGCUUGCCCCAAGGGCAUUUUUGGAAAGGAGAACUUGUGCCCAUCUUGGUAAUUUGGGAGAAAAGGGAAACAGACAAAAUGGGUCUAACAUGGAUUGGAAGCGGCCGCACAGUAGCAGGGAAGAGGGCAGACGUAAAAGCAAUUGCAGGGGGGAAAAGGAGUUUUUUUAGUUUUUAGCUUAGCAUCUGAUUUUCCCUGGGAGACUUUUGUUAAAGAUUUCCUUUUGGCUGAUAUUACGCAUGGCAGAUGGCUUUUAACUUAUUCCUCCAUCUUUGACUUUUCUUCUUUAGCUUGUGGCAGUGGAUUGCUACUUACGAAUGUCAGCACUUAGCCAUUCGUGGCUUUUGAUCUUUUCUUCCUUAGAAAUUCUGAGUAACCUCUUUUCCUUUGUGCGCCAGACGAAGUGAAAACUAUAAACUUUUGUAGUUUUUCUAUUCAUUCAAUAUAUUGAGACGAGUUGGAUUCUACCAAAUUUCAACGGACAUGGCCGCUGGUUUCUCUUCAAUUUUAUAUGGGCUUUGUUCAUCCAACAUGAACUAAUUUCACCACUCUAGUCAAGGAGCAACGAAGGCUCUGAUUUGCCUAAAAAUUGUGAGAUCGUUUUAAUUUAAUCUUUUCCUUUUAUUUAUUGGUAUCCGCACAUUUCUUGAUUGCUAUGCUUAUGGUUAUUUAAUUAAUUGAUUGUCUUGGAUCCAGAUAAUUAAUUGAUCUGAUAGCCUAUUGUCAAUUAGGGCAUUUAAAUCCGUAAUUGUUUAAUUGUCCUGAAAUAGUGACAACUGGCACGAUUAGAUUCGUGCCAGGGGGGAUAUGCGGGCUAAUCUAAAAUAACCCUGGUAGUGUGUUAUUUGGUUAGAAUAGGGCUCCUCUAAUACUAAGGCAAUUGGGGAAUUAAAUUCUACGGGCGUACCUAGGAUUAUUUCUUAAUUAGAGCAGUGAUUAACGGGCGUACCUUGAUCACCGACACAGUAAGGAGGGGUUGACCGUCAUCGCUUGUUUGGCAGUUAUAACCUAUUUAUCAGUAAAUAAUUGGGAUUGCCUUGCAUCAAUGAUCAAUUAGGUGAACCAUUGUUGAAGUUACUUCUUGGUUAGAUCUUUAGUUAAUAUUACCUUGAUUUUGGUGAAUUGCCAUUUGAUUUUUAGUUGCCUACUUUAUUUUAUUUUUAAUUGUUUCCUUGCUUUAAUUGAGUUAGGCCUUUAAUUAUUGUUAUUCUAAGUUUAGUGAAUUGUGGUUUAAUUCCUAAUUAGUUAUUUAUUUUUACUUUCUUAUUUGAAUUUAUUUGCUUGUUAUCAUUCCUACGAAAUCACCCCCCUGUGUUACUUUGGAUUUCUUAAGAAACAAAUAUACCCAAUCCCUGUGGAUACGACCCUACUUGCUCUGUUCACGAAUUCAUAAUUAUUUGUGAAAAGAAAUAACCAUUCCACUCGGGUAUAUCGGAUCAAGCAAAUUCUUCGGGAACAGGGUGAAUCAAGUAACCCAAUGCACACCUAGAGUCCCUGCUCCAGUACUUGGAAUUGGGUUUUGGUCAUUUUAACUGGCAAUUAGGUUUAAUUUUAUUAUUGCACAGGCUGACGACCCUGUCAAUUUUUGGCGCCGUUGCCGGGGACUGGCGUUAUUAUUUGUUUCUUUUUAAAUUCAUUCUUUGUCCUAAUUUUCUGGUUUUCUUCUAGUGUAUGCCUCGAUCUUCUCGUACAGGUAAUUUGAUUUUUGACCCUGAGGUAGAGAAGACCGCAUGUAGAACGAGAAAGGAAACCAGACAGCUCAGAGAAGAGCACUCCAGUGCUACAUCUCAGAGACCCGAGUCAGAAGUUGAACUAACAGAUUCGUUUGGUAACACUUCGAGUGACUCUGACCAGGAGGAAGACACCAUGGCUAAUGCACGAACAUUAAGGGAGUUGGCUGCUCCUGAUUUAACUCAGCAGCCUUUAUGCAUUACUUUCCCCACUUUAAAUGAUAACAUUCCAUUUGAACUAAAAUCUGGUCUGAUUCAGCUUUUACCCUCUUUUCAUGGUUUACCAGGUGAAGAGCCGUAUAAGCAUCUGCAGGAGUUUGAUGUCGUGUGUAAUAGUAUGAAACCCUCGGGAAUCACAGAAGAGCAGAUAAAAAUGAGGGCAUUCCUCUUCUCCUUGAAAGAUUCUGCGAAGGACUGGCUGUACUACCUGUCACCAGGUAGCAUCACCACGUGGGACCAAUUGAAGAAAAAAUUUUUGGAUAAAUAUUUUCCUGCGUCCAGGGCUGCAAGUCUAAGGAAAGAAAUUUGUGGGAUCAAGCAGCAUCCAGGGAAGUCACUUUAUGAGUAUUGGGAACGGUAUAAGAACUUGUUGCGCAGGUGCCCCCAACACCAAAUAAGUGAGCAAUUGAUCAUACAGUAUUUUUAUGAGGGGCUCCUUUUUAGAGACAGGAGCAUCAUUGAUGCCAGGGGGGAGGGUUGGGAUGGGUGGUACGGGGGGAGGGAGUGUAAGCAAGAGGUCUCGGGUUCGAGUCCUCCCGCUUACACACAAAAAAAAAGAUGCUGCAAGUGGAGGGGCACUGGUAAACAAAACCCCUCAGGAAGCACGGGAGUUAAUAGAGGGGAUGGCAGAGAAUUCACAACAAUUCAGUACAAGAGAGGAUGUCCCAAUACGUAAGGUGAAUGAGGUAGAGACACCCUCUAUGCAGCAGCAGCUAACUGAGUUGACCGCGUUUGUUAGGCAACUGGCUGUGAGAAAUGCAUCACAAGCCAGGGUGUGCGGGAUUUGCACUGGUAUGGGUCAUUCUGCAGACAUGUGCCCAAUGAUUCAGGAAGAAACUGCAGAACAGGUGAACAUGGCUGACCACGCGCCCGCGCCAAGGAAGCAGUACGACCCUUACUCAAGCACCUACAACCCCGGGUGGAGAGAUCAUCCCAACCUCAGUUAUGGAGAAAAUAGGCAGCCCAACAUUACACCGAACAGGCAGUCUAACUUUGUGCCAAAUAGGCCACCAGGGUACCAGCAGCAAUAUCAACCCCGACCACCUCCGUCCCCAAGCUCUGGCCCAUCUUUGGAGGAGAUGAUGAAACAAAUGAUGACAACUAUGGCUCAAAAUCAGCAAAUGACGGAGGCAACCAUUAUGCAAAAUCAGCAAAGGACGGACUCCGAAAUGAAGGAUAUAAGGAAUCAGAUAAGUCAAAUGGUCACAACAAUCAACCGUUUGGAUUCCCAGAACCAAGGUAAAUUGCCAUUUCAGCCCGAAUUAAAUUCGAAGAACGUGAGCGCAAUGACCCUAAGGAGCGGGAAAGAAAUUCAGGGGUCUGAACCUGUGAUCCCUAAGGAUAAGGAUGAGGAAAAGAUCGAAAAUGAGCUUGAAAGGGAGGACAGCAAUGGUGCAGAUCUAAAGGUACUUCCUGACCCAAUAAUUACAGCUAAAACUAACCCGCCUCCUUUUCCUAGCAGGUUGGAAAAAUCGAAAAAAGAGGAUAAGGAGAAGGAGAUCUUGGAGGUUUUUCGCAAGGUUGAGAUAAAUAUCCCCCUCUUAGACGCAAUCAGACAAGUACCAAAAUAUGCCAAGUUCCUAAGGGACUUGUGUGUCAACCGAAGGCAGUUGAGGGAAGAUGAACGGGUUAUUGUUGGGGAGAAUGUGUCAGCAGUCCUGCAGAGAAAGCUCCCACCAAAGUGCGGGGACCCAGGUAUGUUUACUAUUCCCUGUAGGAUAGGUAAUACUGUGAUAGAAGGGCCAUGUUGGAUCUGGGAGCAUCAAUUAAUCUCAUACCUAAAUCUAUCUAUGCUUCUCUAAAAUUAGGUCCAUUAAAAGAAACUGGAAUAAUCAUUCAAUUAGUUGACCGAACUAAUGCAUAUCCUGAUGGGUUGGUUGAAGAUGUGUUGGUAAAAGUUAAUGAUUUGAUGUUUCCAGCUGAUUUUUAUGUACUUGAUAUGGAUGAUGAUCACUCCCCUGAUCCCUCACCUCUGUUAUUGGGUAGACCCUUUAUGAGCACAGCACAGACGAAAAUUGAUGUUAAUAAGGGUAUCUUGUUCAUGGAGUUUGAUGGGAAAAUUGUGCAUUUCAAUAUCUUUGAUACUAUGAAAUAUCCCUCAAACUCCAACUUUAGCACAGUUUUCUCUGUGAGUGCUAUUGACCCUGUAGUGCAGGAAGUGUUUGAAACUGAUGGCAGGGAUGAGUUGGAGGUGGCUUUGACCAAGCACCUCGAGUUGGAGACAACUCCUGAGGUGGAAUGGAGCGAGGACCUAAAAUGCACAAUAGGUGCAUUACACUCAUUGCAGUCCACCACGAAAAGGUAUGAAGUCUUACCUAUUUUUACUCCCGAACCUCACCAGAGGGUGUUGCCAUCUGUGGUGCAGGCACCUGUACUAGAAUUUAAACCUCUAUCAGAGCACCUGAAAUAUGCAUAUCUGGGUGAUAAUGAGACACUCCCGGUGAUUAUCUCAUCGACACUGUCAAAAAUCCAGGAGGAGAAACUGAUCCGGGUCCUUAGAGAGCAUAAAGAGGCGAUAGGUUGGACAAUCGCAGAUAUUAAGGGGAUCAGCUCGGCCAUCUGUAUGCACCGGAUUAGACUAGAAGAGGAUGCCAAACCUGUUAGGCAGGCUCAAAGGAGGCUCAACCCCCUAAUGAUGGAAGUUGUAAAGAAAGAAAUUUUAAAAUUGCUAGAUGUGGGGAUUAUUUUUGCAAUAUCAGAUAGCCCUUGGGUAAGCCCGAUCCAGGUAGUCCCAAAGAAGGCAGGGGUGACGGUGGAGGCAAACCAAACGGGUGAGCUCGUGCCAGUGCGCAAACCCACUGGAUGGAGGCAGUGUAUAGACUACCGUAGGCUAAACGCCGUCACCAAAAAGGACCAUUUCCCUCUCCCUUUCAUUGACCAAAUGGUUGAACGUUUAGCUUGUAGAGCUUAUUAUUGCUUUUUGGAUGGAUUUUCAGGAUACUUUCAGAUAGCAAUUGCUCCAGAGGAUCAAGAGAAGACAACCUUCACGUGCCCGUUCGGGACCUUUGCUUAUAGACGAAUGCCAUUUGCGUUGUGCAAUGCACCUGCAACAUUCCAGAGGUGUAUGGUAAGUAUUUUUUCUGAAUAUGUGGAGAAAAUUAUUGAAGUUUUCAUGGACGAUUUCAGUGUGUAUGGUGAUAGUUUUGAUACGUGUUUAGAUAAUCUGAAAUUGAUCCUGAUAAGGUGUAUAGAGACUAAUCUUGUGCUUAAUUGGGAAAAAUGUCAUUUUAUGGUUGAGCACGGGAUAGUCCUGGGUCAUAUUGUAUCGUCUAAGGGCAUAGAAGUUGACAAGGCUAAAAUAGAUAUUAUUUUUGCAUUACCUUACCUCGCGAGUGUGCGGAAGGUGCGUUCUUUUCUUGGACAUGCAGGUUUUUAUCGAAUGUUCAUCAAGGAUUUUUCAAAAAUUGGAGCCCCGUUAUUCCAACUCCUACAAAAGGAUGUGACCUUCGAAUUCGAUGAUAAGUGUGAGGAAGCCUUCAACAAGUUGAAAGAAUUGUUGACCUCACCCCCAAUUAUCCAGCCCCCUGAUUGGAGUCUACCAUUUGAGAUCAUGUGCGAUGCCAGUGAUCAUGCCGUAGGGGCUGUAUUGGGGCAAAGAGUAGGGAAGGCAGCUCACGUCAUCUACUAUGCAUCCCGAGCAUUGAAUGGAGCCCAAUUGAAUUACUCCACUACUGAAAAGAAGCUUCUUGCAGUUAUUUUUGCUUUAGAAAAAUUCAGGUCAUAUUUGCUAGGUGCUAAAGUAAUUGUAUUUUCUGACCAUGCAGCAUUAAGGUACCUAAUGACCAAGAAAGAUGCCAAACUGAGGCUCAUUAGGUGGAUAUUGCUACUGCAGGAAUUUGACCUGGAGAUACGGGAUAAAAGGGGCUCAGAGAAUUUAGUAGCUGACCAUCUGAGUCGUAUACCCGUUGGAGAGGAUAAUGAACCAUUGAGGGAUGCGUUCCCUGAAGAGCACUUAUUUUCUUUAAAUUCUCAGUUGCCUUUGUAUGCCGAUCUGGUCAAUUAUUUGGUAACUGGUAAUUUUCCUGCAGGUUGACCAAAAUCGAAGAGGGAUAAAUUGAAGAGCGACGCCAAGUAUUUUAUUUGGGACGACCCGUACCUAUGGAAGAGGUGUGCAGAUCAAGUGAUGCGGAGAUGUGUAAGUGAAAUGGAAUUUCAAUCGAUUUUAGCUUUUUGUCAUACUUUUGCCUGUGGAGGUCAUUUGGACCCAAGAGAACUGCUCAUAAGGUUUUAGAAAGUGGAUUUUAUUGGCCUUCAUUGUUUAAGGAUGCCUAUGUGUUUUGUAAGUCAUGUGAUCGCUGUCAAAGGGUAGGUAAUAUACCCCGUAGAGAUCAAAUGCCCCAAGUCCCGUUGAUUUUUAUUGAAAUUUUUGAUGUCUGGGGUAUAGAUUUCAUGGGGUCUUUUCCUACUUCAUUUGGUUUUUUAUAUAUUUUGCUGGCAGUUGAUUAUGUGUCUAAAUGGGUGGAGGCUAAGGCCACUCGAACUAAUGACUCGAAAGUAGUUGCAAAUUUUGUCAGGUCUAAUAUUUUUGUGCGAUUUGGAAUGCCUAGUGCUAUUGUCAGUGAUAGGGGAACGCACUUUUGCAACAAAAUCAUAGCUGCGUUGUUUCGCAAGUAUGGUGUACUCCAAUGGGUCUCAACGUCGUACCACCCUCAGACCAAUGGUCAAGCGGAGGUGUCGAAUCGAGAGAUCAAGUCUAUCUUGGAGAAAAUGGUGCGCCCCGAUAGGAAAGACUCGAGUCAAAGGCUGGAGGACGCACUUUGGGCCUAUCGGACGGCGUACAAGACUCCUAUAGGGAUGUCACCGUACAGGUUGGUAUUUGGGAAGCCGUGUCACCUUCCAGUGGAGUUUGAGCACAAAGCUUUUUGGGCGAUAAAGUAAUGCAACAUGAAUUUAGAGGAAGCCGGUGCCCAACGAAAGUUGGAUUUGCAAGAAUUAGAAGAGAUCCGGAACGAGGCUUACGAAAAUGCACUAAUUUAUAAGGAGAGAAGCCGGAUAUUUCAUGAUCAACAAAUUUCAAGAAAAUCCUUUGAAGUUGGUCAGAAGGUCCUACUAUACCAAUCCAGGCUCAAGCUAUUCCCAGGUAAACUACGUUCCCGUUGGAUUGGACCUUUUCUUGUUACUCAUGUUUUUCCAUAUGGUGCAGUUGAAAUCCGGAGCGCUAAAACAGACAACAAAUUUGUGGUGAAUGGACACCGUCUCAAGCAUUACUACGAAGGAUUUUCAGGUGAAAAGGUGGAGACAAUAAGUCUAGACGCGCCACCGUGUCCUAAUCAGUGACAUUUUACUAUGUCUAGCCAAAGACAUUAAAGACAGGCGCUCAUUGGGAGGCAACCCAAUUGUCCCUUUUAAUUAUUUGUUUGAUUUCGUGUGAUAGUUUAAAUAUGUUUUCCUUGAAUUCGACUGAUUUUGGGUUUCAGUUUUCGUUUUUGCUGAAUUGUAGGUGACCUUCAGUCUUGACGCGCCCGCGUGAUGACAUGCAGGAAGCUCACGAUCAGAAUCGUCUGAAAGCUCUCUUGCCCUUUUGACGCACCCGCGUGAUGACGUGCAGGAAGCUCACGAUCAGAAUCGUCUGAAAGCUCUCUUGCCCUCUUGACGUGCCCGCGUCACGUUCGCAGGAAAGGUACGGGUUUCAAAAAUUUAAAGAAAAAAUAAUAAUAAUAAUAAUUUAAAAUUUUGAAAUUAACUUCCGUAAAAAAAAAAAAGAAGAAAAAAAAUUUCACCGUGGCUUAAAUAGAGCCUAAAGAAGAGAAAAAAGAAACAAUUUCUUUCUUUUUUUUUUCUUUUUCUUCUUUCUUCCUUCUUUCUUUCUUUCUUCUUUCUCUUUUCCCUCUCUCUUCUCCCCUGUUUCUUCUCCCCUGUCCGUCGCCCGUGCGCCCCAUCGCUGCUCCACCUCCACACGCACGCCGACGCUGCGAGCCACCUGCGACCCCAGCGCCAGAUCUGGACCAUCGCCGAAACCCGCAGCCUCCGCCACCUCCACCUGAGCUCUGCCUCGCGCGCAACCCAGCUGCUCUGCGCCCGAAGCUCCACCGCCGCCACAGCCUCCCCACGCAGCUCCCUGCUCACGCGGCCACAAGCCCAUUGGAAACGGGACAGAGACUGCCGCCGAGCCACUUGCCCGCGUGACCGCCGCUGUUUUCCACCACCUCCCUCACGCGAGCUCUUUCCCUCUCAGCAGCAAUCCACUUCACAGCGCACCCGCUGCGCGCCGUCGCAGCCCUCGCAGCUCCAGCCCGUCUGGUCUAGUCCGCCGCGCGCACCAACCACCCACGGACGCUACCCCCAUCGCUAACCCACGCGGCCUCCACUCCAGUCUGUCCGCCGCCGCUGCUCGUGUCUCCCUUGCGCACCUCACGCCACCCGCUACUGUCCCCUUCCGUUUGGUUAGCAUCCACGGUGGAGGUAAUUGGAGGUUAUUUUCUCAAUUGUGUGACUUCCGCCUGUGAUACUGGUUGCAUUAUUUUUGCUGGGAAUUGCUACUUCUUUUGGGUUGGGUUCAACUGUGCAAUUAAUUGGCCAACUGGAGCCAUUUGUUGGGAUUUUGGGUGAGCUGAAAUACUGCAUUUGUGUGUUACAUUGGGAGGUUUAUUGGGUACAUUCUAACCGCUGUUUUCCAUUGUUACUCUCGCUGGGGUGUCUAUUAAAUUGCGAUUGAAGUAUUUUGGAUAUUGCAUGUUGAGAUUGAGGUUUCAUUGAAUUUGGCCUACGUUCUGCCCCCAGUGGUACUGGUGGGAAUAUUUUCAAUUGAAUUUGUUACCUCUAGUUGGUUGGCUACAUUAUUAUGGUCGAAUUCCUAAGUUGUCGUCAUUGCAUUUGUUGAUCUUGAUUUGGGGCAUUAACCGGCCAACUGGAGCCAUCUGUGCGUUUUUAGGCGCUAUUAUUGGUUUCUUCUCCCUUAACUUUGUCAACUAUAUUUGGUUGGGUAUUUGGUUGACUGCCACGGACUUGUAACUGUGUUUUGCUUCUAAUUGACCAGUUGCACAGCAGUUUUUUUUUAAUUGAUAGGGUGGUUAUACCUCUGGAUAUUUGUAUCCACUGGUUUGAGGACAUGGUGAGACCAAAAUCCUCCUCUAGGUCUAGGACCCCUAGAACCUCGCAAUCCCAACCCCAAGCCUCUACUCUAGUCAAUACCCCUAUAAAUCAACCUACUGCUCCCGGUGUCCGAACCUGGUUAGGUAGGGGUAGAGGUGCCCACGUGGCUUCCGCCACUCACUUGGGAGGGCAUUUGGAAUUCACUAGAGCCGCCGAUCAGCGACGCUAUGCUCAAGCUUGUGAGCGGCGUAUCAUUCCGUGCAAAUGCGCGGACCACAUUACUAUGGUUUUUCUGGGGAUCCAAGGGGAGGUUGAGCGCAUGUACACCGCCAUUGGAUGGCGCCCCUAUCUGGAUAUUUUCCAGCCAGCCUUUGUCGAGUUGACUAGAGAGUUUUACACCACUUUUAAGUUUGAAUUACCGACUAGGUAUACUGUUGCGACUCCCGAUAUCAUUCACUUCCGUCUCAUGGGCCAGGAAUUCAAUUUCUCUAUCACCCAGUUCAAUCUGGCUUUCGGUUUCAUCACUCGGGAGUAUGCAGAGACUAGGGAAUACGGUGAGAGUGCCUGCGAUUUUGUGGAACCUUUCCUUACCGCCUACCGUGAGGUGUGGGAGGACAUGUCUGUGGACAUGCAGCGUUACGAUCCCUCUCGGUCUCGGAGCUCCUUUCUAGAGGACCCGAGUGCUCGGUAUGUUCAGCGGCUUUUAGCAUAUAGCUACUCGGGCAGAAAGAACAGCUUCGGUAUUAUCUCUCGGCCGGAGCUCUUCUUCCUUUGGUGUAUGAAGAAUGGGUUCAAGGUCAAUUUGGGUUGUUGGUUGGCGGCACAGUUCAAGACCGUCAUGGCAAAGAAGAACAAGCCGUUGAUUCUUGGGUCGUAUAUCACGUACUUGGCGGUCCAGCUAGGCGUUCUGAAUCUACAGGAUCACGAUUUGCACUUGGCCUGCGACAUGGAGUAUCUCACUGCUGACCGGCUAGAGAAGAUGGGGGUUCUGGAGCUUGUCGAUGGCCACUACCGAUUUGUGCCCCCGGGACCGCCCCGCGCCCCGCCUCGCUCUUCCUCCACCCAUUCGGCCCCAGUUGGCGGUGAUCCUGGCCCGUCGACAUCCGCUCAGCUCCCUCCACCAGCAGGGGCUGAAGAUUGGCACCAAAUCAGGACGCAGAUUCAGAAUUUGGACGCCCGGAUGAUUAGCAUCGAGAGCAACGUGGCGGCUAUAUCACAGAAUCUGGCGGCAUUCCUGCAGCACUCGGGUUUCCCGCCCCCAAUCCCACCUCACCCUCCACUAUGACCCGGUUUCAGGGAAGUUUGGUUACUUUCUCCCUCACUUUUGUUGUUUUUUGACACAUUGAGGACAAUGUGUCCUAUAGGUGUGGGGGGGUCUAUAGUCUUUCUAGUUUUUAGUAGUUGUUAGUUUUUAGUUUUUUAGUAGUUUUAGUUUUAUUUCUAGUUGCGUAUUUUCUUUCUUUUCUUAGUGCUUAUUCCCCAUGUGAAAAGAAAAAGAAAACAAAAAAAAAGAGAAAAAAAUGUUGGUUUAUUGACUCUAACUCUACUUUUGCCAAGUUUUUUUUAAAUAAAAAUGUAUCGGGUUAAUGUGGUUGGAUCCAGAAUAUCUCCCUGGUGAAUAUCGGAUUGCUUGGCUCUUUUGAUUUCUGUGUUAAUUUCUCUAGGCAUAGGGAAUGACUGUUGGCAUUUUAAUGUGAACUGGUCCAAUAUUGACUCCAGUUCUCUAUGUUUGGCAAUAAUGAGGCGAGCUGUUCCUAUUUUUGGUUCUUAGUGUUGUUAUUAUGUGUUUUUGGCUUUGUUUGGCUGUGAAUAAUCUGGACUGUACUCCGCUAUGAGUUACUACUGAGUAACCGAGGAUCGGCACCUAAAAGUGUCGAUUCUCGCGUCAAAAGGUGGUACUUUAUAUGAGUACGUGGUCGUAUAGCAGUAGGAGCUGAGUAACCGGGCUCCUUCAUCUAAAAAUGUUGGAGUUCGCGUCAAAAGGCCCCGACGGCUAACGACUAAGUCUUUUUGUGUUAAUUAUUAUUGCUUUGAAAAACAAAAAAAAAAAAGAACGAAAAAAGAGAGAAUAAAUAAUAGGAAGGCUUGCCGGUUUAUGGACUUAAUAUGGAGACUUGUGUGAAUAUUUGGACCAUUAGCUAAUAAAUGUUGUGCGCCAUUCCCUUUUCUUAGAGUAGUUAACCUGGAAAUUGAAGGAAUUUGCAGUUUAGGGGCUAACCGGGGGGGAGGCUUCUUGGAUUUUAAUCACCAAUGCUCGAUAUAUGUUUUUCUCUUGAAGAUCUUGGCAAUAUAGGAGAUUGGACAAUGGCCAUCAUCGAAUUUUGGUGUUCGUUUACUAUUCUUAUGCUUGAGGACAAGCAUGGUUUAGGUGUAGGGGGAAUUGAUAGGGUGUAAUUUUACUAUUUAUUUUAUUAUUAAUUUCUCCUAUCACCUGACCUGAUGUGGAUUAAUUGCUGGAUUCUGCUCACUUUUAGUACUUUGUAUUUAUUUCAGGGAGUAGAACGGAAAUUUGAUAACAGGUGCUAAUUUGGCAGAAAAAAGUCCAGAUGAUAGAGCUUGCCCCAAGGGCAUUUUUGGAAAGGAGAACUUGUGCCCAUCUUGGUAAUUUGGGAGAAAAGGGAAACAGACAAAAUGGGUCUAACAUGGAUUGGAAGCGGCCGCACAGUAGCAGGGAAGAGGGCAGACGUAAAAGCAAUUGCAGGGGGGAAAAGGAGUUUUUUUAGUUUUUAGCUUAGCAUCUGAUUUUCCCUGGGAGACUUUUGUUAAAGAUUUCCUUUUGGCUGAUAUUACGCAUGGCAGAUGGCUUUUAACUUAUUCCUCCAUCUUUGACUUUUCUUCUUUAGCUUGUAGUAGUGGAUUGCUACUUACGAAUGUCAGCACUUAGCCAUUCGUGGCUUUUGAUCUUUUCUUCCUUAGAAAUUCUGAGUAGCCUCUUUUCCUUUGUGCGCCAGACGAAGUGAAAACUAUAAACUUUUGUAGUGUUUCUAUUCAUUCAAUAUAUUGAGACGAGUUGGAUUCUACCAAAUUUCAAUGGACAUGGCCGCUGGUUUCUCUUCAAUUUUAUAUGGGCUUUGUUCAUCGAACAUGAACUAAUUUCACCACUCUAGUCAAGGAACAACGAAGACUCUGGUUCGCCUAAAAAUUGUGAGAUCGUUUUAAUUUAAUCUUUUCCUUUUAUUUAUUGGUAUCCGCACAUUUCUUGAUUGCUAUGCUUAUGGUUAUUUAAUUAAUUGAUUGUCUUGGAUCCAGAUAAUUAAUUGAUCUGAUAGCCUAUUGUCAAUUAGGGCAUUUAAAUCCGUAAUUGUUUAAUUGUCCUGAAAUAGUGACAACUGGCACGAUUAGAUUCGUGCCAGGGGGGAUAUGCGGGCUAAUCUAAAAUAACCCUGGUAGUGUGUUAUUUGGUUAGAAUAGGGCUCCUCUAAUAUGUAAGGCAAUUGGGGAAUUAAAUUCUACGGGCGUACCUAGAAUUAUUUCUUAAUUAGAGUAGUGAUUAACGGGCGUACCUUGAUCACCGACACAGUAAGGAGGGGUUGACUGCCAUCGCUUGUUUGGCAGUUAUAACAUAUUUAUCAGUAAAUAAUUGGGAUUGCCUUGCAUCAAUGAUCAAUUAGAUGAACUAUUGCUGAAGUUACUUCUUGGCUAGAUCUUUAGUUAAUAUUACCUUGAUUUUGGUGAAUUGCCAUUUGAUUUUUAGUUGCCUACUUUAUUUUAUUUUUAAUUGUUUCCUUGCUUUAAUUGAGUUAGGCCUUUAAUUAUUGUUAUUCUAAGUUUAGUGAAUUGUGGUUUAAUUCCUAAUUAGUUAUUUAUUUUUACUUUCUUAUUUGAAUUUAUUUGCUUGUUAUCAUUCCUACGAAAUCACCCCCCUGUGUUACUUUGGAUUUCUUAAGAAACAAAUAUACCCAGUCCCUGUGGAUACGACCCUACUUGCCCUGUCCACGAAUUCAUAAUUAUUUGUGAAAAGAAAUAACCAUUCCACUCGGGUAUAUCGGAUCAAGCAAACUCUUCGGGAACAGGGUGAAUCAAGUAACCCAUUGCACACCUAAAAUCCCUGCUCCAGUACUUGGAAUUGGGUUUUGGUCAUUUUAACUGGCAAUUAAGUUUAAUUUUAUUAUUGCACAGGCUGACGACCCUGUCAUUGUAUUUGUACCAAAAGUGAAAACUUAACUAUUUUAGUUGUAUUUAUUUCAUCAUGUUGGAUUGUAUUCAAAUAAUUUUUGUUUGAUUGUUUUUAUAAGUUUCAAUUGUAAAAUUAAAAUGAAUAAUAACUUGAUGAUGUGUUGAUAUUUUAGUACUUGAUUAUUUAUUAAAAUUUAAUUAUAAUAAAAUUUUAUUAACUCAACGAGAAAAAUUUUAUUAAUCCCGUGGGGGCACCCGCGGGGAAAGCGGGGCGGGGCGAGGGGAGUGGGAGGCGGAGGACGGGGCGGGGGCGGGGGAUGGGGGAGGGGUCCCCCGCCCCAACCCCGCCAUCCCCCGUCCCGUUGUCAUCCCUAGUAAUAGACUGGCAAGCAUUGUGGUGGUCAUUGAGCAACUUAUAGGAGAAAUAGUCCUAUAAGCUGUUCAAUGACCAAUCACAACUUGCUAAUUGGAUGACUAAUAUAGCUCUAGCUGUAAUGUUUUAAUUAAAUUACAUCACUAACGUUGGGAUGACUUUUUAACCAAAAAAAAAAAGCCUUAGUUCAAGCUUUUCCCUUUAUUGUGCAUUUUUUAAAGCAUUUGAAAGGCACUGCAAAUCUGUCAUUUUGGACAUUUUAUUAUUGACUAACAAUGAAAGCCGUGGACGUCUACCCAUAACCAACACAAGAUUAAAUUAAUAUUAGAAAAAAUAAUUGAGUAAUUGGAAAAAAAAAAAAAAGAAGAGUCUAAUUUUCAUUGAAACCCACCGACAAACUAUACGUGUCCAUGGCUUUUGAAUAGUGCAUUCAACGUUUAAUUGUAUGGUCCAGUUCAUUGCAGAUUACAUGGAGUAAAGAUUGCGCUCUUUCCUUUUCACCCCUUUUGGAAUCGAUACUGUGGAGAAUUGGGUUUUUCCCUCCUUUUUUUCUUUUCUUUCCUUCUGUGGUUUGCAAAACAUACGUAAAAAUAUGAAAUCCGAAGCAUUCUUUAAUUGGUAUUAAGUAUUGUUGUUGAAAUUAAAAAGAAAAAAGAAAGAACAACAAAAUUCCCAAUCUGGGUUGAUUGUUGAGCUCUAGAUUGGUUGCAUCGUGCUUCCAUAGAAGCAAGAUUUGUAAAAUCGGAAUCCUACAUAGGAUCGAUUUUAGUUUCACAGGAUCGGAUUGUAAAAUCGUAAGAUCCUACCAAAAGCUCUCAAUUGCAAUUAAAGGUUGCAAUUCUUUAAUAAAUUACAAAUAUACCACAAAUAUUUUCAUUUACUUGCAAAAUGGAGCUUCGUAUUUCACAAAUUUACAAAAAAAUUGUAGGAUCGUACGAUCCUACCGAUCCUACGAUCCUACACGAUCCUACCGAUCCUGCUACGAUUCUAUGCGAUCCUACAAAGAUUAAUAUGAUUUGCGACUCUGCAUACGAUCCGGAUCGAUUUUGGUUAUCCGGAUCGUAGGAUCGUAUGAUCCUACGAUCCGGAUCGCGAUUUUGACAACUAUGCAUAGAAGCUCUCUUAGUGUGAUACACUGCUUUCAAUCAGUUUAACACGGGAAAAAAAAAAAGAGAUGAAAAGCAAAUUUGGUGGAGAUAAUUUCAGAAACCUCCCCUGAAGAUUUUGACUAUUCUACUGGUUUCCCUUCAGAUUUUAAAAAUUACACUAAUCUUCCUUGAAGUUAAUUAUCUUGUAACAUUUAAAUUCAAUCAAUAAUUUAAAAAAUGAUAUUAUGAGAGAGAAAAUAAUAUGAUUUUAUCAUUGCCCCCCAUCUUACUACAUUAUUUAAUUAAUUUAAUAGCAACCCACACAUUAAAGAAAAAUAUUAAAAUUUGUUGUUUAUCAUUAAAGAUCAAAUCGCUUAUAACAUCAAAUAAUAGUAUAUUAUUUAUAUUUUUCACUUAAUAUAAUAUCCAAAUUACUCUUUUCAAUUACAUACCCAUUGUUAGAGAAUCAACAACAAAUAACCAAAAAAUUUGCAACCAAAAUAUUACAAAAAAAAUAAACUUUAACAUCAUAAAUAUUCUUAUCAACAUAUUAAAGUUAGUUACUGAAAUUUUUAUGCUGUUAAACUUCACUCUUUUUGAAUACAGAUUUUUUUGAUUAUUUGUUAUUAAUUAUGUUUGAUGAUGGGUUUAUAAUUGAAAAGAACAAUUUGAAACUUACAUUAAGUAAAAUAUAUAGAGUGAUAUACUAUUUUUUAUAACAUAUGUGAUUCAAUCCUUCUUGAUAGGAUUGGUAAUAGAGGUAGAGGGGGGAGUCGGCUGCAUCCGGUCUUCUUUUCAUAGAUAGUACAAUAUUGCGAAAUCAAUCGCAUUCACACAAUAAUAUUUCGAAGUCAAUGCAUGGCUAAGUUGCAUAAAAGUACGAACACUUGUUAUUAUAUAGCUUAAGAUUCAAAACUUUCGAGCAUAACCCUCCACCCAACACAAUUGAAUAAUGAAUAUUCACGAUUGUCAAAUCUGUCAAAGCACAGUUUGAGGACAACCCAUUCCAACCUGCAAAAGAUUUUUUACUUUUCUAAAGUUGUUGAGAGCUGUAAAAAGACUUACCAUGCUUGCAUCCUCCGAGCCUUGGGAGUUAAAAAUGAAGGCACUGAGUGCUAUAAAAAGGGGAAUAGAGGCUGCCUAGAAGCAUAUCAGCCUAAAACAAGAAUUUGUAGUUAAGAUGGGAAGCAAAGCAAAAGCAAUGGGGUCUGGGCUGACUCCUCUUCUUGCCACUGUUUUAGUGGUGUUUGUUGCUCUUGGCUUGCCCUCACAAACUGCAGCUGAUGAUCACUACAAGUAUUCAUCUCCUCCUCCUCCUUACCACUAUCCCUCACCACCACCACCAGUGCAUAUACCUCCACCUCAUCCUGUUUACAAGUACAAAUCUCCACCACCCCCACCACCACACCCAGUUUACAAGUAUAAGUCACCACCACCACCUCCUCAUCCGGUAUACAAGUAUAAGUCUCCUCCGCCACCACCACACCCAGUUUACAAGUACAAGUCACCACCACCACCUCCUCAUCCGGUACCACACCCAGUUUACAAGUAUAAGUCACCUCCACCACCUCCUCAUCCGGUACCCACAGUUUACAAGUAUAAGUCACCACCACCACCUCCUCAUCCGGUAUACAAGUAUAAGUCUCCUCCGCCACCACCACACCCAGUUUACAAGUAUAAGUCACCACCACCACCUCCUCAUCCGGUGCCACACCCAGUUUACCACUACAAGUCACCACCACCACCUCCUCAUCCGGUACCACACCCAGUUUACCACUACAAGUCACCACCACCUCCUCACCCAGUUUACAAAUACGAGUCUCCACCACCACCAGUUUAUAAGUACAAGUCACCACCACCUCCUCCACCAGUUUACAAGUAUAAAUCUCCUCCACCACCACCACCAGUUUACCACUACAAGUCUCCACCACCUCCUCCCCCAGUUUACAAAUACAAGUCUCCACCACCUCCUCACCACUACUAAGCAAUUGCUUCUGAGGUAAUAACACUUGUUCAAUAUACCCACUUCUGCAUGAUAAAGCAUAUCUCUAUCAACACAAACUGUCAUGUCUAUCAUGCUAAGUGCCUUCACUUCAUCCACCAAAAUGACUGCUAGAAAAUUUUUUUUAUGUUACCAAAGAAAGGCAUCAUUUUUUCCCUCUGUUAUCAAGAACUUGUACAGUAUAUAGAUUAAAGAGUAUUUUUUUAACUAGCUUAUCAACUGAGAAAUGCAUAUAGCUGAUAGCCAGCUGAAUAUUUGCAGGCAAAGGAGAAGGAAACCAUGUUUGAGACCUUCUUGAAGAUGUAGAAGCAUAAGAAUAAAAGCCCAAUGUGAAGAUGAUGAUUUCAAGUUUUUCUACGUUACCAUUUCUUUAUCUAAAUUGGUUGUAGCGCCCAAGUUCCUUUGUUUAUGGGAUUUGUAUCGUUUUACGUACCAUGCAGUACAUGUCAUGUUUGUAAGGUUUUCUAUCCUGCCGGCAAACCGCAGGUUCCAUGUGAUAAAUGAAUACUAUUUAUGUUACGACACUUUUCUCUGUUUCUCUUAUAUUUUGUCUUUAAUAUUCUUAAUCAUAUUUUUAACAAAAAUAUUCAAACACUUAGGCAAUCUGGUCUAAUGCUAAUUGUAUGUUUUACUUUUCUUUUUCACCUGCUCCCCUUUUCAACUCAAAAGGAUGCAAUAGUUUGUGAUCACUGUUUAAGACGGAAGCAUGAUACUAAUGAAUAUCUCAUUGAAACUCAAGGAAACUAACAUUGCGAAAAGUGUAAAUCUUGAUUUGAUGCAACUAUUUAUUCGUGGAAUCUAUAGUUACAAAACUCAAAUUCUGACUGCGCCAUUGAUAAAUUAUUAAUGACGCUAUCAUCAUUAUUUAUCCCUAACUAGUUUCGACUACAACUGAACCCAAUAUUUUCCCCAUGAUAAAAGUUUUUGACUAUUUUACUGGCCUCUCUUCAAAUUUUAAAAAUUACACUAAUCUUCAUUGAGAUUAAUUAUCUUGUAACAUUUAAGUCCAAUUAAUAAUUAAAAAAUGAUAUUAUGAGAGAGAAAAUAAUAUAAUUUUAUCAUUGCCCCCCAUCUUGCUAUAUUAUUUAAUUAAUUUAAUAGCAACCCACACAUUAAAGAAAAAUACUAAAAUUUGCUGCUUUUCAUUAAAGAUCAAAUUGCAUAUGCCAUAAAACAUAGUAUAUCAUUCUAUAUGUUUCACUUAAUGUAAGAUCCCAAUUGUUCUUUUCAAUUACAAACCCAUUGUCAAACAUGAUCAAUAACAAAUAAUCAAAAAAUUUGCAACCAAAAUAUUACAAAAAAAAACUUUAACAUCAUAAAUAUUCUUACCACCUCUAGUGCAUUCACCCUCAUAAAAUAAUUCAAGACCCUACUGUCAUAAAAUGACUGAUCAACUCCUGUAAACCUAAUUUGACAACAUUUAAAUGGAGAACUUUAGCUAAAAGAAUUAUGGUCAAGCUAAAGAAAAAACCAGUUAUUUUCCAACAUAUGCAACCAUUGAUCAGGGGAAAAAAAAAAGCAAAAAGACAUCUUCAAUCAUUUAAUAGCUUACAGGGCAAAUUAACCCUUGAGUGAAAACUGGUUGCUCUAGAAUUAAAAUUUUACCUUAGUUACCCAGGCAACUUUUUUGUUGCCUUUUCUUUUUCUUUUUUGGGUAUAUAGCUCCAGUUUUGCCCCCUCUGUCAAGCUUAUAUAAUUAUUAAGAUAAUAAAAGUGCCUUUAAUAGUAUUAAUAUAUCCAUUGACUUGAGCUGUCAUCGAUCGGUUUGGGCUACUUCGAUUCCAUGAGAACAAAUGGUAAUAAAAGUACUCAGAAAAUGGGGAGUCAUGAAACCCUUUUGUUCUAUUCAUUGCUAAGAUGCUUUUCUCUAUAAAGAGACUUCCUAACGAAAAUACUUUGUAGAUUUCUUUACUCCAAGUGGUGCAUGGAAAAUUAAUAUUUUCAAUUAUCAAAUAAAAUUCCCUUUUUUCGGCGUAGAUUUCAUCCAUCCAGCUGUUAACACAUUCUAUAAAUCCGAAUUGACUAAUCUUUUCGUUUCCAUUUUCCAACUUGCGAAUACGGCAUAUAGUGUCUGCUAAACACUAUAUAUUCUCUGCCAAAUAUGAAUACAUAUCACUUUUCUGAGCAAGUGCAGAGUCAUUAUCAUUUUUAUUCCCACCUAACAAAUUAGGGAUAAAAAAGUUAAUAAUCUUUACAUGCUAUCAGGUCACAAGUUAAUAAUCUUUUAAAGAACAUGUUAAAUUAAUUUAUUGGUAUGAAUAGUAGUCAAAGAAGUAUGUUAAAGUUAGUAAUCUUUAAAAUAAUAUGUUAAAAUCAUUCGUACAAAUUAGUCAGAGAAGUAGCAUAAACACCGCGAUGCAAUUAAUACUUUCAAUCUCAAGGUCUCUAUUAUGGAAAUUUGCAUCGGUCAAUAUACACUUGGCAUAAUAUAAUCUCCCAACUCAUUUCUUUACAAAUGCACCUUUAAUCACCACCAAAAGGUGUGGACAUGAUCUUUACCCUAGAAAACUAUUCACCGACAGGCAAAUUGACGUCAGAAAUACUGAGGAAUUCUAGUUUCCUUCGGGUUCAUGCCAUGUUGUAUCCUUCAACUGUAACUCGAUUUCUAAGCUGUAAUUUGUGACAUAAUAGUCCUUAAACUAUGAAACCCUUCUUACUUAAUUACAAUGGUUAAUACAAUGCCCGUGACUAGACAAGUAUGAAGCAACCAUAACAGAAAAAAAAUCCAAAAUUAGAGAAAAGAAAGAAGUUUCGCGACCACCACCAGUUUACAAGUCACCUCCACCACCUCCUCCAGUUUACAAGUCACCUCCACCACCUUACCAUUAUUCCUCACCACCACCUCCAGUGCAUUCACCCCCACCACCACCAGUUUACAAGUCUCCGCCACCACCUUACCAUUAUUCCUCACCACCACCUCCUGUGCAUGCACCUCCACCACCAAUUUACAAGUCACCUCCUCCAGUUUACAAGUCUCCACCACCACCUUACGAUUAUUCCUCACCACCACCUCCAGUGCAUUCACCCCCACCACCACCAAUUUAUAAGUCUCCCCCACCGCCUCCCCCAGUAUAUAAGUCACCACCACCACCUCCUCCAGUAUACAAAUCACCUCCACCACCUCCUCCAGUUGACAAAUCUCCACCACCACCAAUUUAUAAAUACAAGUCUCCUCCACUACCUCCUCCAGUGUACAAGUCAUCACCACCACCUGCUUACAAGUCUCCACCUCCUCCAGUUUACAGUUCCCCACCACCACCAAUCUACAAGUCUCCACCUCCACCCUACCAUUACUACUACAAUUCUCCUCCUCCUCCUCGUCACUACUAAGCAAUUGUAUCCAAGUUUUUGAGGUAAUAACGCUUAACCAAUAAAUUAACUUUCGCAUGAUAAACCUUAUCUCUAUCAAGACAAACUGCCAUGUGUAUCAUGCCAAAUACGUACACCUAGAUCCAUGAAAAUGAAUGGUAGAAAGUUUUCUUAAGAACCAAGAACAGCAUUAGUAUUCCCUCUGCUUCCAAAAACUUGUGUAUUAAAUAGAUUAAUGAAUUGUUUAACAUGCUCAUCUACUUGAAAAUGCACAAUACCCAUAACCCACUGAAAUUUUUGCAGGAAAAGGGAAAGAGAAUCUGUGUUUGAGAGCUUCAUGAAGAUGUUGAAGAAUAAGAAUAAAAGCCCAAUGCAAGGAUGUUUUCAAGUUUUUCUAUGUUUCCACUUUAAUUUGUAAAUUGAAUUUUGCGACUCAAUUAAUUCCCUGUUUGUGAGGUACGUAUUGUUUUACGUACCAUGCCGUACAUUUUUUUUUUCCAACAAACGGUAUCAUGUUAUAGAUAUUAACACUUGACCUUACAAGGAUUAGUUACAAAAAGGGGAUACUACCCUCAACUCUGUCCUAGCUAAAUCAGUCAGCCAUAUUGGGAAAUUAGUUUCCCAUUCAAUAUCAUGUACAAGCUUCACAGCAUAUUGUGCUAAUUGAUGGCUGAUGUGAUUUUCAGUUCUAGGUAUAAACACAAAAGAACAUUUUUCAAAAGCUAGACUAAGUUCCUGCACAUCUUCUAAGAUAGUUGCAGUCGUGUAGUCAUACUCCUUGCGUUUAGUAAUCUGCUCUACCACUGAUUUGCAGUCUGUAUGGACUAUAAUUUGUGUCCAACCUGCUUGGGUAGCCAUCAGCAGAGCAUUUCUCACAGCCCGAGCUUCCACUUCACUUGCCGAUCCCUUUCCCUGUGUGACAAUUCCUUUUGCUUUCAAAAGCUGUCCUUUCCAAUUUCUUGCUAUAAUCCCUUGUCCGGUCCUGACUCGUUUAGCUGAUAUCGCUGCAUCGGUAUACAGCCUUAUCUCUUCCUUCCUUGGCCGCACUCUCCUGGUAGGUAAGGCAUCAUUCAGCUUCCCUGCGAUCUCCUUCUGGUCUGUACUCCCUACCUGUUCAAACUCAAGCCAUUCCUCCUGUGCUUUCCUUACUAUUUUUACUGGAUCCUGGUUGGCUUGUUCAAAAAAUUUUUUGUUCCUGGCUUUCCAAAUUUGCCAAAGGAUAUUGAUAGUAAGACUAACUCUCUCCUGACCUUGGUUCAGUGCCAGCGAUUGUGUGACUUGUUCCCACCAUAACCAAAAGUUAUAUUGCAUACCCAGUAAUCCAUCCCACCUGACCGGUGCUAGCUUCCACGUUUCCACAGCCUUUUCACAGAAGAAAAACAAAUGCUCAAUAGUUUCCAUAUCUUCACCACAGCAACCACAUCUGCCUUCCCCUCUAUGUAGCCUUUUCGACAUCUGUUCAUUGACUGGCAGACAAUUUUGUAAGCACUUCCACAUGAAGUGUUUUAGUUUGGCCUUCACCUUCAAAUGCCAUAGCUGCUUCCACACAUUUCGUUUUCGUAUCUCCCAACUUGUUUCUGCCUCUUGGCCUGUCCUUGUACCUGCUUUUCCUUCCCGUUGCCUUGCUAAAGCAUAACCAGAUUUCACGCUAUAAAUUCCAGCUUUGGAAUGCCCCCAUACCAACCUAUCCUUUCUUCUUCCUAUACUUGUUGGAAUUCCCUUUAUGUGCUCUGCAUCUUUUGCACAAAACCACUUGAGAAGCAAAUCAUUUUUCCAUUUCCCUUCCUCUAUCAGCUCACUUACCCAUUCCAACUUGCAUCCCACAGGUUGUGUGGUUGAUGCAAAGCCGGUAUCUGAACCAACUAUCCAUCUGUCCCGCCACAUGUUGACUGACUUGCCAUCUCCAAUUCUUUUCCAAAGACCAUCAUACAGAAAGGAGGCUGCACUAUGAAUACUCUUCCAACACCAUGAGGCUGAAGAGACUGGCUUCUUGUCCAUCCAUUUUUCAUCACUCAUAUACUUCGCCUUCAUUACCUUACUUACUAACAAAUUUGGAGCCAUUAAGAAUCUCCAAAUUUGUUUUGCCAGUAAUGCUGUGUUGAAGGCCUCCAAAUCUCUAAAGCCUAAACCUCCUCUUCCCUUAACUUCUAAGAGCUUCUUCCAGCUUGCCCAAUGUACACAGGUACCCUUUUCUCCCUUCCCCCACCAGAAACUCGCUAUUUUACCUGUGAUUUGUCUACACAAACCCCUUGGAAGUCUAAAGCAAGCCAUCACAUAUGUUGGCAUAGCCAUAAUCACUGAUUUGACCAGAAUUUCUUUCCCUCCUUGGCUCAACAGUUUUUGUUUCCAACCUUGCAACUUGUUACUAAUUUUGUUCUGGACAAAUGCAAAGACCUGUGUCUUUGAUCUUCCAAUUGCCAUUGGGAGUCCUAGGUAGGUUCCAUUCCUUGCCUCUUUAAUGUUAUCUAAUACCUCCCUCACUCCAUUCUUCCUUUGAUCAGUGGUAUUUUUGCUAUAGAAGAUAGCUGACUUUUCAAAAUUCACCACCUGUCCGGAUGCUUGACCAUAUCUUUCCAAUAUGCUUUUGACCUUCCUCGCCUCCUGCUUGGUUGCUUGGCAGCAUAGUAGAGAAUCAUCUGCAAAAAAUAGGUGAGAAACCAUCGGACUGUCCUUGCAUAUUUUGAUCCCUGUAAUUUCCUUGUUCAUCAUAGCUUUAUGGAUCAAACAUGAAAGACCUUCAGCGCAUAUAAUAAACAAGUACGGGGAUAGGGGGUCUCCUUGUCUAAGCCCUCUACUCGGUUGAACACAGCCUACCUUUUGCCCAUUUAAGUUGAAGGAGUAAGUCACAGUAGAUAGGCAAGACAUGAUCCAUUUAACAAAAAUUGGACAAAACCCCAUUUUCAUCAUAACUCUCCCCACAUAUUUCCAUUCGACUCUAUCGUAAGCUUUGGACAUGUCCAGUUUAAGAGCCAUAAAUCCUACCCUUCCCUUUCUCCUAUUUUUCAAAAAAUGCAGGAUUUCAUGUGCAACUACUACAUUAUCAAGAAUUUGACGGCCUGGGAUAAAAGCGGAUUGAGAGGGACUAAUACAAUGAUGCAAGACACCUUUCAAUCUAUUAGCUAUGAUUUUAGAAAUGAUUUUAUACAGGACAUUGCACAAGCUAAUAGGUCUAAAAUGCACCACAGAUUCAGGAGUAUCAACUUUAGGAAUCAACGAAAUAAUAGUAUCAUUCACAGCUUUGAGCAAAUGCCCAGUAUGAAAGAAACUCUUAAUAGCUGCUACCACAUCAUCCUUGAUAAUAUCCCAAUAGUGUUGAAAAAAUAGAGGAGACAUACCAUCCGUUCCUGGUGCUUUAUUAGGGUGCAUCGAGAACAAAGCUUUCCUGAUCUCACUUUCCUCCACUUGUCGUAUCAGUUGUCCAUUCAUAUGACUCGAAAUAGUGCUUGGAAUUUCAGCUAGAAUGUCCUCAAAGCAGUCCGGGUUAGUAGUGGUAAAAAGGUCUUUAUAGUACUCACAAAGUUCCUCCUCAAUCUCAUGUUCCUCCUUGCACCAUGUCCCAUCUUUUUUCUGCAAUAUAGUGAUCUUAUUUCUCCUCCUCUUUGCCAUGACCGAAGAAUGGAAAAAAGCUGUAUUCUUGUCCCCUUCUUUGAGCCACUUGUUCCUGGAUUUUUGACUCCAAAACAUCUCUUCCUCUGCAUAAGCUUUAUUCAAUUGUGCUUUUAGUUCAGCCACUUGUACUCUUUUCCCUUCAUCCUUUCUUGCUUUCACUUCAGCCAAUUUCUCCUUUAACACUUUAAUUCUAACCUUUGAGUUUCCCUGCACCUUUUUCCUCCAAUCCAGAAUAGCCAUGCGACAUUCCUUUAUUUUUGUAGCCACUCUAAACAUCCUGGACCCUGACUUCACCUUUGUCCAUGCUCCUUGAAUCACCCUUUUUGCUUCUGGAUUUAGCGUCCAUCGUUGAUCAAAGUAAAAUCUCCGUUUUCUCCUUGUGUUUUCCGGGUUUGUAUCCACAAGAAGCAUUAGAUGAUCAGAGGCUUCAGUAUCUAAAUGAGUACACUGUGCCUUUUCAAAUCUUUGCAGCCAUUCGGUGCUGCAUAAACAUCUAUCCAACCUCUCUUUCACUUCCCCAUCCCCCUCCCAACUAUUGCACCAAAUCCACGGGACCCCUUGAUAACCUAAGUCAACCAGGUUAUUGUCUUUGAUAAACCUGUUGAACUCCCUAAAACAUCUUUCAGCUCUAUCCCUUCCUCCCCACUUCUCCUCACUAGACCUCAAAUCAUUAAAAUCUCCUACAAUGAUCCAGCCAUCCCCCCAGUCCCUCAUCCUGUCCUCUAAAUAUUUCCAUUGUGCUUUUCUAAUGUUACUAUCUGUGCUUGCAUAAACACACACUAGCCCCCAGUAUCCUUUAGUAUCCUUGUCCUCAACUCUAGCACUAAUACACCAAUCAGUACUUACAAUCUGGUCUAAAAUCACCUCAUUGUUCCAGAAUAAUGCUAGACCGCCUGCUUUACCUAUUGAAUUCACAAAAAAGCUAUUGUCAUACUGAAUCUUCCUUUGAACCUUGCCCAUAAACCCUUCCUGAUUCUUAGUUUCACAAAGGAACACCACCUUAGGAGAGUGGAAGUUAGUCACUUCCUUUAGUUGGGGACUUGUCAAGGGGCCUCCUACACCUCGACAAUUCCACACCACAACCUUCAUUUACACUUUGGAGGCUUUCCGGGGCUAGCCUCCAUUUCCCCUAUUGUACUAACAUUUAUUAGAUCCAGUUUCAUAACCUUUACCUUCGGUACAUUAUCAUCAUCCUCCUCUAUCGGUUGUGUUCCCUGAAACAUACCAUCAGCCUUCCUUUUAGCACACGAAACCUGCGUUACUUGUCCAUUUGUAUCUGCCUUUAAGGAUGUUUUAGCCGGCCUCCCUCUUCUUUUAAAACUGCUUCUUUUUUCAGCUUUGUUAUCUUCUUCCCCUGGAGUAGCCUCCUUUCUUGGCAUUCUUGCAUUUGUCUCCUCCUGCUUUAUUGACCCUACCCGCAAACUUUCACAUUCCUGUUUUGAGCUGUCCGUUUCCAUAUCCUCAUAAUCUACUGGUGGGAUUACGCUGCUCCCUCCUUUACUCCCUUCCUGUACCCUACCCUCCUUUUCACCAUUUCCCUCCAUUAAGACCACAGCCAAACUUUCCACCCGUUGGUUUGCCUUUCCAUACUGCCUGCUGUCUUUUAGAAUCUCAUCCCACCUCUCUUCAUAUUGUCUCGUCAUCAUUUUCUCCUUAUCCCCCCUUUCCUUUCCCCCCAAGACUCUACCAUUUUUUCCCCCAAGAGUUAAUGUAUCUCCAGCCAUUUGUACUCCAGUUUGAACUUCACUACUAGGAGACCCUGCCCCCACCCUCCUUGCAUCAAUUUCACUUACUCCUUCCAGCCGUCCCUUUAAGGGAGAUACCAUUAUAUUUCCAGCUCUCAUCCAGGCACCAUAUUGUUCCUCUCGCUUCUCCCCCCCACCCUUCCUACCACAGUACAAGUCCUAUCACUAUGCCCAAUGAUACCACACCUAUAACAGAAAUCAGGGCAGCGUUCAUACCUGAACUCAACCCACACUGCCUGGUUCUUACAGUUGAUCUUUGUCCCUCUAACCAGUGGUUUCGUUAUAUCUACCUCAGCCAUAAUCUUCAUGUGGCGACCCUCUUUCCCACCACUUCCUGGGAGAAUCACUCCCCUCACUGAUUUAAAGAUCCCUCCUAUUUUCAAACCCACUGCUCUGCUCAACCAGUGCACCGGUAGGUUCCAUAGUUGAAUCCAAAGAAAGGAAUGCUGGAAAAAGCUGCUGUUUGUAUCAUACCCCUCUACCCACUCCUUCACUAUCAGCAACUGGUUGUCCAUGACCCAAGGCCCUCCAGAUAAGAUCUUUUUCUUUUCCCCUUCAUCUCCCAGAUGGAAAUGGAAUAAGUUAGGACCUAACUCAGUCACUUUCAUCUUUGAGGGGUAUCCCCAUGCAUGAUUUGUAAAGUUCUUUAACCCCGUAAAGUUGGCAAUUUUUUCACCAAUCAGCUUUCCUACCAGGCUUCCUUGACACUCAGAGACGCCUUCUUCCAGGUCCUCACCACUCAGAUCGACACCUCCUAACUCUGUUUCAGACAAGUCAAAAUUUUGAAAGGCUCUUUCUAAAGCAUCCGCCAUUGCUGUGACGAGAGCUCCUUGAGAAACCAAGCACUAUUUCUGAGCUAUGAGUGACCCACUGACAGACCUGUGAAGAAUUGCAAAGACAGACAAAGCUGUGUUAUCCGUACACACUAAAAACCAACCAGAAAAACAGAGAGGAACUCGACAGAAAAAGCACAGGCACAAGAAGAAACGAAAGAAAAAAGAAAAACCAACAAACCACUAUCCCACUCCCGACCACAUAACAGCAUUAAAGAAAGGGACACAAAUACGACACUCCAACUUCCGAUCACAUGCUCUGACUCAAUGGAUCAUAUCUUGCCCAAAGCGUUUACUCCUCCAACCGAUUCCAAACCACUACAGACAUUGUCUCCCAUUUUGAAGCCGGAAGAAAGGUGGCUUCUGGACAGGGAACAUGAAAGCAAAGGUUGAACUAAAGAUUUGAUUUUAGAUCUGAAAAUUACGCUGUAGGAAAAAGUGCUAUGUGUUUGUACCUCACCCACUCUCCCACACCGAGGAGGGGAACCUCUAAAGUUAGAGAGAGAAGCUCUCAAGUUAGAGAGAAGCUUUGGAAGUUAAUUACCAACGUACCAUGCCGUACAUGUUUGUAAGGAUUUCUAUCCUAUUGGCAAAAGUCGGUUCCAUACAAUUAAUCAAUUCAUUUCACUUCUAUUGGCUCUACUAUUUAUGCAUGUUACGACACUCUUUCCCUUAUAUUUUGCCUUUAAUAUUAUGAGUCAAUAGUAAUAAUGGGCCUUUUUCUUAAAAUUAUACUAUUAUACAUAGGUAGUUUGGUCUAACGCUAAAUUCAUGUUUGUCUUUCUUUUAUUCCCUUUACAUCUCAAAGUAUACUAUAGUUUGUAAUCAUUGUGGUGAUGAUAUUACCAGCUGGUACUUAUAGUUUAAGGCAGAGACAUGAUAUUAACAACUAUCUCAUUGAAACAUAAGUCAAAAUCAUGACAAGUGUGAGUCUUGGUUAAUGCACAAUUUGUUAGUGGAAUUUAUAUUUAUAAAACUCAAAAAAAAUUUUUGACAAUGCUAUUACUAAUUAAUUAAGGACUUCAUUGCUAUAAUUUAUCGCUUACUAAUUUAAACUAUAAAUGAUCUCAAUACUUUUCUCCAUGAUGUCGAUUUCUUUAGACUACGAAAGGGAAAAAUUAGUGACAUAUCCCUUACUGAUUACAACAUCAGCAAAAAUUAGUUAUAAACUUUUCCGGUGGUUUUAAAUCCCUCGGGCACUAAGGUUUUUUGCACAUCGAGUGAAUUAAGGAACAUAGGCAAUUCGUUCUGCAUACCAAGUCCUUGUUUAAGAUGCACGUACUAAAAUGCAUCCACUUCAUUAAUUUGGAAAAUUGCCAUAGUUUUUUUUAAGCAUUUUGAUUUUUUACAUGAUUCAAAAUUUUCUUAUUGGAUACAAUCACUUUGUGUCAAGAACACAUUUUCAAUCAUCUUUUUUAUCUUCUCAAUAAGAAAAUAAAAAUUUAUUCAUGCUUUUCUAACAUAUCCAAUCAUUGAUCUGAAAAAUAAAGAAUUAAAAAAAAAAGACAUUUUCAAUCAUUGCUUACGGGGCAACUUCCCCAUGUGAACCUCAUCAAACAAAGCCAAUAAUAUGAAGGAACAUCUAAAUACACUUUUGCCCUAAAGGCUGGUUGCCUUGGGGUCAAAAUUUAACCUUCGGGAGUAUAAUUACCCGCCAAAUUUAUUAUUUUUUUUAUGGGUAUAUAGUUCCAAUUUUGCCUCCUGUUAAGCUUAUAAAUAUAUUACGACCCAGAAAAUAAAGGAAUCUUGAAUAGUAACAUGUCCAUUGACUUGAGUUGUUAUCAAUUUGGCUACUUCGAUUCCAUGAGGCCAAUCCAAUUCACACUAGCUAGAGAAAAUGGUGAUAAAGGCACUUAGAAAUUUAUAUGUAAUAUUGAUUGGUAGUAACUGAUAAGUAUAUAUUUUACGUGUUUUAAAUAUGUUUUAUUAGUUAGUUUUGGUGUGUUUUAACUACUUUUAUAACUAAUUAACUAGGAAUCUAGUGAAAAUAUGCAUUUUGUGGUUUGAAGUGUAAAAAUUGUAUUUCUAUGGAUUUUAAUGGUGAAAACUUCAUGUUUUUGUAGGUUUAAUGAUUCAAUCAUCAAAUGACAUGAUUUGAGAAGAUAAUUAGAUGAUUGAUGAUGUUUUGAAGUGAUAAAAAGAGAAUACAAAGUGCAAGAGAGGAAAUGCAAUCAAGAAUAAAAGAAGAAAAUUUUUGUAGCUUUGACAUAUUGUCGUAUUUCGGCAAUAUAUUGAGCUACAAUGAUCGGAUUAAGGUGAUUCUUAAACCAUUUGAAGCUAAAAUAUAGAUCUACAUUUGGCAUGAAGGCAUCGAAACCCAUGUCAGUCAUUUUCCUUGUCAAAAUGUUGAAAUACAGAAGUGCAACUCUGUUCUCGAAAGCUAAAACAGAGCUCUGGCUAGUCGAGGGUAUUUUCAUCAUUUCUUAGUCCACAGAGCUCCAAAUGAGAUGAUUCUUAAGGCAUUAGAACCCUAACUCAAAGAGCUACAACUUUCAUAUUUUGUACAAGAGUUAGUUCGGCCUCUAUCAUUAAGAAAAUAGUAGUUGAAGUGGUGCCAAAUGCAUAGAAGUGAAAACGCGAGCUAUCAAUACUCGACCUGAAGUCGCGUAUUCCUGAGGUCAUGCAUUCUCUUCUAUUUUCUGCAACUUGCCCUGCUUUCACAUAACUUUUUCAUCUCAAUUCCAACUAUCAAUUUCGGCUAUAUCUGAUCAAGAAAAGUGUGGAAAGUUUGAAAGACAACUCAUAGGAGUUUCAAGAGUCAAAAAUUACAAUUAGAAACAACUCAUUUGGCUCUUGAAUCCUCUAUAAAUAGAGGCCUUUGAAGAACAUUUUCACAACUUUGGAAGGUUAGAGAAACUCCACAAAAACAUAGUCUUCACUAGAAUUUCCUUAGUUCAUUAGUUAGGGUAGUAUAGUAUAGUUAGUGUAGCUUUUCCUUCUUGUAUUUAUAGUUAGGUUUGAAUGAAGAUUCAGGAGCAAAGAUAGAGAGGUUGAUCUCAUGUGACAAGGGUGAUAUCUCUUCUACUACUUUCUCUUUUGUAUUUGAUUUCAUAUUUAACUAUACUACAAAUUUGGCUUUGUUUUUUUUUUUUUAUCAUGUUUAGUUAAAGUUUAUGCCUAGAGUAUGGAUGACCUUUUUAUAUCUUGUUUGUGAUAUUUAACUGGUUAUUUGAUGAUGUUAUUUUUGAGCAAGUUAUUUAUCACUUUUGCUUUUCUAAUCAUGAUUAACUGGCCAUUAGUUGUGAUUAUCUAAAAGUGUUAAGUUUGUAAUGAGAAUUGGAGUUUAACACUAGUUCAAGGAAGUGAUAAAUUUAGGGAGUUCACUCAUGAGAGUAGAGGAACACCUUUGUGACCUAAGUGACUUGUUUCAUAUAAUUUCAUAGAAAAAAUGAACUUGUAAUUAAUUUCAUAACCACGAGAGUAAGUAUGGUUUAGCUAUAUGUAUAGUUGAUUCACUACGAGAGUAGGUUUCACAUACAUUAGAAAAUUACAUCAUAACUAGUCAAGAUAAUAUCAUUCAUUUAAUCAGUAAUCUCAUUUGCAUGAGUAGUAAGGCAUUCCAUAUCUCUAGGAGGUUUUUAGUAUUAUUUUCAUUACUUUUAUGUUUAUGGUAGUCUAGAUAAUAAUGGAGUUCGAAAACUACUAGUAAUUGAAAAUUUUCCCUGUGGGAUCGACCUUUAAUACCCUAUACUCGCUCUCGACUCGUAUACUUGAGAAAAAUCACGUGUGCGGUAUUUAGAAUUUAUAAAUGUAAAACUUGACUGUAGAUGAACUAAUUGAUAUAUGUAUACCCCGCACUCGUCAGUAACCAGCUUGUAUUGAUCCCACUAUUGUGGAUAAUUGUGCUCUUAUGAAAAAAAAUUAUAAAAAAAUUAGCAAAAUUUAUGAUAACAAAUUAAAUUUAUUCAUACAAAUCAGUGAAAGAAGUAGAAUUUUAAAGUCCAUGAUGAAAUUAAUACUUUCAAGGGCUCUAUUAGGAAGACUUCACUUGUUGGUGAAACUACACUAGCACAGUUAUAUGCACAUUUACUGUUUUGGUAUCUAAUUUCCUUGCCUUAAGUUGGGUGCAGAUGUUUAUAUUACAAAUAGAUGGUAUCAUAAAAUUGUUGUAUUCACGUUUGUUCUUUUUUUUCUUCCUUAAGUUUUUUUCUUUAUUCUCGUGACUUCAAAAAUACGAACUCAAGAAAUUGGCUGCUUAAUCAAUAUGUCAUACAGGCUUCGCUAGUGAGGUAUAACUUCACAACUAGAGUCAAUAGAAAUUAUCAAAUGAUUUUUUAACAUCCAAAUUAAGCAAUAAAUUUUGUUUUCAUUUUAUGACAUAUAAUAGUACUACUUCAUGAGAGAUUUUAUAGUUUCUUUUAGGUAUCAUACCUACAAGUGAUAUUUGUCAUUGGAUAGUGACAGAAGUGUUAAUGAUUGUAAGAUUAAAUAUUGUUAAAUAUUGAAAUUUAAACUAUUUAUCUUUAUUGAAAGAUACAAGUUAAAGAAUCGUUCAAGGGGGCAAUUUUCCAUCUUGUCUUUUUGAAAAAACGCUAUCACAUUGUAUAGGCAUGAUAGGUUCAAAUUUGUCAUUAAAUUUAUGAUUGAUUUUCCUUUUAUUCAAGCCAAAUAUUGUUUUAAUUAUCAAAUUCUACUUAUAUUUGGUUAAUUGUACUAAUUGUAGGGCGGUAGAGCAAAAGUUGCUAAAAAUAGGCGAUUUUCUGCAAAUUGGUUGUCAAGGCUGAAGGAUUUGGGAUUCGCAUGUUCAAGGCCUGUUUCCAAGUUUGAUUCAAACUCUGGACAGUUUUAGAGGAAGAUUUGGAAGAUUUGAAAUUUCAUUAUUAGUUUUAUGGUUGAAUUAGGAAUCUUGGAAUAAUUUCUUUUGUGAUUUAUUUUUCUAUUUAGGAGACUAGUUGUUAUUUAGUAGUAGACUUCAAUUAGAAAACAAAGAGAAAAAGAAGGCCGGAAUCCCGCUUGAUUAAUACCUUGGCCAGGGAACAAUCUCGGUGGGGAGGACGGCCACUUAGCCUCUCAAUUCAUCUUGCUUUUCGUUAGUUUGAGAGGAAAACCAAUUGCAACUAGAUUCAAUGGAGUCUGGCAGAAUUUCUUCUAGGAUGCGUAGCUAAAUCCUCAAUUUUUAGUCGAAGGUCAAUUUGAAAAUUCGGUUCCAAAUAUCUGUGAAAUCGAAUUAUUUUACUUAUUUCUUUUAUUUAUUGGUAUUCGCACGUUUUCUGAUUUAACUUUUUAUGAUUGUUUUGUUAUUUGAAUGUCAAGGGUCCGAUAUUCGAAUUAACUUAAUAAUCUACUGCCAAAUUAACCGGUUAAAUCCGUAAUUGUUUGAUUGAUUAAUAUCAGUGGCGACUAGCGUGAUUGGUCCCAUGUUAGGAAAACGUCUGAUCUAAUUUAAACAAACCGUCGUAGCGUGUUUGUUGAUUAGGGUUGGGCUUUUCUAAUUCUUAAUUCAAUUGAGAAAUUAAAUCCCCCGGUCGUACCUAGGAUUAUUUUUUUGUUAGCGAAAUAGUUAAUGGUCGUACCUUGACUAUCGAAAAAGUAAGGAAGAGUUGAUUGUUUAUCGCGUGUACGACAACUAUAAUCAAUCUAUUAAUGAGUAAUUGAAUUAUCUUUGCAUCAGUAAUCAGUUGAAUGGACCGUGUCUGAAAAGUUGUACCUUUGGCUAGAGUCUUAUCUGUUGUUGAUUCAUUCAUAUCUAUCUUCAUGCGUUGUUUUAAUUUAGUUAAUUAGUUAUUUUUAUAAAAACCCCUCAUCUCUGGACUCUAAAAGAAAUAAAUUAUUUCUAGUUCCUGUGGAUUCGAUCCUACUCACCAUACAAUCCAACCUGCAAUUGUAUGAACCCCAAUCUCGCUUCCUAGUCCACCAUUUUUCUCUAGGUAAUAAUCUCCCUUCUAAUUUCUUCACAAAAUGCACCUUUCAUCACCUCCAAUAGCGUCGACAUGAUCUUUACCCCAGAAGACUAUUCACCGACUCUCAAUUGACGUUAGAAAAUCUAAGAGUAAUUCUACUUUACCCUAAGAUUGAUAUCAACAAGACAAGGACAAUUUAGAAUUAUUACACGCCUCUUCUUAAUAGGAAAAAGAAAUAGAGAAGAAAGUCAGGCCAGGUCUAAUUUCUUUUCAAAGGCAAUACAACAUUACGAAAUCAAGCAUUCAUUCAUACAAAUAUUUCAUAGUCACCGGUUUGCUGAGUAGAAAAAUUUAGACAAAAACUUAAUAUUAUAUUGUUUAAGAGUUAACAAUUUAGAGCUUAAUCUCCUUGUACUUUGGAGUUAACAAUUUAGAGCUUAAUCUCCUUGUACUUUGGACUAAACUUGAACGUGAAAGGAAAUCCCAAAACCAUAUUGGGCAUGAAUUCACACUUAAUAUACCCAAUAAAAGAUGGCGACUGGUGAAAGGCAGUGGAGACUGGUGGAGAGAUUUGAGGAAUAGAAGCAGACGGAAAAGCAACAAAUUUUUGCCGAAAAACGGUCACUUUCAUGGUUAAUUUUGCUACUCUCCAAUUGUACUUGACCAAUUACAACAAUUUCAUGGAGUUUGAUACGUGAAAAGAAUUUUUUAUAAAUUUUAUUUUGAUCCAUAAUGUUAUCUUUACAUAUAUAAAACAUUUUACAAUUUUGAUUUUGGCGCAGUUAACUUUUGGUAAACAAAAAUGCUCAUGUUUAAAAAACCGGAAAUAAAACAAAACAAGAAACAAAAGAAAUAAGAGGGUAGCAUAGACAUUUUGGAUUUUUCCGUUAAUUUGGAUGAUUUCCACCCACGUUCUAAUUUAAUCCAAAACACAAAGGAAUUACGUAGAGGUUUUAAAUAAUGAGGGAGCUUCAUGAUCGAACCCCAAACCACAAGGCGAUUUACUAUAUUUUACUCUUAAAUUUUGGUUUCAUCUCAUAGCAUACAAGAGUUCUAUUUCACUAUCUGUAGACAAAGACUUUCUAUGGUUGAUGUACCAUAGGAAAAAAUCUGCCUAUACAACGUGAUAGCAUUUUUUCAAAAACACAAGAUGGAAAAUUGCCCCCUUAAACGGGGAAAUUCAUGAUCUUUCCUCGAACAAAGAAUACUCACGCCUAUUCAAGAUGGAAAAUUGCCCCCUUAAACGUCUAUUUGUCAAUUCUUGAAAAAAGAAUACUCACGCCUAAAACACGGCCUCUUCAUCUGCAGAAUUCUAAAAAGUUAGGUAAACUCUAUAAACAAGUUGAUAGGUACAAUCGUACCCAAGAUCAAGUACAGAUAGUUGUACAUUCACUGCUGCAAUAACUAAUCUGAUGACUUACAAACAUAUCAUGGUCAAUCGUUGAAUGGUAAUGAGUCUUUUGUUAUGCAUUAGUAUUAGUGUGUACACUCUAAUAGAUUGAUACUUAUACUCUUUAAAUUAUCAUAAUAAUACCCUUAAUUAACUUUAACUCUUAAAAAGAAUACGUGUUAAUACACGAGAGUGUGUAACCUGAAUUGUUACUUAUACAUUAGUGUGUAAUAGAUAGGGAUGGCAAUGGGGGCGGGUGCCCGCAGGCAACCGCCCCGCGGGGGGCUCUCGGGGCGGGGAGGGGGGAAUUUUUUCCCCCCGUUUAGAAACGGGGCAGGGGACGGGGGAGUAUACCCCCGCCCCAUCCCCCGCAAAAAAAAUUAUAUAUAUAUAAUUAUAUAUAAUAUGUAAUUUAAUUAGUUAUAAACUUAUGAUAAUGAUAUUAUUAGUUAGAUGUAUUAUAUAAUGUAUAUUAGUGUAUGUAAUAUAAUUAAUAUUAUCAAUUAUACGAAUAAUUAGACAUGUCUACUAAUAGAAUUUAUUAAUUAGUUAUACUAAAUUUACUAAUACAUUUAUACUAAAUUUCUAAUUACAUUUAAUAGAAUAACACUUUUUUCUAAAAAAAAAAGCACAAACACAAUAAUGAAUUAGUGAUUGUAUUUUUACCAAAAAUGAAAACUUAACUAUUUUAGUUGCAUUUAUUUCAUCAUGUUGGAUUGUAUUCAAAUAAUUUUUGUUUGAUUGUUUUUAUGAGUUUCAAUUGUAAAAUUAAAAUGAAUAAUAACUUGAUGAAUAAUAAUGUCAAUCGUUGAAUGGUGUGUACACUCUAAUAUUAUGCAUUAGUAUUAGUGUGUACACUCUAAUAGAUUGAUACUUAUACUCUUUAAAUUAUCAUAAUAAUACCCUUAAUUAACUUUAACUCUUAAAAAGAAUACGUGUUAAUAACUCUUAACCUGAAUUGUUACUUAUACAUUAGUGUGAAAUAGAACGGCAAGCAUUGAGCAACUUAUAGGAGAAAUAGUCCUAUAAGCUGUUGGAUGACUAAUAUAGCUCUAGCUGUAAUGUUUUAAUUAAAUUACAUCACUAACGUUGGGAUGACUAAUGGUUUAAAAAUAAUUGAGUAAUUGGAAAAAAAAAAAGAGACUAAUUUUCAUUGAAACCCACCGACAAACUAAACGUGUCCAUGGCUUUUGAAUAGUGCAUUCAACGUUUAAUUGUAUAGUCCAGUUCAUUGCAGAUUACAUGGAGUAAAGAUUGUGCUCUUUCCUUUUUCACCCCUUUUGGAAUCGAUACUGUGGAGAAUUGGGUUUUUCCCUUCUUUUUUUCUUUUCUUUCUUUCUGUGCUUUGCAAAACAUAGGUAAAAUUAUGAAAUCCGAAGCAUUCUUUAAUUGGGAUUAAGUAUUGUUCUUGAAAUUAAAAAGAAGAAAGAAAGAACAACAAAAUUCCCUGAUUGGUUGCAUCGUGCUUCCAUAGAAGCUCUCUUAGUGUGAUACACUGCUUUCAAUCAGUUUAACAUGGAAAAAAGAAAGAGAUGAAAAGCAAAUUUGGUGGGGAUAAUUUCAGAAACCUCCCCUGAAGAUUUUGACUAUUCUACUGGUCUCCCUUCAGAUUUUAAAAAUUACACUAAUCUUCCUUGAAGUUAUAACAUUUAAAUUCAAUCAAUAAUUUAAAAAAUGAUAUUAUGAAAGAGAAAAUAAUAUGAUUUUAUCAUUGCCCCCCAUCUUACUACAUUAUUUAAUUAAUUUAAUAGCAACCCACACAUUAAAGAAAAAUAUAAAAUUUGUUAUUUAUCAUUAAAGAUCAAAUCGCUUAUAACAUCAAAUAAUAGUAUAUUAUUUAUAUUUUUCACUUAACAUAAUAUCCAAAUUACUCUUUUCAAUUACAUACUCAUUGUUAGACAAUCAACAACAAAUAACCAAAAAAUUUGCAACCAAAAUAUUACAAAAAAAAAUAAACUUUAACAUCAUAAAUAUUCUUAUCAACAUAUUAAAGUUAGUUACUGAAAUUUUUAUGGUGUUAAACUUCACUCUUUGUAAUAUUUUGGUUACAGAUUUUUUUUGAUUAUUUUUUAUUAAUUAUGUUUGAUGAUGGGUUUGUAAUUGAAAAGAAUAAUUUAAAACUUACAUUAAGUGAAAUAUAUAGAGUGAUAUACUAUUUUUUAUAACAUAUGUGAUUCAAUCCUUCUUGAUAGGAUUGGUAAUAGAGGUAGAGGGGGGAGUCGGCUGCAUCCGGUCUUCUUUUCAUAGAUAGUACAAUAUUGCGAAAUCAAUCGCAUUCACACAAUAAUAUUUCGAAGUCAAUGCAUGGCUAAGUUGCAUAAAAGUACGAACACUUGUUAUUAUAUAGCUUAAGAUUCAAAACUUUAGAGCAUAACCCUCCACCUAACACAAUUGAAUAAUGAAUAUUCACGUUUGUCAAAUCUGUCAAAGCACAGUUUGAGGACAACCCAUUCCAACCUGCAAAAGAUUUUUUACUUUUCUAAAGUUGUUGAGAGCUGUAAAAAGACCUACCAUGCUUACAUCCUCCGAGCCUUGGGAGUUAAAAAUGAAGGCACUGAGUGCUAUAAAAAGGGGGCUAGAGGCUGCCUAGAAGCAUAUCAGCCUAAAACAAGAAUUUGUUGUUAUGAUGGGAAGCAAAGCAAAAGCAAUGGGGUCUGGGCUGACUCCUCUUCUUGCCACUGUUUUAGUGGUAUUUGUUGCUCUUGGCUUGCCCUCAGAAACAGCAGCUGAUGAUCACUACAAGUAUUCAUCUCCUCCUCCUCCUUACCACUAUCCCUCACCACCGCCUCCAGUGCAUUUACCUCCACCAGUGUACAAAUACAAGUCCCCACCACCACCUCAUCAUGUUUACAAGUACAAAUCUCCACCACCCCCACCACCACACCCAGUUUACAAGUAUAAGUCACCACCACCACCUCCUCAUCCGGUACCACACCCAGUUUACAAGUAUAAGUCACCACCACCACCUCCUCAUCCGGUAUACAAGUAUAAGUCUCCUCCGCCACCACCACACCCAGUUUACAAGUAUAAGUCACCACCACCACCUCCUCAUCCGGUACCACACCCAGUUUACAAGUAUAAGUCUCCUCCGCCACCAGUUUACAAAUAUAAGUCUCCUCCACCACCACCUCCAGUGUACAAGUACAAGUCUCCACCACCACCAGUUUACAAGUACAAAUCACCACCACCUCCUCCCCCAGUUUACAAAUACAAGUCUCCACCACCACCAGUUUACCACUACAAGUCACCACCACCUCCUCACCCAGUUUACAAGUACAAAUCUCCUCCACCACCAAUUUACCACUACAAGUCACCACCACCUCCUCCCCCAGUUUACAAAUACAAGUCUCCACCUCCUCCUCACCACUACUAAGCAAUUGCUUCUGAGGUAAUAACACUUGUUCAAUAACACUUGAUAGCCAGCUGAAUAUUUGCAGGCAAAGGAGAAGGAAACCAGUGUUUGAGACCUUCUUGAAGAUGUAGAAGCAUAAGAAUUAAAGCCCAAUGUGAAGAUGAUGAUUUCAAGUUUUUCUACGUUACCAUUUCAAUAUCUAAAUUGGUUGUAGCGCCUUAGUUCCUUUGUUUAUGGGAUUUGUAUCGUUUUACGUACCAUGCAGUACAUGUCAUGUUUGUAAGGUUUUCUAUCCUGCCGGCAAACCGCAGGUUCCAUGUAAUAAAUCAAUACUAUUUAUAUUACGACACUUUUCUCUGUUUCUCUUAUAUUUUGUCUUUAAUAUUCUUAAUCAUAUUUUUAACAAAAAUAUUCAAACACUUCAGCAAUGGUUCACCUAGUUGAUCAUCGAAGCAGAGGCAAUUCCAAUUAUUUAUCAAUAAAUAGGAUAUAACUACCAAACAAGCGAUGGCAGUUAACCCCUCCUUACUGUGUCGGUGAUCAAGGUACGCCCGUUAAUCACUGCUCUAAUUGAGAAAUAAUCCUAAGUACGCCCGUAGAAUUUAAUUCCCCAAUUGCCUUACAUAUUAGAGGAGCCCUAUUCUAACCAAAUAACGCACUAUCAGGGUUAUUUUAGAUUAGCCCGCGUAUUCCCCUGACAUAAAUCUAAUCAUGCCAGUUGUCAUUAUUUUGAGGUAAUUAAACAAUUACGGAUUUAACACCUCAAUUGACAAUAGAUUAUUAAAUUAAUUAAUUAUUCGGAUCCAAGACAAUCAAUUAAUUAAACAACCAUAAGCACUACAAUCAGAGAAUAUGCAAAUACCAAUAAAUAAAUAAAAAAUAAAAUUAAAUCGAUCUCACAAUUUUUAGGCGAAUCAGAGCAUCCGUUGUCCCUUGACUAGAGCAAGGAAAUUAGUUCAUAUUUGAUGAACUAAACCCAUACAAAAGGGAAGCGAGAAAUGCAGCCAUUAUCCUUUGAAAUCUGGAAAAUUCAACUUGUCCGAAUAUCGAAUAGAUAGUAAUACUACAAAAGGUAAUUCAUAGCUUCCCUUUCGUCUGACACACAAGAAGAAAAAAAAGGGCUGCUAAUAACUAAAGGAGGAAAAGUCAAAGUCCUAAGCUAUGCUACAAGACGAAAAACUAAAGAAGACAAAAAGGCAGUGCUCAUUCCCUGCAAUCUCAAUUCCUAUUCUAUCUAAGUGCUCUCCAAUGUGCGGCGGCUCCCCUUCCGGAGAGGACGAAGUGGCACCCUUUUUUCCUGCGCAAUUUUCCUAUAUAAAGUAGUGCUCCUUGCAGCGGCUCCUGUGCGAAAAAAUGAAGACUUCGGCCCAAUUUGCCUAACAAGGGCUCACGUUUUGUUGUUCUAAAAAUGUCCCUAGGACAAACUCUAUCAUCUGAACUCUUUUCUUGCCAAAUUAGUACCUGUUAUUAUAUUUUCGUUCUACUCCCUGAAAUAAAUGCAAAAUAUCAAAAGUGAGUAGAAUCUAGCAAUUAAUCCACAUUAGGUCAGGUAAUAGGGAAAAUUAAUAAUAAAAUAAAUGAUAAAAUUGCAAUCUAUCACGGGACCACUGUGGUAAGGUGUGUUUCGCCUAUUAUAAGGAGUUCGGAGAGUUAGACGUGUUGGAGGCGGAGGCGCGGUCACUCCUGCACGCCCUCCAGCUGUGUGCAGAUCGCGAGGUACGGGCGUUGACUGUAGAAUCUGAUUCAAAGGUGCUUGUUCAACUAGUUUGCUCGGAUAUGAGGUCGAAGUGGCCGGUGUGUAUCGUAUUGCGGGAAAUAAGACAUUUGAUCCGGCGGAUGGGUGCAUCCCUUCAUCAUAUAUUCCGUGAGGCCAAUUCGGUGGCGGACGCAUUGGCUUCUCUGCAAUUGGGAGGGCAGCAGUACUACACCUCAGGCGUGGCGCUGCCUUUCAGGCCCAGAGGAGAGGCUCUGCUGGAUCGUCAAGGAGUACCUCGCAUCCGUGAGGCGCUCACUAAGGUUUGAUAGGCUAUGUCCUCCUUUCAAAAAACUUAUUUCAUCUACUCCUUGUAAUCAUUUUUCUUAUCAAUAAAUUGAGGCUUUUUAUUUAAAAAAAAACAUAUAAUUUAAGGCAAAAAUAUGAUCCUAGCGAGUAUCGCACUGAGACAUUAGGAAACAUCAUUAAAAGAGUAUUUCUUGAGUUAGUGCAACUAUUUCUUAGGGGAAUUUAUAGUUACAAAAUUCAAAAAUUUGAGAUUCUAUUACUGAUUAAUUAAGGGCGUUAUCACUAUUUUUCUUAUUAUCACCAUUAUUUACCCCACAUACUAUAAGUUUUUUUAGGGCACAGGAAAAGAGGUGGGCCGAUGUUUAGUUAUGUACAAAAGUUCAAAAUUUGUAGAUAACUUAUCAUGUGCCCUUAGAGCGUAGAAUACAGAAAAAAUAUCUUAAACUAUAACUAAUCCUAAUAUUUUUCUCUAUGAUAAACUAGCUCUUAUCCAUUUCUUUAGAUGAUGAAAGGAAAUAGUUAGUCACCUGUCCUCUAGUGAUUACAACAGCAUCAAAACAAAUUAGCACUCUUUUCCCGUAGUUUAAAAAUCCCUCAGCCACUAAGAUUUUGCAUGUCGAACGAAUUAAGGAACAUAGAAGGUUCGUGCUGCACCACAGUGUCCUUGUUGACGAUGCAAAGACAGAAAUGCAUCCGCGUAUACUUCCUUAAGCAUUUUGAUUACUUUAUGAUUCGAACUUUUCUUGUCUGACAGCUGGACUUAAUUGAAAAACACAAGUAACAAUAUUUCAAAGUUGAUUCGUCAAAGUUUACCCAAUUGGUGAAACUUUCUUCAUAGAGCUGACUUUGUAUUAGGUGACAAUGAUAUGGAAUUGAUGUCCUUCCCUUUUUCCUUUUUUUGUGUUGAAGACGCACAACGUUUUCAAUGGCAAAUUUAUAUGGGCUUUUCACGACAAAAUGUGUUCUGAAAAGUUCAUUCCAGAGGUUAAAAUUUUGUGUGUUAAAAAUUUGCUUCUCAGGACUUUGAUGGGAAAGUCUUGGUGUUUCCAAAAAGUUUAAGCAGGAUGCUUCUGGCUUUCUCUCCAUGUAUUUGUGAGUUAGAUCUAAAAUUAUCAGGGCUCCAGAGAUCUCUUGAAAUCGCAGCAUAUAUUGAAGUCUUUCCAGAAGGAGUCUUUUUUUUUUUUUUUAUGAAUUAUGAUAGAUAAUUAAUCUGACGGUGCAUAUAUAUAUAUAUGUGAUUUGCAGUAGGGUGUUUGACGAAAUGGUUAGGCUUCCUAAGUAAUGAUAGGAAUGCCAUUUGCAAAGAAGGACAGGGGGCUGGUGCUGUCAUAUUUUAUGCGAUUUGAUCCGUUGUUGUAUAAGUUUAAACUUUUGACGUGCAAUUGUGCUAUAAUAUUAUACUAAAUAUAUGUGUGAAAUAUUUUGUCUAUAUACAUCACUUUUAUCAUGAAUACAACAGCUGAGUAUAAUAAUAUAGUAUAAUGUAAUUGUACACCAAAUAAUGUAGCAAAUAUAACAAUUGAUCCGAAUUACACGGAACCAUAACAACAAGAUCACCGCCUCCCAAAUUUUACAAAAUUAGGUUUUUUUUUUUUCUCUUAGAUUAUUGAAAAUUUUCAAAAAUAAUCUACAUAAUUUAAGCUUUUGUCCUACAAAAAUUUGAAGAGAUUUUACAUUACAAGCUUAAGCUUAGAUAUAUUAAACUUUGCCCCCAAGAUUAAUUUUCCGUUUUUAUCUAUGAACCGAUCCAUAUAGCUAGUUAGACUGUAGUCCUCACAUUUGUGGGAUUUAACACCCAAGAUUCUCCUUCUUGGAAUGUAAAAUGUAGAUCUUCUAUGUUAAUAAUUCAAGACCCUACUGUCAUAAACGAAAUGACUGAUCAACUCCUGUAAACCUAAUUUGACAACAUUUAAAUGGAGAACUUUAGCUAAAAGAAUUAUGGUCAAGCUAAAGAAAAAGCCAGUUAUUUUCCAACAUAUGCAAUCAUUGAUCAGGAAAAAAAAAAAAAAGCAAAAAGACAUCUUCAAUCAUUUAAUAGCUCACAGUGCAAAUUAACCCCUAAGCGAAAACUGGUUGCUCUAGAAUCAAAAUUUUACCUUAGUUACCCAGGCAACUUUUUUGUUGCUUUUUUUUUUUUCUUUUCCUUUUUGGGUAUAUAUAUAGCUCCAGUUUUGCCCCCUCUGUCAAGCUUAUAUAAUUAUUAAGAUAAUAAAAGUGCCUUGAAUAGUAUUAAUAUAUCCAUUGACUUGAGCUGUCAUCGAUCGGUUUGGGCUACUUCGAUUCCAUGAGAACAAAUGGUAAUAAAAGUACUCAGAAAAUAGGGAGCCAUGAAACCCUUUUGUUCUAUUCAUUGCUAAGAUGCUUUUCUCUAUAAAGAGACUUCCUAACGAAAGUACUUUGUAGAUUUCUUUACUCCAAGUGGUGCAUGGAAAAUUAAAAUAUUCAAUUAUCAAAUAAAAUUCCCUUUUUUCGGUGUAGAUUUCAUCCAUCCAGCUGUUAACACAUUUUAUGUAUCCGAAUUAUAUAUUCUCUACCAAAUAUUGUAACUUUUCUGAGCAUCUUUACAUUUUUAUUCCCACCUAACAAAUUAGUUGUUGAGCAUCUUUACAUGCUAUCGGAUCACAAGUUAAUAAUCUUUUAAAGAACAUGUUAAAUUAAUUUAUUGGUAUGAAUAGUCAAAGAAGUAUAUUAAAGUUAGUAAUCUUUAAACACCACGAUGCAAUUAAUACUUUCAAGCUCAAGGUCUUUUUUUUUUUUUUUUUUGGUACUGUACUUCCUUGCUUUAUAGUAUGCACGUUUAUUUCUGUGGAUUGCUUAAGCUUAUAUUGUUAAUAAUUGGGCAUUUAACCAUAAAUUAUAAUGAUUAUGAAGUCAUAUAUAUAUAUAUAUAUAUAAGAAAAUUACCACAAUUAUUCAAUUUUUUUUGCAAAUUCAAAUUUUAUUAAUAAGAAAUAGGCAGUAAGCUUUUACAAACGGAAAAAAAAAAUCCUACAACAACUCUAGGACCUUUGAAAGAAAGAAAAAAAAAAGAAAAGAAAAGCUUAAGGACUCUACCUCAUAGAAGCUAAACAAUCCUACAAAUAAACUGCAAAAUAAAUCACAAUAACGCAAAAUUUUUGUCUUUCUUCCGUAUGAAAUGAAACUACGAAGUCAAGAAUUGACUCCUUUAACCGCUAUUGCCAGCGGGCUCCGUCAGCAAGAUACAACUUUGCAAUUUGAUUCAAUAGAAAUCCUCAAAUAGCUAUUUUGACAGGCAAAUUAAGCAUUAAUUUUGGUAUCCCUUCAUAAAAUACAAGAGUACUUUUGAUUAUAUCUAUAGAUCAACUUUCUAGGCUAUUUUGAUGUAUUAUAAGAAAAUCUGCCUCAACAAUUUUGAUAGCAUUUUUCCAAAAGCAGAAGAUGGAAAAUUGCCCAUUUGUACUGGGGAGUUCGUGAUCUUUUCCUCCUUCUAGUCUACUUACAAUUCUUGGAAAAAGGAAUACUCACAUCUCAAACAACUGCCUGUUCAUCUGCAAUGUCCUGCCGAAUUCUAGAAAGUUAGGUGGCAAUGCUAAUUACAUUUCAAAAUUGACUGCUGCGAUGACUAAUUCGAUGGCUUACUACAUGGUCAACGUUUGGAUCCCUUCCUGUCCUUUUUGGAUGCACAUUUUUUUUCUCUAGGCAAUAUAUAAUCUCCCAACUCAUUUCUUUACAAAUGCACCUUUAAUCACCACCAAAAGGUGUGGACAUGAUCUUUACCCUAGAAAACUAAUCACCGACAGGCAAAUUGACGUCAGAAAUACUAAGAGGAAUUCUAGUUUCCUUCGGGUUAAUGCCAUUUUGUACCCUUCAACUGUAACUCGAUUUCUAAACUAUAAUUUGUGACAUUAUAGUCCUUAAACUAUGAAACCCCUCUUACUUAAGUACAAUGGUUAAUACAAUACCCGUGACUAGACAAGCAACCAUAACAAAAAAAAAUCCAAAAUUAGAGAAAAGAAAGAAGUUUCGCGACCAAAGUAUGUAUCAAGGCAUAGUAUAGAAAUAAAAGUGUCCAAAUUAAGAGUUUAGGGAUAAAAGAGAUCAAGAUAUAGUUUAGGGAUUGAUUUGUCUCAAUUAGAGUUUUGAUGUCAACUAAGAAGAGAGAUAUAGUUGAAGGGUAGAAUAUAGAUAUAACAGUUCAAUGAUUGAUAUCAACGAGACAAUGACAACUUUGGAUUAUUACCAACCUCUUCUUGAUGGGAAAAGGAAAUAGAGAAGAAAGUCGGGCCUGGUCUAAGCCUGCUUCGGAGGCAAAACAACAUUAUGAAAUCACCGGCAUUCACACAAAUAUGUCAAAGUCACCGGCAUGCUAAGUUGCAUAAUUUAUACAAACACUGAAUAAUAUAUUGUUCUUAAAAUUUUUGUUUAAGAUUUAACAAUUAGAGCACGGUACACGAAUUAGCAAUAUUAAAUAAUGAAUGUUCACGAUUGAUAAAGUUAUCAAAGUACAGUUUGAGGACAACCCAUUCCAACGUGUACAAGAUGUUUAGCCUUUGAAAAGUUAAUUAGAGAAGGUGACGAGAUUUUACUAGGCUUAAAUCUUCUAGGCCUCGGAAGUAAAAAAUGAAGGCCUUUGAGUGCUAUAAAAAGGGGGCUAGAUGUUGCCUAGAAGCAUAUCAGCCUCAGACCACAUUUUGUAGCAAUGGGGAGCAAAGCAAAAGCAAUGGGGUCUAGGCUGACUCCUCUUCUUACCACCGUUUUAGUGGUAUUUGUUGCUCUUGGCUUGCCUUCAGAAACUGUGGCUGAUUACUACAAGUAUUCAUCUCCUCCUCCUCCUUACCAUUAUUCCUCACCACCACCUCCUGUGCAUUCACCUCCACCACCGCCAAUUUAUAAGUCACCCCCACCACCUUACCACUACUCCUCACCGCCACCUCCAGUGUAUUCAUCUCCACCACCACCUUCGCCAGUUUACAAGUCUCCGCCACCACCUUACCAUUAUUCGUCACCACCGCCUCCGGUGCAUUCACCUCCACCACCACCUGUUUACAAGUCACCUCCACCACCUUCGCCAGUUUACAAGUCUCCGCCACCACCUUACUAUUAUUCGUCACCACCGCCUCCGGUGCAUUCACCUCCACCACCACCGAUUUACGAGUCACCUCCACCACCUCCUCCAGUUUACAAGUCUCCGCCACCACCUUACCAUUAUUCCUCACCACCACCUCCAACGCAUUCACUCCCACCACCAGUUUACAAAUCACCGCCACCACCUCCUCCUAUGUAUAAGUCCCCUCCACCACCUUAUCAUUAUUCCUCACCACCACCUCCAGUGCAUUCACCCCCACUGCCACCAAUUUACAAGUCUCCGCCACCUCCAAUCUACAAGUAUAAGUCACCACCACCUCCUCCCCCAAUUUACAAGUCACCACCACCACCUCCUCCAGUAUAUAAGUCCCUACCCCCACCAGUGUAUAAGUACAAGUCUCCACCACCACCUCCUCCAGUAUACAAAUCACCUCCACCACCUCCUCCAGUUUACAAAUCUCUACCACCACCAAUUUAUAAAUACAAGUCUCCUCCACCACCUCCUCCGGUUUACAAUUCCCCACCACCACCAAUCUACAAGUCUCCACCUCCACCCUCCCAUUACUACUACAAUUCUCCUCCUCCUCCUCCUCAUCACUACUAAGCAAUUGUAUCCAAGUUUUUGAGGUAAUAAUGCUAAACCAAUAUAUUAACUUUCGCAUGAUAAACUUUAUCUCUAUCAAGACAAACUGCCAUGUGCAUCAAGCCAAAUACGUACACUUCGAUCCAUGAAAAUGACAAGUAGAAGGUUUUCUUAAGAACCAAGGAACAGCAUUAGUAUUCCCUCUGUUUCCAAAACUUGUGUAUUAAAUAGAUUAAUGAAUUGUUUAACAUGCUUAUCUACUUGAAAAUGCACAAUACCCAUAACCCACUGAAAUUUUUGCAGGUAAAGGGGAAGAGAAUCUGUGUUUGAGAGCUUCAUGAAGAUGUUGAAGAAUAAGAAUAAAAGCCCAAUGCGAGGAUGUUUUCAAGUUUUUCUAUGUUUCCACUUUAAUUUGUAAAUUGAAUUUUUCGACUUAAUUAAUUCCCUGUUUGUGGGGUACGUAUUGUUUUACGUACCAUGCCGUACAUGUUUGUAAGGAUUUCUAUCCUAUUGGCAAAAGUCGGUUCCAUACAAUUAAUCAAUUCAUUUCACUUCUAUUGGCUCUACUAUUUAUGCACGUUACGACAUUUUUUCUCUCUUUCCCUUAUAUUUUGUCUUUAAUAUUAUUGAGUCAAUAGUAAUACUGGGCCAUUUUUUUUAAAACUUAUACUAGUAUACAUAGGUAGUUUGGUCUAACGCCAAAUUCAUGUUUGUCUUUCUUUUAUUCCCUUUACAUUUCAAAGUAUACUAUAGUUUGUGAUCAUUGUGGUGAUGAUAUUACCAGCUGGUACUUAUAGUUUAAGGCAGAGACAUGAUAUUAACAACUAUCUCAUUGAAACAUAAGGAAAAAUCAUGACAAGUGUGAGUCUUGGUUAAUGCACAAUUUGUUAGUGGAAUUUAUAUUUAUAAAACUCAAAAAAAAAAUUUUGACAAUGCUAUUACUAAUUAAUUAAGGACUUUAUUGCUAUAAUUUAUCGCUUGCUAGUUUAAACUAUAAAUGAUCUCAAUACUUUUCUCCAUGAUGUCGAUUUCUUUAGAUACGAAAGGGAAAAAUUAGUGACAUAUCCCUUACUGAUUACAACAUCAGCAAAAAUUAGUUAUAAACUUUUCCGGUGGUUUUAAAUCCCCGGGCCCUAAGAUUUUUUGCUCAUCGAGUGAAUUAAGGAACAUAGGCAAUUCAUUUUGCAUACCAAGUCCUUGUUUAAGAUGCAAGUACUAAAAUGCAUCCACUUCAUUAAUUUGGGAAAUUGCCAUAGUUUUUUUAAGCAUUUUGAUUUUUUACAUGAUUUAAAAUUUUCUUAUUGGAUACAAUCACUUUGUAUCAAGAACACAUUUUCAAUCACCUUUUUUUAUCUUCUCAAUGAGAAAAUAAAAAUUUAUUCAUGCUUUUCUAACAUAUUCAAUCAUUGAUCUGAAAAUUAAAACAUUAAGAAAAGGACAUUUUCAAACAUUAAGAAGUAGUAUUUUAAAGACCAUGAUGAAAUUAAUACUUUCAAGGUCUCUAUUAGGAAGACUUCCUUUAUUAAUACUCUACUAGGCAGAGUUAUAUGCACGUUUACUGUUUUGGCCUUAAGUUGGGUGCAGAUGCUUAUAUUACAAAUAGAUGGUAUCAAAAAAUUGUUGUAUUCACGUCUGUUCUUUUUUUCUUCCUUAAGUUUUUUUCUUUAUUCUCGUGACUUCGCUAGUGAGGUAUAACUUCACAACUAGAGUCAAUAGAAAUCGUCAAAUGAUUUUUUGACAUCCAAAUUAAGCAAUAAAUUUUGUUUUCAUUUCAUAACAUAUAAUAGUACUACUUCAUGGGAGAUUUUAUAGUUUCUUUAGGGUAUCAUACCUACAAUUGAUAUUUAUCAUUGGAUAGUGAAAGAAGUGUUAAUGUCUCUAAGAUUAAAUAUUGUUAAAUAUUGAAAAUUUGAACUAUUUAUCUCUAUUGAGAGAUACAACUUAAAGAAUCCUACCCAAAAGAGACUAGAAUUUUCUCUGUUUUUCAUCAUCUGUAGACAUAAACUUUCCACGGUUGAUAGCAUUUUUCAUCAUCUAUAAGGAAAUUUUGCCUAUACAAUGUGAUAGCAUUUUUCAAAAAGACAAGAUGGAAAAUUGCCCCCCUUGAACGGAAAAUUGCCCCCUUGUCAAUUCUUUAAAAAAGAAUACCGUCCCGCAGAAUUCUAGAAAGUUAGGCAAAACUAGACAAGUUGACAGGUAUAAUCAGACCCAAGAUCAGGAACAAGCAGUUGCACAUUUCAAAAUUCGCUGCUGCAACAACUAAUUUGAUGACUUACAACACUAAAUGGUCAAACUUUGAAUGGCAAUGAAUCUUUUGUUGUACAUCAUGAUGUAAUUUUCAUGUUACAUAAUAGAUUGAUAUCUAUGUUCUUUAAAUUAUCAUAAUAAUUAAAUUUAACUGAAAAAAAGAACACAUAUCAAUACACAAAAGUGUGCAACGUGAAUGUUAUUUUAGUGUAUUGCAGAAGACCUAUAGUCUCUUCAUAUCUCUUCCUGCACGUAUCAAUUCGUUUCCUCUAGAUAAUAAUCUCCCAACUCAUUUAUUUACAAAUGCACCUUUUAUGUUUUAUUACCUCCAAAAGCCUAAAAAUCAAUUCACCGACUCGCAUUUGGUAUCAGAAAUUCUUAUUACGAAUUCUACUUUACUCAAAGAUUGACUGUUAAUAAUGAGACAACGACCAUUUUGUAUUAUUACACCGUCCUUCUUGAUAGGCAAAAGAAAUAGAGAGGAAAGCGGGUCCGUAUAUGGUCUUUUAUUCAUAGAUAAUACAACAUUACGCCAUCGAGCAUUCACACAAUAUUUCAAAGUCAUUGCAUGCCUAAGGCCUGCUUGAUAAUCUAAUUCCGUACUUAAAUUUAAUAAAUUCAAAUCUUAACACAUUCAAAUCGUUUGAUAACAAAAAAUUGAACAUCUAAAUUAAUUAAGUAACACUGAAUUUUCUAGGCAAAACUUGCUCCCAAAAUUAAGUGAUAAGUUAUUCACUUAUCACUGAAUAUGAUAUGUAUUCAAAUGUAUUAGAUUUAAUACUUAAUAAUUUAAUGAAUUCAAAUUUCAUAUUUCAUAUUUCAGUUUUAUCAAACACACCUUAAGUUGCAAAAUAAUACCAAAACUUGUUAUUACAUAGCUUGAGAUUCAAAAAUUUAGAGCAUAAUUCUCAACCAAACACAAUUGAAUAAUGAAUAUUCACGAGUGUCAAAUCUAUCAAAGUACAAUUUGAGGACAACCCAUUCAAACGCGUACACGAUUUUUAACUUUUCUAAAGUUGUUGAGAGCUGUUGAAAGAGAUUUACCAUGUUUACAUCUUCCAAGUCUUGGGAGUAAAAAAUGAAGCCACUGAGUGCUAUAAAAAGGGGGGUAGAGGCCACUUGAGAUCCUCGGUGACAUGUUUUCUAUGCCAAUCCAAUGCCACCAAUAGUGUUGCGCCAAGUGUCAUGUUAUUAUUUACACUUGUGUUAAACUAAGCCAAGUUGAAUUAUUAGAAAAUUAAAGUGUAAAUAAUAACAUGACACUUGGCGCAAUACUAUUGGUGACAUUGGGUUGGCAUAGAAAAUAUGUCACCGAGGAUCCCAAGUGGAUAGAUGCUGCCUAGAAGCAUAUCAGCCUAAAACAAGAAUUUGUAGUAACAAUGGGGAGCAAAGCAAAAGCAACGGGGUCUAGGCUGACUCCUCUUCUUACCACUGUUUUAGUGGUAUUUGUUGCCCUUGGCUUGCCCUUGGAAACUGCAGCUGAUUAUUACAAGUAUUCAUCUCCUCCUCCUCCUCCUUACCAGUAUUCCUCACCACCACCUCCAGUGUAUUCACCUCCACCAACCCCUGUUUAUAAGUUACCCCCACCAUCUCCUCUAGUUUACAAGUCCUCACCACCACCUUACCACUACUCACCACCUCCUGUGUAUUCACCUCCACCAUCACCAAUUUACAAGUCACUGCCACCACCCCCUCCAGUAUACAACUCCCCGCCUCCACCAGUGUACAAAUACAAGUCCCCACCACCACCUUCUCCAAUUUACAAAUCUCCACCGCCACCAGUUUACAAGUACAAGUCACCCCCACCACCUCCUCCGGUAUACAAGUCUCCUCCGCCACCUGUUUACGAGUACAAGUCUCCUCCACCACCUCCUCCAGUGUACAAGUCCCCACCACCUCCAGUUUACAAGUACAAGUCACCACCACCUCCUCCCCCGGUUUACCAAUCUCCUCCACCACCAGUUUACAAAUACAAGUCACCACCACCUCCUCCCCCAGUUUACCAGUCUCCACCUCCACCCUAUCAUCACUACUACGGUUCUCCUCCUCCUCACCACUACUAAGCAAGUGCAUCUAAGUUUUGAGGUAAUAAUACCGAUCCAAAACUUUAUCAACGCAAACUGCCAUGUAUAUCAUGCUAAGGACGUACACUUGAUCCAUGAAAAUGGCUAGUAGAAGAUUUUUUUUAAGAACCAGAGAAAUACAUUAUUUUUUCGCUCUGUUUUCAAGAAUUUGAGCAGUAUACAGAUUAAAGAGUGUUUUUUUUAAACUUGCUUAUCAACUUAGAAAUGCACAUAGCUGAAAGCCAACUGAAUAUUUGCAGGCAAAGGAGAAGGCAAUCGGUGUUUGAGACCUUCAUGAAGAUGUAGAAGAAUAAGAAUAAAAGCCCAAUGCGAGGAUGAUUUCAAGUUUCUACGUUACCAUUUCUACAUCUAAAUUGACUUUAGCUCCUGAGUUCCAUGUCUAUGGGGUUUGUACUGUUUUACGUACCAUGCAGUACAUGCUUGUAAGGUUUUCUGUCCUGUUGGCAAGCCGCAGGUCCAUAUAAUAAAUGAAUACUAUUUAUAUUACGACACUUUUCUCUCUUUCUCUUAUAUUUUGUCUUUAAUAUUGUUGAUCAUUUUUUUUUUUUAUCAAAAGUAUCAAAUGCUUAGGCAAUUUGGUCUAAUGCUAAUUGUUUUACAUUUAUUUUUCACCUACAUCCCUUUUCAACUCAAAGGAUGCUACAGUUUGUGAUCAUUGUUUAAGACCGAAGCAUGGUACUAAUAAAUAUCUCAUUGAAAGUCAAGGAAACUAACAUUAUGAAAAGUGUAAAUCUUGAUUUGUGAAACUAUUUAUUCGUGGAAUUUAGAGAUACAAAACUCAAAUUGUGACGGUGUUGUUGCUAAAUUAUUUUUUUUUUAUAAUAAAACACAGUUCAUUCAAGGAUUACUGGAAAUCGUCCAGCACAAUUGAGAUACAUUGUUGCCCAGGUGGCAGAUAAAUAUGCACUAAAAUUAUAGAUAUGCAAUUUAACAAAUACAUAAGAUUUGAGAAAUUAAGGACAAAUCUAAAAAGGACCAUAAAUUUGAAAAACAUUUCAUCCUAGAAUAAGUCGCUGCAACUCUCUUUGUGCAUGCUGUAAUCGUCAGAUCUACUAAUCAACAGUUGUAAGGUCCAGUAAAGAUGGUGAGAUCUGCCGAGAUUGAUCCAAAUCUGAAAUAUUCCCUCAGAUCUGCUAUCCAAUUGGUUCAAACUCAAUACUGAAAGUGAAAUCUGAUGAGAAGACUGAAAAAAUUGUAGAUCUAACAUAUAGAUCUAAAAAAACUCCAAGAUUUGAAAAAGUAAAGAAACAAAACUAAAUAAAACUCUCAUUAAGAUAGUUUAGGAGAGACUAAAACUCUCAAUAGGACACCCUAGGAGAGAAGAAAACUCUCACUAGGAUAACCUAUGAGAGACUUUAUUGAAUGAAAGGAAAAGCAAAGGACAAAGGAAGAAGAAGGGAGACCUUGGCUUAAGGCCAAGGUCUCCCUCCUAUGGAGGAGGAAGGGUAGAGGAGGAAGCCUAGAGAGAAGGAAGAGAAUCCCUCCGCUAGAGGGAAGGAAGAGCCUCUGAGAGGGUACCCGUGUUGUUGCUAAAUUAUUAAGGACAUUAUCACCAUUACUUUUCCCUUACUAGUUUCAACUGCAAUGAUCUCAAUCUUUUUGUGACUAAUUCUUUUCUUAAUAAUUUAUAAAUACAAAACUCACAAAGAAUAUGUGACUUAUUCUUUCCUUUCGUCUUCUAAAGAAAAUGCCAACUGUUAGUUUAUCAAGGGAAAAAGGAUCGACAUCAGUUGUUAUUGAAACUAGUAAGGAAUAAAUAAUGGUGAUAAUGUCCUUAAUAAUUUAACAACAGCACCAUCAGAAUUUGAGCUUUGUAUCUAUAAAUUCCACGAAUAAAUAGUUUCAUCAAAUCAAGAUUUACACUUUUCAUAAUGUUAAGUUUCCUUGACUUUCAAUGAGAUAUUUAUUAGUAUCAUGCUUCGGUCGUAAACAACGAUCACAAACGAUAGCAUCCUUUGAGUUGAAAAGGGUAGUGAAAAAGAGAAGUAAAAAAUACAAUUAGCAUUCCCUCAAAUUGUAGAAAGUUAGGUAGCAUUAUAGACAAGUUGAUAGCCGUAAUUAUACUAAAAAUCAGGCAAAAGCCAGCAAUUUUACAUUUCAAAAUUCACCUAUUCAAUAACUAAUUCGAUGGCUUGCUACAUGGUCAAAAUUCACCACAUAUCCCUUUCCUCAAUCAGGGGCUUCUACAAUUACCAGUUCCAAUUGUAUGGUAUAGUGUAAAUAUCAACAAAUUAGAUGUAGACACUAAUAUAAUAAAUAUGGAUGCUAAGGCAACAACAUACAAAAACAUAAUAAAUUUUGGCAUUCCUUAAAAAAUUACGUCCCCAAAUCAAUCUCAUACACCCAAUUUCUAAUUUAUUUAACUCAUUCCGUCUAUUAACUGCACCAUACAAUCCAACCUGCAAUUGCAUGAACCCCAAUCUCGCUUCCUAGUCCACCAUUUUUCUCUAGGUAAUAAUCUCCCUUCUAAUUUCUUCACAAAAUGCACCUUUCAUCACCUCCAAUAGCGUCGACAUGAUCUUUACCCUAGAAGACUAUUCACCGACUCCCAAUUGACGUCAGAAAAUCUAAGAGUAAUUCUACUUUACCCUAAGAUUGAUAUCAACUAGACAAUGACAAUUUAGAAUUAUUACACGCCUCUUCUUAAUAGGAAAAAGAAAUAGAGAAGAAAGUCAGGCCAGGUCUAAUUUCUUUUCGAAGGCAAUACAACAUUACGAAAUCAAGCAUUCAUUCAUACAAAUAUUUCAUAGUCACCGGUUUGCUGAGUAGAAAAGUUUAUACAAAAACUUAAUAUUAUAUUGUUUAAGAGUUAACAAUUUAGAGCUUAAUCUCCUUGUACUUUGGACUAAACUCGAACGUGAAAGGAAAUCCCAAAACCAUAUUGGGCAUGAAUUCACACUUAAAUAGACCCAAAAAAAGAUGGCGACUGGUGAAAGGCAGUGGAGACUGGUGGUGAGAUUUGAGGAAUAGAAGCAGACGGAAAAGCCACAAAUUUUUGCCGAAAGAGGGUCACUUUCAUGGUUAAUUUUGCUACUCUCUACUUGUACUUGACCAAUGACAGGUUGUCAGUCUGUGCAAUAAUAAAAACCUGUUCAAACUAAAAGUAAUUUCUGUAGAUAGUGGUAAGCAGGGUCGAAUCCACAGGGAUUAGGUGUAACUGUUUCUUUUCAAAUUCACAAUAACAAAGGGGGUGUUUUUAUGCAGAAUGUGACAAUCAAAGAAAUUCAAUUAAAAGUAAAAUAAUAAAAAUAAAAUAGCCAACUAGAAAUUAAAUAACAAUUUACUAAAAUCAAAUGAGUGAUAAUUAAGGAUCUAGCCAAGGAAUAACUUCAGCAGUGGUUCACCUAAUUGAUCAUUGGAACAAAGGCAAUUCCAAUUAUUUACUAAUAAAUAGGUUAUAACUGCCAAACAAGCGAUGACAGUCAAUCACUCCUUACUGUGUCGGUGAUUAAGGUACGCCCGUUAAUCACUGCCCUAAUUGAGAAAUAAUCUUAGGUACGCCCGUAAGAUUUAAUUUUCCAAUUGCCUUACAUAUUAGAGGAGUGUCAGGAACAAGGAAAUAGAAUGGGACGUCGUUUAAUGCAAAGGGUUGUGCGUUUAAGGCCUUAGAAGCAAUACUACGUCGUUCUAAUAACAUAGGCGGUGCUGGUGUGAUAGGCCAAGUUAGUUGAGGGUCAAUUACAUAAAUAGCCUUCUGUAACAGAUUUUUGGUUAUGUUUUUGAAUGAAAAGUAUCUCGCUGCUUUCUCUCUCUUGUCUGUUAUUUCCCUCCCUUUUCUUCUUUCUCUCUUCCCUCUUCUUAAUCUUGUUUCUUUCUUCUGAUUCUUCCCCCAAAUUCAAUACAAUUCCAGAAAUUAACCUGCAAGUCUGACAUUUGGUAUCAGAGCGGUCGAUUCUUGGCCGCGAAGGUAUCAGAAAUGGCUGAGAGCACGCGAUUCAGGACACUGGAGGAGCAACUCAAGAAGCAGGAGAAUCGGUUGCAAGAACUGGCGGAAUCCAUGGCUGCACUGCAGAGUACGAGUUCCGAGGAGUUGCGGCAUAAGCUACAGGCGGAAAUGGAGCAGAACAAUGCAAAAUUGGACGCGGUGGUGGGAAGUCUGGACCAGAAGUUCAAUAAAAUGGAACAGAGACUCAGUACAGUGUUGAAGCUGCUGAUGAAGGAGAAAGGUCUCCCUGAUGUCGAAGGAGGAAUUUCUGAUCCAAUCUUGCCGACUCCUCCAUCUCAUCUGAGGUUAGCAUCCUCAGUCGAAGGGAUUGGGCACCAACAAGAGUACAGAGGUAGGCAAUUCACUCCUAAUGUACCUCGAUUAGAACUGCCAAUGUUUAACUCUGGAAACCCUAGGGAAUGGACCAGGAAAUGCCAGAAAUAUUUUUUGAACUAUCAGAUAGCAGAGAGUCAAAAGGUAGAGGUAGCAGAGAUGUUUUUGGAAGGUAGAGCUGACAAUUGGUUUCAAGGAGUGAAAUUGGUGAGGCCAGGGUUGUCUUGGGGGGAAUUUAGUGAACUUUUGUGUGAAAGAUUUUCUGGAAGUAGUUCUCGUGACAUUGUGGAGGAAUUUAACAAGUUACAGCAGAAAGGAACUGUUGAGGAAUAUGAGGAGAAAUUUGAAGAACUAAAAGCUCUAAUGCUGAUGAAAACCCCCAGGUUGGAUGAACUUUACUUUGUUUCCAGUUUUAUUAGUGGCCUCAGGGAAGAAAUUAGACCUAUGGUGAAGAUGUUUAAGCCUCAAACACUGAUGAAGGCCUUUGAAGUUGCGGAGUUGCAGGAGUGUUCCCUGGAAAUCCAAUCGAAACAAAACAGAACUUCAAGGAGGACAGCAAUGGAACCCAAGUUUGGAAUGUAUAAGGGCACUACGAGUGAUUAGGGUCGCCAAAAUUCAUAUAAGUUGCCUGGAGUCACUCCUGUCUCCAGGAGGACUAAUGCAGUACACAAGGAAUUUAGUAAGAUAUCAGCGGAGGAAAUGCAGUAUAAGCGUAAGCACAGCCUGUGCUAUAGGUGUGGAGAGAAGUUUGGAAUAGGUCAUCAGUGUAAGAAAGGAAGUCUGAACUGUGUGAGCACUGAGGAAGAGGAGGACACUGAAUUUGAGGAUGCGGAAGGGGAACAGGAUGAGUUAACAGGAAGGGUCGGGGAACUUGCAGAAGUCUCUUUGAAUGCUUUAUCUGGUGCCAUAAGGAGGAAAUCCAUCCUGUUGAUAGGGAACUUAGGGGGGCUUCCAGUCAAAAUUUUGGUGGACACAGGCAGUUCUAACAGCUUCAUUCACCACAGGAUUGUCAACCUACUGCAUCUACCAUAUCAGGCAGUCAGUCCAUUUACUGUGACUCUAGCAGAUGGAACUGACAUUACCAGUGGAGCCAUCAGUCCCAGCGUGUCUUGGUUAAUUCAGGACUAUCAAUUCCAAUUUGACUUAAAAGUAAUGGAAUUAGGGGGAUGGGAUAUAAUUCUGGGGGUGGACUGGAUGUGCCAGUAUAGUCCCAUUACAUUUGAUUUCCACUCUCUUAGCAUUGCCCUUAGUGAUAGGGGUUCUUUACUACACCUCCAAGGACUUGUGAAGCAACCUACUAUGGAACUGGUGAGGGGCAGGGAUCUCAGCUCGUUUAUACAGGAGAAGCAAAGAAACUGUGCAGCCAUGCAUGCUGAUAGGGCCAGGGAAACAGGAGAGCAGCUUCCAAAAGCUAUAGAAAGGAUCCUGGAACAGCACUCUCAGGUUUUCUCCACCCCAACAGGAUUACCCCCAGAGAGGGAAUUGGACCAUCAGAUCAACCUCAAACCAGGAGCUGAACCCUUCAAGCUCAAACCUUACAGGUACCCCCACUCACAUAAAGCAGAAAUUGAAAAAAAAGUUGCUGAGAUGCUCACUAAUGGAAUUGUUAUACAUAGCACAAGCCCCUAUGCCUCCCCUGUAUUGUUAGUAAAGAAAAAGGAUAACUCCUGGAGAUUAUGCAUAGAUUACAGGAAGCUGAACGAGCUGACUAUAAAGGAUAAGUUCCCUAUUCCCAACAUAGAUGAACUAUUGGAUGAAUUACAUGGAACCAGAUACAUGUCCAAACUGGAUCUCAGAGCUGGUUACCAUCAGUUGAGGGUGAAAGCUGUUGAUACCCCUAAGACUGCCUUCCAGACACACCAUGGCCACUUUGAAUUCUUAGUGAUGCCUUUUGGACUCACAAACGCGCCAGCUACAUUUCAGUCCUUGAUGAACAGAAUAUUUCAGCCAUAUCUCAGAAAGUUUGUCCUAGUCUUCUUUGACUACAUAUUAGUGUACAGCCCCACACUAGAGAUGCAUGCACAGCAUCUACAGAUUGUGCUCAAUAUUUUAGAAGAAAAUCAGCUGUAUUACAAGAGGUCAAAGUGCUCUUUUGCCCAGUCCUCAAUUGAAUACUUGGGGCACGUGAUCUCAGAGGCAGGAGUGAGUAUGGAUGUGGCUAAGGUGGAGUGUAUCAAGUCCUGGUCUGUUCCUAGUACAGUCAAGGAGCUGAGAGGGUUUUUGGGAUUAAUUGGUUACUACAGGAGAUUCAUUAAAGGCUAUGGAGUGAUUAGCAAACCCUUGACUGUAUUGUUGAAAAAGGAAGGUUUUGCAUGGAACCAUGAAGCUCAAAUGGCCUUUGAAGAUUUGAAAAAGGUUAUGACCACAGCCCCAGUGCUGAGCAUGCCUAAUUUCGAACUUCCUUUUGUCAUAGAGACUGAUGCCUGUGGAAUAGGUAUUGGAGCAGUGUUGAUGCAGCAAGGACAUCCUAUUGCUUUCCUUAGCAAGGCAUUAUCAGUUCAGAAUUUGGGGUUAUCAGUCUAUGAAAAAGAGCUUUUUGCCUUAGUGCUAGCUGUAACUAAGUGGAGGCAUUACCUGGUGGGUCAUCACUUCAUUAUCAGGACAGAUCACCAAGCUCUCAAACAUUUGAUAGAGCAAAGGCUUACUCAUCCACUCCAGCACAAGUGGCUAACUAAGCUACUUGGUUUGGACUAUGAAAUACAGUAUAAAAAGGGUGCAGACAAUGGGGUGGCAGACGCCCUCUCCAGGAGAAGGAUUGAGGGAAACACUGUUGACUGUGGAGAGACUGGGCAUCAGACCUGCGCCAUAACCUCAGCUCAGCCUAGUUGGAUGCAGGAAAUGCUAGAAAGCUACAUUGGAGAUGCAGAGGCUCAACAGAAGUUAUCUGAGCUAUUGCUGGAUCCCAAUGCAGAUCCAGAUUAUCAGUUAAAGAAUGGGAUGCUCAAGUUUAAAGGGCGGCUGUACAUAGGAUCUGCUAACAACAUUAGGACCAAGGUGGUCAGAGCAUUGCAUGACUCAGCCCUUGGGGGGCACUCAGGUCCUGGAAUCCGUAAGGAUGUCCUUCAAUAUGUGAGAUCUUGUGAUGUGUGUCAAAGGAACAAACAUGAAAAUGUUCCUUAUCCUGGGUUGCUGCAACCAAUUCCUGUACCUCAGCAGGCUUGGUCACACCUCACCAUGGAUUUUAUUGAGCAACUACCCCCAUCCCAUGGAUUUGAUACCAUUUUGGUGGUGGUGGAUAGGUUAACCAAGUUCAGCCACUUCAUUCGACUCACUCACCCUUUUUCUGCACAGCAGGUAGCACAGCUUUUCCUUGACAACAUAUACAAGCUGCAUGGACUUCCUGAGACCAUUAUAACUGACAGGGACAUAAUCUUUCUUAGUAAGUUUUGGCAAGAGUUAUUUGGUAUGGUAGGGGUAAAGCUGCACUACAGUUCAUCGUAUCACCCUCAAUCAGAUGGUCAAAGUGAAAGGGUCAAUCAGUGUUUGGAAAACUAUCUCAGGUGUAUGUGCAGUGAGCAUCCUUCUCACUGGAGCAGUUGGCUUCCUACAGCUGAGUUAUGGUACAACACUAACUUCCAUACUAGCUUGCAGGUGACACCAUUCGAAGCACUAUACGGGUAUAAACCAAAUCACCUUCCCUUAGGACCUUUUCAUGAUAGCCUGGUACCUGCUGCUGGUAACAUGGUGCAGACUAGGCUCCAAAUUCUAUCCCUCAUCAAAGAGAAUCUAGCCACCGCCCAGAAUCGAAUGAAAAUGUUUACUGAUAAGCACAGGACUGAACGUGUCUUCCAAGUGGGGGAUUGGGUAUUUCUCAAGCUGCAACCUUACAGGCAACAAUCAGUGGCCUUACGGAAGAAUUUGAAGUUGGCUGCCAAAUACUUUGGACCUUUCCAGAUCCUUGCGAGAGUAGGGGAAGUCGCCUACAGACUUAAGUUGCCAGAGGGAGCUCGAGUUCAUUCCGUGUUCCAUGUGUCCUUACUUAAAAGGAAAGUGGGAGUUACACAGCAGGUAAAGCCCAGCUUGCCAGAAGUAGACGCAUCAGACCAAUGUUUGCUGAAGCCAGAGAAGAUUCUCCAGAGGCGUGUUAUCAUACGAGCUGCCAAACCAAUCAUCCAGUACCUGGUGAAGUGGAACAACUUACCAGAAUCCGAAGCAUCAUGGGAGGAUAAAAGCUUCAUUGACAGACAAUUUCCGGAAUUUCAAGCUUGAGGACAAGCUUUGCUUAAGGGGAAGAGAUUGUCAGGAACAAGGAAAUAGAAUGGGACGUCGUUUAAUGCAAAGGGUUGUGCGUUUAAGGCCUUAGAAGCAAUACUACGUCAUUCUAAUAACAUAGGCGGUGCUGGUGUGAUAGGCCAAGUUAGUUGAGGGUCAAUUACAUAAAUAGCCUUCUGUAACAGAUUUUUGGUUAUGUUUUUGAAUGAAAAGUAUCUCGCUGCUUUCUCUCUCUUGUCUGUUAUUUCCCUCCCUUUUCUUCUUUCUCUCUUCCCUCUUCUUAAUCUUGUUUCUUUCUUCUGAUUCUUCCCCCAAAUUCAAUACAAUUCCAGAAAUUAACCUGCAGAUCUGACAAGGAGCCCUAUUCUAACCAAAUAACACACUACCAGGGUUAUUUUAGGUUAGCCCGCGUAUUCCCCUGACAUGAAUCCAAUCAUGCCAGUUAUCACUAUUUUGAAACAAUUAAACAAUUACGGAUUUAACGUCCCAAUUGACAAUAGAUUAUCAAAUUAACUAAUUAUCCGGAUCCAAAACAAUCAAUUAAUUAAAUAAUCAUAAGCACUGUAAUCAGGGAAUAUUUGAAUACCAAUAAAUAAAAAGAAAGGACAAAAUUAAAUCGAUUUCACAAUUUUUAAACGAACCACAACCUCAGUUGUUCCUCGGCUAGAUUGAGAAAAUUAGCUCAUGUUCGAUGCGAAAAAUCCACAAGAAAUUGUUAAGAGAGCCGCGGCCAUUGUCCCUUGAAAUUGGGGAAAUUCAAUUCGGUUGAACUACGAAAGAAAAGUAAGCUACAGAGAGUUGCCGAUUGGGUUUUGCUUGUCCCUAACAUGCGAGGGAGCAAAGCCACGAAAGGACGACAAAGGUCAAAAAGAAAGGCUACAGAGCAUGUUCCAGGUCUUUUUGUGCUCUCCACAUCCGAGCCAACGAAAAGAAAUAAAAAACUACCAGGAGCUAAAGGAAAACCGCAAGAAAAGUCAAAGGCUAAAAAAACUUCCUAGUGCUUGUUCUCUGCUUAUCUCUUUAUCUAAUUCUAAGUCCCCGAUUUUUUGCUCCGUGCGGCGGCUCCCCCGGAGAGAAAGGAUUGCAUCCGCUGCCCUCUUCCACCAAUUACCAAAAUGGGCACACCGCUUCUUUUUCAAAAAUGCUCCUGGAUAAACUCUAUCAUCUGGACUUUUUUUCUGUCAAAUUGACAUUUAUUAUUAUAUUUUCGUUCUACUCCCUGAAAUAAAUGUAAAAUAUUAAAAAUGAGUAGAAUCCGACAAUUAAUUCACAUCAGGUCAGAUAAUAAAGAAAAUUAAUAAUAAAAUAAAUAAAUAAAUUGCAACCUAUCAACCAAAUACAACAAUUUCAUGGAGUUUGAUACACAAGCCCAAAUACACGAGAGUGUGUAACCUGAAUUGUUACUUAUACAUUAGUGUGUAAUAGAACGGCAAGCAUUAUGGUGGUCAUUGAGCAACUUGUAGGAGAAAUAGUCCUAUAAGCUGUUCAAUGACCAAUCACAACUUGCUAAUUGGAUGACUAAUAUAGCUCUAGCUGUAAUGUUUUAAUUAAAUUCCAUCACUAACGUUGGGAUGACUUUUUAAUCAAAAAAAAAAAAGCCUUAGUUCAAGCUUUUCCCCUUAUUGUGCAUUUUUUAAAACAUUUGAUAGGCACUGCAAAUCUGUCAUUUUGGACAUUUUAUUAUUAACUAACAAUGAAAGCCGUGGACAUCAACCCAUAUCCAACAAAAUAUUAAAUUAAUAUUAGAAAAAAUUAUUAAGUAAUUGGAAAAAAAAAGAAGAGGCUAAUUUUCAUUGAAACCCACCGACAAACUAUACGCUGCUUUCAAUCAGUUUUAACACGGGAAAAAGAAAAGGCAUGAAAAGCAAAAUUUGUGGGGAUAAUUUCGGAAACCUCCCAUGAAGUUUUUGACUAUUUUACUGGCCUCCCUUCAGAUUUUAAAAAUUGGACUAAUCUUCCUUAAAGUUAAUUAUCUUGUAACAUUUAGAUCCGAUCAAUAAUUUAAAAAAUAAUAUUAUGAGAGAGAAAAUAAUAUGAUUUUAUUAUUGCCCCCAUCUCACCACAUUAUUUAAUUAAUUUAAUAGCAACCCACACAUUAAAGAAAAUGACAGGUCGUCAACCUGUGCAAUAAUAAAAUUAAACCUAAUUGCCAGUUAAAAUGACCAAAACCCAAUUCCAAGUACUGGAGCAGGGACUCUAGGUGUGCAAUGGGUUACUUGAUUCACCCUGUUCCCGAAGAGUUUGCUUGAUCCGAUAUACCCGAAUGGAAUGGUUAUUCCUUUUCACAAAUGAUUAGGAAUUUGUAGACAGGGCAAGUAGGGUCGUAUCCACAGAGACUGGGUAUAUUUGUUUCUUAAGAAAUCCAAAGUAACACAGGGGGUGAUUUUGUAGGAACGACGAUAAUUAAAUAAAUUCAAAUGAGAAAGUAAAAAUAAAUAAUUAACUAGAAAUUAAACCACAAUUUACUGAACUCAGGAUAACAAUAGUUAAAGGCCUCAAUUAAUUAAAAUAAGGAAACAAUCAAAAAUAAAAUAAAGUAGGUAAUUAAAAGUCAAAUGGCAAUCCACUACAAUCAAGGAAAUAUUAACUAAAGAUCUAGCCAAGAAAUAACUUCAGCAAUGGUUCACCUAAUCGAUCAUUGAUGCAAAGCAAUCCCAAUUAUUUACUAAUAAAUAGGUUAUAACUACCAAACAAGCGAUGGCAGUCAACCCCUCCUUACUGUGUCGGUGAUCAAGGUACGCCCGUUAAUCACUGCUCUAAUUGAGAAAUAAUCCUAGGUACGCCCGUAGAAUUUAAUUCCCCAACUGCCUUACGUAUUAGAGGAGCCCUAUUCUACCCAAAUAACACACUACCAGGGUUAUUUUAGAUUAGCCCGCGUAUCCCCCUGACACGAAUCUAAUCGUGCCAGUUGUCACUAAUUUGAGGUAAUUAAACAAUUACGGAUUCAAUACCCCAAUUGACAAUAGAUUAUCAAACCAAUGAAUUAUCCGGAUCCAAGACAAUCAACUAAUUAAAUAAUCAUAAGCACUGCAACCAAGGAAUAUGCGAAUACCAAUAAAUAAAGGAAAAGAUAAAAUUAAAUCGAUCUCACAAUUUACAGGUGACCCAAAGCAUCAGUCGUUUCUUGACUAGAACGAGGGGGUUAGCUCAUAUUGGAUGAACUAAGCCCGCGGGAAAUUCCAGCAAAAGUCACGGCCGUUGUAUGCAUUUCAAGAGCCGCAAUUCGUCAAACACUUGGAAAGCGAAUGUAAGGCACGGGUAACAAUUGAAACUUUCUAAUUGUUCCUAGCAUUCGUAAAGCAAAUUCACUCCAGAAGUACAGUGAGGAAAAGUCAAAGAAAGUGGGCUUCAAUUCCUUGCUCCUGACAUGCGUGGAGACAAGCCAAUGCAAGACUACAAUAAACUAACAAGGAAAAGUCAAGAAUUGGAGCUAAGCUCCCCUGCCAUGCGCAGGAAUCCCAAAAGUAAAAAGUAAAGCUUCAAAGAAAAGUCAACAAUUCUUCCUAAGCUACAGACGGAAGAUCCAGCACAAAAGCCAGCUCCCUUUUUGAUCCCUUUUUCCCCCUUCUUAUUGCGGCGGCUCACCAGGAGAGGAGAGCCCUCCGUCCGUCCUUUCUUCCGGAAAUUACCAAAAUGGGCAUGACAUCUUCUCUUCCAAAAGUGCCCCUGGGACAAGCUUUCUCAUCUGAAUUCUUUUUUUUUCCAAUUUGGCACCUGUUAUCAUAUUUAUAUUCUACUCCCUGAAAUAAACGUCAAAUACUAAAAGUGAGUAGAAUCCAGCAAAUAAAUCCACAUCAAGUCAGGUAAUAGGAGGAAUUAAUAAUAAAAUAAAUGAAUAAAUUGCACCCUAUCAAUUCCCUCCACACCUAAACCAUGCUUGUCCUCAAGCAUAAGAAAAGUAAACGAACACCAAAAUUCGACGAUAGCCAUUGCCCAAUCUCCUAUAUUGCCAAGACAUUCAAGAGAAAAACACAUAUCGAGCAUUGGUGAUUAGAAUCCCAGAAGCAUCCCCCCGGUUAGCCUCUAACCCCCAGAUUCCUUCAAUUUCCAACUUAACUACUCUAAGAAAGAGGAAUGGCACACAACAUUUAUCAGCUAGUGGUCCGAAUAUUCACACAAGUCUUCAUAUCCAAUCCAUAAACCGGCAAGCUUCCCUAUUAUUUAGUCUCUCUUUUUUUCCGUUUUUUUUCAUUUUCAUUCUUCCCCUCUUUUUUUUUUUUUUUUAAAGCAGUAGCAAUCAACACAAAAGACUUAGUCGUUAGCCGUCAGGGCCUUUUGAUGCGAACUCCAACAUUUUUAGAAGGAGGAGCCCGGUUACUCAGCUCCUACCGCUAUACGACCACGCACUCAUAUAAAAUACCACCUUUUGACGCGAGAAUCGACACUUUUAGGUGCCGAUCCCCGGUUACUCAGUAGUAACUUAAUAGCGGAGCACAGUCAAGCUUAUUCUCAGCCAAACAAUGCACAAACGCAAAAUAACAGCACUAACAAUCAAACAUAGGAGCAGCUCGCCUCAUUAUUGUCAAACAUGGAGAACUGGAGUCAAUAUUGGACCAGUUCACAUUAAAAGGCCAUAUUCAUUCCCUACGCCUAGAAAAGUUAACAAAGAAAUCGAAAGAGUCAAACAGUUAAAUAUUCACCAAGGGGAUAUUCAGGACCCAACCACACUAACCCGAUACAUUUUGUAUUUUAAAAACUUGGCAAAAGUAGAUUUGGAGUCAAUGAGUCCACAUCUCAAUUUUAGCCUUCACAUGAAAGGCAAUCACCAAGAAGAAAGAACGGAAAAAUAAGCAACUAGAAAUGAGACUACGAAAAACUACUAAAACUAAAAACUCACUUUUUUUCUUUUUCUCUUUUUUUUUCUUUUUGAAUUUUUUUUUCAUUUUUAUUUUUUUUUAUUUUUUUUAUUUUUUAAACAUUAACUAUAAACAUUAACUACUAAAAACUAAAAACUAAAACUACUAAAAACUAAAAACACUAAAAACUGCUAAAAUGAAAAGCUGAAAACUGAAAACUACUAAAAACGGAGCACACUAGCAUAACUUUAGAUCCCCCCCACACCUAUAGGACACAUUGUCCUCAAUGUGACAAAUAAGAACCAAAAGUGAAGCACAAGUGAGAGGGGAAUCAGCCAAACUUCCCUGAAAUCGGGUCACAGCGGAGGGCGAGGUGGAAAUGGAGGUGCAAAGCCUGUAUGCAUCAGGAACUGUGCCAAAUUCUGUGCUAUGCCGGCGACAUUGGCGUCGACGUUGGUCAUCCGGGCCUGCAAAUCCUGAACCAGCUCCCUGAGAUGCUGCCAAUCAUCGGUCCCAGGUGGUGGAGGUGGCGCAGAAGUAGAGGUAGACGGCCCAGCAGUGUCCGCGGCCGACCCAGGGAAUGAAGAUGGCCCUGCCCGGGCCGAAUGGUGUGCACCCGGGGCUCGAGGUGGUCCCGGACGGGUAAACUGGUGAAAACCAUCUGGCAGACGCUCGACGACCCCCAUUUUCUCUAAGCAAACUACGUCCAAGUGCUCCAUCUCAAAUGCCAAAUGGAGGUCGUGGUCAUCCAGGUUAAGAACUCCCAACUGGGUCGCCAAGUGAGUGAUGUAGGACCCAAGGAUCAGUGGUUUGUUCUUCUUGGUCAAGACCGUCUUGAACUGUGCGGCCAACCAACAUCCCAAGUUCACCUUGAUAUUGUUCUUCAUACUCCAGAGAAAGAAGAAUUCGGGCCGAGAGAGUAUACCGGAGCUGUCCUUGCGCCCCGAGUAGCUAUAAGCUAAGAAUCGCUGAACAUAGCGGGCGCUAGGGUCCUUAAGAAAGGAGCUCCUGGACCGGGAAGGAUCGUAGCGUUGCCUAUCGACGGACAUGUCCUCCCAUACAUCAUGGUAGUGGGAGAGGAAAGGCUCUACGUAGUCACAGGCACUCUCCGCAUACUCCCUAGUCUCAGCAUACUCUCUAGUGAUAAACCCAAAUGCCAGAUUGAAUUGAGUAAUGGAGAAAUUGAAUUCUCGACCCAUGAGCCGGAAAUGAAUGACAUUCGGUGUUUCACCCGUGUAUCUCGUAGGUAAUUCGAACUCAAAGGUGGAGUAAAACUCCCGGAUCAGCUCAACAAAAGCGGGACAAGAAAUAUGGAAAUAUGGGCGCCACCCAAUGGCUGUGAACAUUUGCUCAACCUCCUCCCGUAUACCCAGGGCAGUUAGAGAGAGUCUAUGACAAGACUUACAGGAUAUUAUACGCCUCUCGCAGACCUUAGCGUACCUCUGCCGAUCGGCGGGUCUGGUAAAUGUUAAGUGCCCCCCAAAAUGAACAGGUGCAUCUACCUGAGCACCCCUAUCCCUACCCAAACGGGUUCGAACACUAGAAGAGGAGGGUAGGUUGGUAGGUGAGUUGACAGGAAUAGAGGCUUGUGGAGGGGGUUGAGACUGAGAGGUCCUAGACCUAGAGGAGGAUUUCGGUCUCACCAUUCCCCCCAAAGUAAGUUCAAGGCAACAGAAAAUCCGACAAGUAUAGAAACCAGCAAUUGACAAAGCAAAAAUCUCCCAGUAGUAACCCAGCCAAUAGCAAACAAAAGAGUUCCAGCAAGUAAUCAACAAGCAAUUCAGAAAUAUCUCAACUAAAAUCUCAAGAGAAACCCCAGCGAGUUAUCCAGCAAUUCAAGCAAUAUCCCCAAGCAAUGUGGUGGUCAAAAUGUCAUCUCCAAAUUGAACAAAUAAUCAGAGCAUUGCAACACAUUGAAAAUCUCAAUAAACGGCUCCAGUUGGCCAAGAAAAAUUGCUAACUCAUACUCAGCAAUAGUAGUGCAGCAAAGGGACAGUAACCACGCAAUAAAAACACUUAGCUUGCACUCAAAUGGUCACCCCAAAUAACAACCCAGUAUGAAACCCGCAGGCAGAGUAUUCCUCAAACCGUUAGCCUAAACCCAGUCAACAACCACGGCCAGAAAUAACCCCAUAAAUAGUGCAAUGAGUAAUCCCCAGCAACAUAAUCAGGUGUAAUCAACUGGAGCAAGCAAUUUACAUGGCAUAGAAACCUCCCAAUCAAACAAGUGCAUUAUUCUAGCGCACCCCAAAAUUCCAAGAAAUGGCUCCAGUUGGCCAAUUAAUUUCACAAUGUCACCCAACUCAGGAGAAAUAGCAAUUCCACACAAAAAUAGUCAAACCAGUACCACUGGCGAAAAAUCUUUCAAAUAUGCACAAUUUGCUACCAAAUAUCACCGGCUAACACUGAAAAAUUGAGGGCAAGUGUCAAAUACCUCCACAGGGACUACCCCAGGCGGCAGACAGAGAAGCGGCGUUGAAGCUGGUGGUCGAGCGGGGCGGCGCUCGCGUCGGCGUGCGCAGCGGCGACGGCGCGCGAGGAUGGAGUUUCGGGAGGUUGCGUGCGGGCUUGGCUGAAGACGCGGCGCGCGCUAGGGCUUCGCUGCGGCAGGCGUGCAGCAGGGGAGAAGAAAGAAAAGAGAAAGAAAGAAAGAAAAAGAAAGGAAAGAAAGAACAGAAAAGAAGGAAAAGAAAAAGGAAUUUUUCUUUUUUUUCUUUUUCUUUAGGCUACGGUUUAGAGGACAAAUUUUUCUUCUUCUUGUUUUCUACUUUUUUAUUUUUUUAUUUUUUAGUUUUUAAUUUAUUACUAUUAUUAUCAUAUUUAAUUGAGGAAAAAAAAUGUUUUUUUUUAAAUCCCUACCUUUCCCACGAACGUGACGCGGGCACGUCAAGAGGGCAAGAGAGCUCCCAGAAGUUUCAGAAUUUUCUGAUCGUAAGCGUCCUGCACAUCACCACGCGGGCACGUCAUGAGGACAGGAGAGCUCCCAGAAGUUCAGAAUUUUCUGAUCGUGAGCGCCCUGCACGUCACCACGCGGGCACGUCAUGAGGCCAGGAGAGCUCCCAGAAGUUUGAAGUUUCUGAUUCCUGCCCGUCAUCACGCGGGCGCGUCAUGACUGAAGGUCACCUACAAAUCAGCAAAAACGAAAACUAACACCCAAAAUCAGUCAAAUUCAGGGAAAGCAGAUUUAAACUAUGCUACAAAACCAACAAACAAUUAAAAGAAAUAAUUAGGUUGCCUCCCAAUGAGCGCCUUUCUUUAAUGUCUUUGGCUAGACAUGGUAAAGUGUCACUGAUUAGGACACGGUGGUGCGUCAAGCCUUAUUGUCUCCACCUCUCUACCUGAAAAUCCUUCGUAAUAAUAUUUGAGACGGUGUCCAUUCACCACAAAUUUGUUGUCUGUCUUAGCACUCUGGAUCUCAACUGCACCAUAGGGAAAAACAUGAGUAACAAUGAAAGGUCCAAUCCAACGGGAACGUAGCUUACCUGGGAAUAGCUUGAGCCUGGAUUGGUACAGGAGGACCUUCUGACCAACUUCAAAUGUUUUUCUUGAAAUUUGUUGGUCAUGAAAUGCCCGGCUUUUCUCCUUAUAUAUCAAGGCGUUUUCGUAUGCUUCGUUCCGGAUCUCCUCCAAUUCUUGCAAAUCCAACUUCCGUUGAGCACCGGCCUCCUCUAAAUUCAUAUUGCAGUGCUUUAUCGCCCAAAAAGCCUUGUGCUCGAACUCCACUGGAAGGUGACACGGCUUCCCAAAUACCAACCUGUACGGUGACAUCCCAAUAGGAGUCUUGUACGCCGUCCGAUAGGCCCAGAGUGCGUCUUCCAACCUUUGGCUCCAGUCUUUUCUAUCAGGGCGCACCAUUUUCUCUAAAAUGGACUUAAUCUCCCGAUUCGACACCUCCGCUUGACCAUUGGUCUGAGGGUGGUAUGACGUUGAGACCCUGUGGAGUACACCAUACUUGCGAAACAACGCAGCUAUGGUUUUGUUGCAAAAGUACGUUCCCCUAUCACUGACAAUAGCUCUAGGCAUUCCAAACCGCACAAAGAUAUUAGACCUGAUAAAAUCUGCAACUACUCUCGAAUCAUUAGUUCGAGUGGCCUUAGCCUCCACCCAUUUAGACACAUAAUCAACUGCCAGCAAAAUAUAUAAAAAACCAAAUGAAGUAGGAAAAGGCCCCAUGAAAUCUAUACCCCAGACAUCAAAAAUUUCAACAAAAAUCAACGGGACCUGGGGCAUUUGAUCUCUACGGGCUAUAUUACCUACCAUUUGACAGCGAUCACAUGACUUACAAAACACAUAGGCAUCUCUAAACAAUGAAGGCCAAUAAAAUCCACUUUCUAAAACCUUAUGAGCAGUUCUCUUAGGUCCAAAAUGACCUCCACAGGCAAAAGUAUGACAAAAAGCUAAAAUUGAUUGAAAUUCCAUUUCACUUACACAUCUCCUCAUCACUUGAUCGGCACACCUCUUCCAUAGGUACGGGUCAUCCCAGAUAAAAUACUUGGCAUCGCUCUUCAAUUUAUCCCUCUUCGAUUUCGGCCAACCUGCAGGAAAAUUACCAGUUACCAAAUAAUUGACCAAAUCAGCAUACCAAGGCAACUGAGAAUUUAAGAAAAAUAGGUAUUCUUCGGGGAAUGCAUCCUUCAAUGGCUCGCUAUCCUCUUCAACUAGUAUGCGACUCAAAUGGUCCGCUACUAGAUUUUCUGAGCCUUUUUUGUCCCUUAUCUCCAAGUCAAAUUCCUGUAGGAGCAGUAUCCACCGUAUGAGCCUCGGUUUUGCAUCUUUCUUGGUCAUCAGGUACCUCAAUGCUGCAUGAUCAGAAAAUACAAUCACUUUAGCACCUAACAAGUAUGACCUAAAUUUUUCCAAAGCAAAAAUAACUGCCAGAAGCUCCUUCUCAGUGGUGGAAUAAUUCAACUGGGCUCCAUUCAAGGCCCGGGAUGCGUAAUAGAUGACAUGAGCCGCCUUGCCUAUUCUUUGCCCCAGUACAGCCCCAACAGCGUGAUCACUGGCAUCGCACAUGAUCUCAAAUGGCAAAUUCCAAUCGGGGGGUUGGAUGAUUGGGGGUGAAGUCAGCAAUUCCUUCAGCUUGUUAAAGGCUCUCUCACACUUAUCAUCAAAUUCGAAGGCUACAUCUUUUUGUAGGAGUUGGAACAACGGGGCUCCAAUCUUUGAAAAAUCCUUGAUGAACCUUCGAUAAAAACCUGCAUGUCCAAGAAAAGAGCGCACCUCCCGCACACUCGCGGGGUAAGGUAAUGCAGAAAUAAUGUCUAUUUUAGCCUUGUCAACUUCUAUGCCCUUAGACGAUACAAUAUGACCCAGGACUAUUCCGUGCUCAACCAUAAAAUGACAUUUUUCCCAAUUAAGCACAAGAUUAGUCUCUAUACACCUGAUCAGGAUUAAUUUCAGGUUAUCUAGACAAGUAUCAAAACUAUCACCAUACACACUGAAAUCAUCCAUGAAAACUUCUAUUAUUUUCUCAACAUACUCGGAAAAGAUGCUUACCAUACAUCUUUGGAAAGUCGCAGGUGCAUUGCACAACCCAAAUGGCAUUCGUCUGUAGGCAAAGGUCCCGAACGGGCACGUGAAGGUUGUCUUCUCUUGAUCCUCCGGGGCAAUUGCUAUCUGAAAGUAUCCUGAAAAUCCAUCCAAAAAGCAAUAAUAAGCCCUACCAGCUAAACGUUCAACCAUUUGGUCAAUGAAAGGGAGAGGGAAAUGGUCCUUUUUGGUGACGGCGUUUAGCCUACGGUAAUCUAUACAUUGCCUCCAUCCAGUGGGUUUGCGCACUGGCACGAGCUCACCAGUUUGGUUGGCCUCUACCGUCACUCCUGCAUUCUUUGGGACUACCUGGACCGGACUCACCCAAGGGCUAUCAGAUAUUGCAAAAAUGAUGCCCACAUCUAGCAAUUUUAGAAUCUCUUUCUUUACGACUUCCAUCAUGAGGGGAUUGAGCCUUCUUUGAGCCUGCCUAACAGGUUUGGCAUCGUCUUCCAGCCUAAUCCGGUGCAUACAAAUGGCCGGGCUGAUCCCCUUAAUGUCUGCGAUUGUCCAGCCUAUUGCCUCUUUAUGCUCCCGAAGGACCCGGAUCAAUUUCUCUUCCUGGGUCUUUGACAGUGCCGAUGAGAUAAUCACUGGGAGUGUCUCAUUAUCACCUAGGUAUGCGUAUUUCAGGUGCUCUGGUAGAGGUUUCAACUCCAGUACAGGUGCCUGCACCACAGAUGGCAAUACCCUCUGGUGAGCCUUGGGAGUAAAAAUAGGUAAGACUUCAUACCUUUUCGUGGUGGUCUGCAACGAGUGUAAUGCACCUAUUGUGCAUUUUAAAUCCUCGCUCCACUCCACCUCAGGAGUUGUCUCCAACUCGAGGUGCUUGGUUAAAGCCACCUCCAGCUCAUCCCUGCCAUCAGUUUCAAACACUUCCUGCACUACAGGGUCAAUAGCACUCACAGAAAAAACUGAGCUAAAGUUGGAGUUAGAGGGGUACUUCAUAGUAUCAAAAAUAUUAAAAUGCACAAUUUACCCAUCAAACUCCAUGGACAAGGUACCCUUAUUAACAUCAAUUUUCGUCUGCGCAGUGCUCAUAAAAGGUCUACCCAAUAACAAAGGUGAGGGAUCAGGGGAGUGAUCAUCAUCCAUAUCUAGUACAUAAAAAUCAGCUGGAAACACCAAAUCAUUAACCUUUACCAACACAUCUUCAAUCAACCCAUCAGGAUAUGCAUUAGUUCGGUCAGCUAAUUGAAUAAUUAUUCCAGUUUCUUUUAAUGGACCUAGUUUCAAAGAAGCAUAGAUAGAUUUAGGCAUGACAUUAAUUGAUGCUCCCAGAUCCAGCAUGGCCCUUCUGAUCACAGUAUUACCUAUCUUACAGGGAAUAGUAAACAUACCUGGGUCCCCGCACUUUGGUGGGAGCUUUCUCUGCAGGACCGCAGACACAUUUUCUCCAACUAUGACCCGUUCAUCUCCCCUCAACCGCCUUCGGUUGACACACAAGUCCCUUAGGAACUUGGCAUAUUUUGGUACUUGUUUGAUGGCGUCUAAGAGGGGGAUAUUUAUCUCAACCUUGCGAAAAACCUCCAAGAUCUCCUUCUCCUUAUCCUGCUUCUUCGAUUUUUCCAACCUGCUAGGAAAAGGAGGCGGGUUAGUUUUAACUGUAAUUAUUGGGUCAGGAAGUACCUCUGGAUCUGCACCAUUGCUGUCCUCCCUUUCGAGCUCAUUUUCGAUCUUCUCUUCAUCCUUGUCCUUGGGAAUCACAGGUUCAGGCCCCUGAAUUUCUUUCCCACUCCUUAGGAUCAUUGCGCUCACGUUCUUCGGAUUCAACUCCGGUUGAGAUGGCAGCUUCCCUUGGUUCUGGGACUCCCAACGGUUCAUUCUGGUGGCCAAUUGACCUAUCUGAUUCCUUAUGUCCUGCAUUUCGGAGUCCGUCUUUUGCUGAUUUUGCAUAAUAGCUGCCUCCGUCCUUUGCUGAUUCUGCGCCAUGGUUGUCAUCAUUUGUUUCAGCAUCUCAUCCGUAGAUGAACCAGAUUGAGGGAGCGGAGGUGGUCGGGGUUGGUAUUGCUGCUGGUACCCUGGUGGCUUAUUUGGCACAAAGUUAGACUGCCUGUUUGGCGUGAAGUUGGAUUGCCUAUUUCCACCAUAACUGAGGUUGGGAUGAUCUCUCCACCCGGGGUUGUAGGUGCUUGAGUAAGGGUCGUACUGCUUCCUUGGCGCGGGCGCGUGGUCAGCCAUGUUCACCUGUUCCGCAGUUUCUUCCUGAAUCAUUGGGCACAUGUCUGCAGAGUGACCUAUACCAGUGCAAAUCCCGCAUACCCUGGCUUGUGAUGCAUUUCUCACAGCCUAUUGCCUAACGAACGCAGUCAACUCAUUUAGCUGCUGCUGCACAGAGGGUGUCUCUAUCUCAUUCACCCUACGUAUUGGGACAUCCUAUCUUGUACUGAAUUGCUGUGAAUUCUCUGCCAUCCCCUCUAUUAACUCCCGUGCUUCCUGAGGGGUUUUGUUCACCAGUGCCCCUCCACUUGCAGCAUCAAUGAUGCUCCUGUCUCUAAAAAUGAGCCCCUCAUAGAAAUAUUGUAUGAUCAACUGCUCACUUAUUUGGUGAUGGGGGCACCUGCGCAACAAGCUCUUAUACCGUUCCCAAUACUCGUAAAGUGACUCCUCGGGAUGCUGCUUGAUCCCACAAAUUUCUUUCCUUAGACUCGCAGCCCUGGACGCAGGAAAAUAUUUAUCCAGAAAUUUUUUCUUCAAUUGGUCCCACGUGGUGAUGCUACCUGGUGACAGGUAGUACAGCCAGUCCUUCGCAGAAUCUUUCAAGGAGAAGGGGAAUGCCCUCAUUUUUAUCUGCUCUUCUGUGAUUCCCGGGGGUUUCAUACUGUUGCAAACGACAUCAAACUCCUGCAGAUGCUUAUACGGCUCUUCACCUGGUAAACCAUGAAAAGAGAGUAAAAGCUGAAUCAGACCAGAUUUUAGUUCAAAUGGAAUGUUGUCAUUUAAAGCUGGGAAAGUAAUGCAUAACGGCUGCUGAGUUAAAUCAGGAGCAGCCAACUCCCUUAAUGUUUAUGCAUUAGCCAUGGUGCCUUCCUGCUGGUCAGAGUCACUCGAAGUGUUACCAAACGAAUCUGUUGGUUCAACUUCUGACUCGGGUCUUUGAGAUGUAGCACUAGAGUGCUCUUCUCUGAGCUGUCUGGUUUCCUUUCUCGUUCUACGCGCGGUCUUCUCUACCUCAGGAUCAAAAACCAAAUCACCUGUGCGACAAGAUCGAGGCAUACACUAGAAGAAAACCAGAAAAUUAGGACAAAAUUGAAUUUAAGAAGAAACAAAUAAUAACGCCAGUCCCCGGCAACGGCGCCAAAAAUUGACAGGUCGUCAACCUGUGCAAUAAUAAAAUUAAACCUAAUUGCCAGUUAAAAUGACCAAAACCCAAUUCCAAGUACUGGAGCAGGGACUCUAGGUGUGCAAUGGGUUACUUGAUUCACCCUGUUCCCGAAGAGUUUGCUUGAUCCGAUAUACCCGAAUGGAAUGGUUAUUCCUUUUCACAAAUGAUUAGGAAUUUGUAGACAGGGCAAGUAGGGUCGUAUCCACAGAGACUGGGUAUAUUUGUUUCUUAAGAAAUCCAAAGUAACACAGGGGGUGAUUUUGUAGGAACGACGAUAAUUAAAUAAAUUCAAAUGAGAAAGUAAAAAUAAAUAAUUAACUAGAAAUUAAACCACAAUUUACUGAACUCAGGAUAACAAUAGUUAAAGGCCUCAAUUAAUUAAAAUAAGGAAACAAUCAAAAAUAAAAUAAAGUAGGUAAUUAAAAGUCAAAUGGCAAUCCACUACAAUCAAGGAAAUAUUAACUAAAGAUCUAGCCAAGAAAUAACUUCAGCAAUGGUUCACCUAAUCGAUCAUUGAUGCAAAGCAAUCCCAAUUAUUUACUAAUAAAUAGGUUAUAACUACCAAACAAGCGAUGGCAGUCAACCCCUCCUUACUGUGUCGGUGAUCAAGGUACGCCCGUUAAUCACUGCUCUAAUUGAGAAAUAAUCCUAGGUACGCCCGUAGAAUUUAAUUCCCCAACUGCCUUACGUAUUAGAGGAGCCCUAUUCUACCCAAAUAACACACUACCAGGGUUAUUUUAGAUUAGCCCGCGUAUCCCCCUGACACGAAUCUAAUCGUGCCAGUUGUCACUAAUUUGAGGUAAUUAAACAAUUACGGAUUCAAUACCCCAAUUGACAAUAGAUUAUCAAACCAAUGAAUUAUCCGGAUCCAAGACAAUCAACUAAUUAAAUAAUCAUAAGCACUGCAACCAAGGAAUAUGCGAAUACCAAUAAAUAAAGGAAAAGAUAAAAUUAAAUCGAUCUCACAAUUUACAGGUGAUCCAAAGCAUCAGUCGUUUCUUGACUAGAACGAGGGGGUUAGCUCAUAUUGGAUGAACUAAGCCCGCGGGAAAUUCCAGCAAAAGUCACGGCCGUUGUAUGCAUUUCAAGAGCCGCAAUUCGUCAAACACUUGGAAAGCGAAUGUAAGGCACGGGUAACAAUUGAAGCUUUCUAAUUGUUCCUAGCAUUCGUAAAGCAAAUUCACUCCAGAAGUACAGUGAGGAAAAGUCAAAGAAAGUGGGCUUCAAUUCCUUGCUCCUGACAUGCGUGGAGACAAGCCAAUGCAAGACUACAAUAAACUAACAAGGAAAAGUCAAGAAUUGGAGCUAAGCUCCCCUGCCAUGCGCAGGAAUCCGAAAAGUAAAAAGUAAAGCUUCAAAGAAAAGUCAACAAUUCUUCCUAAGCUACAGACGGAAGAUCCAGCACAAAAGCCAGCUCCCUUUUUUAUCCCUUUUUCCCCCUUCUUAUUGCGGCGGCUCACCAGGAGAGGAGAGCCCUCCGUCCGUCCUUUCUUCCGAAAAUUACCAAAAUGGGCAUGACAUCUUCUCUUCCAAAAGUGCCCCUGGGACAAGCUUUCUCAUCUGAAUUCUUUUUUUUUCCAAUUUGGCACCUGUUAUCAUAUUUAUAUUCUACUCCCUGAAAUAAACGUCAAAUACUAAAAGUGAGUAGAAUCCAGCAAAUAAAUCCACAUCAAGUCAGGUAAUAGGAGGAAUUAAUAAUAAAAUAAAUGAAUAAAUUGCACCCUAUCAGAAAAAUGCAAAAAUUUGUUAUUUAUCAUUAAGGAUCAUAUCGCAUAUAACAUCAAAAAAUAGUAUAUUAUUUAUAUCUUUCACUUAAUAUAAUAUCCAAAUUACUCUUUUCAGUUACAUACCCAUUGUUAGACAAAAUCAACAACAAAUAACCAAAAAAUUUGCAACCAAAAUAUUACCAAAAAAAUAAACUUUAACAUCAUAAAUAUUUUUAUCAACAUAUUAAAGUUAGUUAUUGAAAUUUUUAUGGUGUUAAACUUCACUCUUAGCAAUAUUUUGGUUACAGAUUUUUUUGAUUAUUUAUUGUUGAUCGUGUUUGACAAUGGAUUUGUAACUGAAAAGAAUAAUUUGAAUCUUACAUUAAGUGAAAUAUAUAAAAUAUUAUACUAUUUUUUAUGGCAUAUGUGAUUCUUUUUUUUUUUUUUAUCAGAACGGCAACAUUGUAUUAAUAGUAAACCAAUUACAGUAUAGGUGGGCAACCGCCCUCACAAUCUGCCUGGACUUGUUCCAGCAGCCAAACUGGGAAGUUUUCCUUCCAUUCAGUAUUUUGUUCCAAAGUAAUAGCUACUUUAGCUAGUUUAUGGCUAACAAAGUUGUUCACCCUAUUUGCAAAGGUAAAACAACAUUCAUCAAAUUUUAUUCAUGUACAAUUGUUGCUAUCACCACGUCCUCCUCCUCCUCCUCACUGCACACUACUUGACUACCACCCUUCGCCAACCUUGCUGUUGCAUGUGCAACUAUCAUGGCCUCUCUUAGCGCCUUUGCUUCUUCGACCUUUGGACUGGCACAGCUAAAAUUUGGAACAGCCCAGGCCCACCCGCAAUCUUCCCAACCAAUCCCUGGCCACCCUUUUCCCACCCAGCUUCUAUGGCAUGUGUGAUUCAAUCCUUCUUGAUAGGAUUGGUAAUAGAGGCAGAGGGGGGAGCCGGCUGCAUCCGGUCUACUUUUCAUAGAUAGUACAAUAUUGCGAAAUCGAUCGCAUUCACACAAGAAUAUUUCGAAGUCAUUGCAUCGCUAAGUUGCAAAAAAGUACAAACACUUGUUAUUAUAUAGCUUAAGAUUCAAAACUUUAGAGCACAACCCUCCACCUAACACAAUUGAAUAAUGAAUAUUCACGAUUGUCAAAUCUGUCAAAGCACAGUUUGAGGACAACCCAUUCCAACCUGCAAAAGAUUUUUGACUUUUUUAAAGUUGUUGAGAGCUGUAAAAAGACUUACCAUGCUUACAUCUUCCGAGCCUUGGGAGUUAAAAAUGAAGGCACUGAGUGCUAUAAAAAGGGGGCUAGAGGCUGCCUAGAAGCAUAUCAGCCUAAAACAAGAAUUUGUAGUUAUGAUGGGAAGCAAAGCAAAAGCAAUGGGGUCUGGGCUGACUCCUCUUCUUACCACUGUUUUAGUGGUAUUUGUUGCUCUUGGCUUGCCCUCAGAAACUGCAGCUGAUGAUCACUACAAGUAUUCAUCUCCUCCUCCUCCUUACCACUAUCCCUCACCACCACCUCCAGUGCAUUUACCUCCACCAGUGUACAAAUACAAGUCCCCACCACCACCUCAUCAUGUUUACAAGUACAAAUCUCCACCACCCCCACCACCACACCCAGUUUACAAGUAUAAGUCGCCACCACCACCUCCUCAUCCGGUAUACAAGUACAAGUCUCCUCCGCCACCUCCUCAUCCGGUACCACACCCAGUUUACAAGUAUAAGUCACCACCACCACCUCCUCAUCCGGUACCACACCCAGUUUACAAGUAUAAGUCUCCUCCGCCACCAGUUUACAAAUAUAAGUCUCCUCCACCACCACCUCCAGUGUACAAAUACAAGUCUCCACCACCACCAGUUUACCACUACAAGUCUCCACCACCUCCUCCCCCAGUUUACAAAUACAAGUCUCCACCACCACCACCACCAGUUUACCACUACAAGUCACCACCACCUCCUCCCCCAGUUUACAAAUACAAGUCUCCACCACCUCCUCACCACUACUAAGCAAUUGCUUCUGAGGUAAUAACACUUGUUCAAUAUACCCACUUCUGCAUGAUAAAGCAUAUCUCUAUCAACACAAACUGUCAUGUCUAUCAUGCUAAGUGCCUUCACUUCAUCCACCAAAAUGACUGCUAGAAAAUUUUUUUUAUGUUACCAAAGAAAGGCAUCAUUUUUUCCCUCUGUUAUCAAGAACUUGUACAGUAUAUAGAUUAAAGAGUAUUUUUUUAACUAGCUUAUCAACUGAGAAAUGCAUAUAGCUGAUAGCCAGCUGAAUAUUUGCAGGCAAAGGAGAAGGAAACCAGUGUUUGAGACCUUCUUGAAGAUGUAGAAGCAUAAGAAUUAAAGCCCAAUGUGAAGAUGAUGAUUUCAAGUUUUUCUACGUUACCAUUUCUUUAUCUAAAUUGGUUGUAGCGCCUUAGUUCCUUUGUUUAUGGGAUUUGUAUCGUUUUACGUACCAUGCAGUACAUGUCAUGUUUGUAAGGUUUUCUAUCCUGCCGGCAAACCGCAGGUUCCAUGUAAUAAAUCAAUACUAUUUAUAUUACGACACUUUUCUCUGUUUCUCUUAUAUUUUGUCGUCUUUAAUAUUCUUAAUCAUAUUUUUAACAAAAAUAUUCAAACACUUAGGCAAUCUGGUCUAAUGCUAAUUGUAUGUUUUACUUUUCUUUUUCACCUGCUCCCCUUUUCAACUCAAAAGGAUGCAAUAGUUUGUGAUCACUGUUGAAGACGGAAGCAUGAUACUAAUGAAUAUAUCAUUGAAACUCAAGGAAACUAACAUUAUGAAAAGUGUAAAUCUUGAUUUGAUGCAACUAUUUAUUCGUGGAAUCUAUAGUUACAAAACUCAAACUCUGACUGCGCCAUUGAUAAAUUAUUAAUGACGCUAUCAUCAUUAUUUAUCCCCAACUAGUUUCGACUACAACUGAACCCAAUAUUUUCCCCAUGAUAAAAGUUUUUUACUAUUUUACUGGCCUCUCUUCAAAUUUUAAAAAUUACACUAAUCUUCAUUGAGAUUAAUUAUCUUGUAGCAUUUAAGUCCAAUUAAUAAUUAAAAAAUAAUAUUAUGAGAGAGAAAAUAAUAUAAUUUUAUCAUUGCCCCCCAUCUUGCUAUAUUAUUUAAUUAAUUUAAUAGCAACCCACACAUUAAAGAAAAAUACUAAAAUUUGCUGCUUUUCAUUAAAGAUCAAAUUGCAUAUGCCAUAAAACAUAGUAUAUCAUUCUAUAUGUUUCACUUAAUGUAAGAUCCCAAUUGUUCUUUUCAAUUACAAACCCAUUGUCAAACAUGAUCAAUAACAAAUAACCAAAAAAUUUGCAACCAAAAUAUUACAAAAAAAAACUUUAACAUCAUAAAUAUUCUUACCACCUCUAGUGCAUUCACCCUCAUAAAAUAAUUCAAGACCCUACUGUCAUAAAAUGACUGAUCAACUCCUGUAAACCUAAUUUGACAACAUUUAAAUGGAGAACUUUAGCUAAAAGAAUUAUGGUCAAGCUAAAGAAAAAACCAGUUAUUUUCCAACAUAUGCAAUCAUUGAUCAGGGAAAAAAAAAAGAAGCAAAAAGACAUCUUCAAUCAUUUAAUAGCUUACAGGGCAAAUUAACCCCUAAGCGAAAACUGGUUGCUCUAGAAUCAAAAUUUUACUUUAGUUACCCAGGCAACUUUUUUUGUUGCCUUUUCUUUUUCUUUUUUGGGUAUAUAUAUAGCUCCAGUUUUGCCCCCUCUGUCAAGCUUAUAUAAUUAUUAAGAUAAUAAAAGUGCCUUUAAUAGUAUUAAUAUAUCCAUUGACUUGAGCUGUCAUCGAUCGGUUUGGGCUACUUCGAUUCCAUGAGAACAAAUGGUAAUAAAAGUACUCAGAAAAUGGGGAGUCAUGAAACCCUUUUGUUCUAUUCAUUGCUAAGAUGCUUUUCUCUAUAAAGACACUUCCUAACGAAAAUACUUUGUAGAUUUCUUUACUCCAAGUGGUGCAUGGAAAAUUAAUAUUUUCAAUUAUCAAAUAAAAUUCCCUUUUUUCGGUGUAGAUUUCAUCCAUUCAGCUGUUAACACUCCGAAUUGACUAAUCUUUUCGUUUCCAUUUUCCAACUUGCGAAUACGGCAUCUUACAUAUUGUCUGCUGAAUAUGAAUACAUAUCCCUUUUCUGAGCAGGUGCAGAGUCAUUAUCAUUUUUAUUCCCACCUAACAAAUUAGUUAAUAAUCUUUUAAAGAACAUGUUAAAUUAAUUUAUUGGUAUGAAUAGUAGUCAAAGAAGUAUGUUAAAGUUAGUAAUCUUUAAAAUAAUAUGUUAAAAUUAUUCGUACAAAUUAGCCAGAGAAGUAGCAUAAACACCGCGAUGCAAUUAAUACUUUCAAUCUCAAGGUCUCUAUUAUGGAAAUUUGCAUCGGUCAACAUACACAAAGCAUUAUUGUAUGCACGUCUCUCUAUUAUGGAAAUUUGCAUAGGUCAAUAUACACUUGGCAUAGUUGCAUGCACGUCCAAUUUUUUUUUAUUUUUAUUUUUGGUAUUUUACUUCCUGCCUUAAGUUGCCUGCAGAUGUUUGUAUUACAAAUAUAUGGUAUACUAAAUAUAUAGUAUGCACAUUAAUUUCUUUGGGUUGCUUAAGGGUAUAUUGUUAAUAAUAGGGGGUUUAACCAUAAAUUAUAACAAUGAUGAAGUAAUAUAUAUUAGAAAAUUAACACAAUUAUGAUUUUUUUUUUUGUAAAAUUCAAAUUUUAUUAAUAAGAAAUGAAAUAGGCAGUAAGCAUUUACAAACCGAAAACAAAAUCCUACAACAACUCUAGGACUCUACACCUUAUUAAAAAAAAACAUUUUGAUAGCGUUUUUCCAAAAGCAGAAGAUGGAAAAUUGCCCAUUUGUACUGGGGAGUUCGUGAUCUUUUCCUCAUUCUAGUCUACUUACAAUUCUUGGAAAAAGGAAUACUCACAUCUCAAACAACAGCCUGUUCAUCUGCAGUGUCCUGCCGAAUUCUAGAAAGUUUGGUGGCAAUGUUAAUUACAUUUCAAAAUUGACUGCUGCGAUAACUAAUUCGAUGGCUUACUACAUGGUCAACGUUUGGAUCUCUUCCUGUCCUUUUUGGAUGCACAUUUUUUUUCUCUAGGUAAUAUAUAAUCUCCCAACUCAUUUCUUUACAAAUGCACCUUUAAUCACCACCAAAAGGUGUGGACAUGAUCUUUACCCUAGAAAACUAUUCACCGACAGGCAAAUUGACGUCAGAAAUACUAAGAGGAAUUCUAGUUUCCUUCGGGUUAAUGCCAUUUUGUACCCUUCAACUGUAACUCAAUUUCUAAGCUGUAAUUUGUGACAUUAUAGUCCUUAAACUAUGAAACCCUUUCUUAUUUAAUUACAAUGGUUAAUACAAUGCCCGUGACUAGACAAGUAUGAAGCAACCAUAACAAAAAAAAAAUCCAAAAUUAGAGAAAAGAAAGAAGUUGCGACCAAAGUAUGUAUCAAGGCAUAGUAUAGAAAUAAAAGUGUCAAAAUUAAGAGUUUAGGGAUAAAAAAGAAUCAAAAUAUAGUUUAGGAAUUGAUUUGUCUCAAUUAGAGUUUAGAUGUCAACUAAGAAGAGAGAUAUAGUUGAAGGGUAGAAUAUAGAUAUAACAGUUCAAUGAUUGAUAUCAACGAGACAAUGACAACUUUGGAUUAUUACCAACCUCUUCUUGAUGGAAAAGGAAAUAGAGAAGAAAGUCGGGCCUGGUCUAAGCCUGUUUCGGAGGCAAAACAACAUUAUGAAAUCACCGGCAUUCACACAAAUAUGUCAAAGUCACCGGCAUGCUAAGUUGCAAAAUUUAUACAAACACUGAAUAUUAUAUUCUUCUCAAAAUUUUUGUUUAAGAUUUAACAAUUAGAGCACGGUACACGAAUUAGCAAUAUUAAAUAAUGAAUGUUCACGAUUGAUAAAGUUAUCAAAGUACAGUUUGAGGACAACCCAUUCCAACGUGUACAAGAUGUUUAGCCUUUGAAAAGUUAAUUAGAGAAGGUGACGAGAUUUUACUAGGCUUACAACUUCUAGGCCUUGGGAGUAAAAAGUGAAGACACUGAGUGCUAUAAAAAGGGGGCUAGAUGUUGCCUAGAAGCAUAUCAGCCUCGGACCACAUUUUGUAGCAAUGGGGAGCAAAGCAAAAGCAAUGGGGUCUAGGCUGACUCCUCUUUUUACCACCGUUUUAGUGGUAUUUGUUGCACUUGGCUUGCCUUCAGAAACUGCAGCUGAUUACGACAAGUAUUCACCUCCUCCUCCUCCUUACCAUUAUUACUCACCACCACCUCUUGUGCAUUCACCUCCACCACCGCCAGUUUAUAAGUCACCCCCACCACCUUAUCACUACUUCUCACCACCACCUCCAGUGUAUCCAUCUCCACCACCAUCUGUUUACAAGUCACCUCCACCACCUUCGCCAGUAUACAAGUCCCCACCACCACCUUAUCAAUAUUCCUCACCACCACCUCCAGUGCAUUCACCUCCACCACCACCGAUUUAUAAGUCACCUCCACCACCUCCUCCAGUUUACAAGUCCCCGCCACCACCUUACCAUUAUUCCGCACCAUCACCUCCAGUGCAUUCACCUCCACCACCACCGAUUUACAAGUCACCUCCACCACCUCCUCCAGUUUACAAGUCUCCAUCACCACCUUACCAUUAUUCCUCACCACCACCUCCAGUGCAUUCACCCCUACCACCACCGGUUUACAAGUCUCUGCCACCACCUUACCAUUAUUCCUCACCACCACCUCCUAUGCAUGCACCUCCACCACCAAUAUACAAGUCACCUCCACCACCUCCUCCAGUUUACAAGUCUCCACCACCACCUUACCAUUAUUCCUCACCACCACCUCCAGUGCAUUCACCCCUACCACCACCAGUUUACAAGUCUCCGCCACCACCUUACCAUUAUUCCUCACCACCACCUCCUGUGCAUGCACUGCCACCACCAAUUUACAAGUCACCUCCACCACCUCCUCCAGUUUACAAGUCCCCACCACCACCUUACCAUUAUUCCUCACCACUACCUCCAGUGCAUUCACCUCCACCACCACCGAUUUACAAGUCACCUUCACCACCUCCUCCAGUUUACAAGUCUUCACCACCACCUUACCAUUAUUCCUCACCACCACCACUCUUCAAUUUGGAUGUAAUUCAAUUUUCCUUGUAAUCGGUGGCCCUCCUUCGGAAUCCAAAUAGUCAUUGAGUGCAGCCUUCUUUCUUUAUUUUUUACUCAUUUUCACCUCAUAAAUUGCUUUCAUCCCCUAAAACUUGUUCGCUGGAAUUUUGAAUUUACCCAUACAACUAAACUCAGAAAAUUCUUACACAAAGGGAUUAGUAGCAUGAAUAGCAAACACAGAAUAAGAGAUAACAGUAUGUUUUAUUGUAUUAAAAAUAUUAAAGUGGAUUAUUUCUCCAUCGAAUUCCAUUGUGAGAGUAUCGUUACUAACAUCAAUCUUAGUUUGAGCAGUACUCAAGAAUGACCUUCCUAAUAUAAUGGGUGAUGGAUUUGGGACACUUUCAUCAUCCAUAUAAAACACAUAAAAAUCAACAGAAAAAAUUAAUCCAUCUACUUGAACUAAAAACAUCCUCAACUACCCCAUUUAGAUAAGCAAAUAUACGAUCAGCCAAUUGAAUUAUUAUCCCUAUUUCUUUUAAAUGUUCUAAAUUUAGGGAAUCAUAAAUUGAUUUAGACAUCACAUUAAUAGAAAUCUUUAAAUCUAUCAUGGCAUUUUUUAUAUUAGAAUGUCCAAUCUUACAUGAGAUAGUAAACAUACCUAGAUUCUCGCAUUUAGGUGGUAGUUUCCUUUGUAAAAUUGCUGAAACGUUCUCAUCUACCACAAUAUGCUUGUCCUCCUCAAUUUCUUCUUGUUGACACACAAGUUUUUCAAGCAUUUAACGUAUUUUGGAACUUAUUUGAUUUGCGUCCAACAAAGGGAUAUUGAUUGCCACCUUGCGAAAAUCUCUAAAAUCUCCUUUUCUUUAUCUUGUUUCUUUGAUUUCUCUAACCUGCUUGGAAAAGGUGGUGAGUUAGUUCCAACUCUAAUUAUAGAAUCAACAAUUACCUUUGGAUUCACAUUUCUCAUUCCUUCCUCCUCAAGCUCUUUGUCGAUUCGAUCUUCAUUUUUAUCCUUUGGAAUCACAACUUCGGAUCCCUGAAUUUUCUUCUCGCUCCUUAAGGUCAUUACACUUACAUUCUUCAGGUUCAGUUCAGGUUGAGACGACAAUUUUUCAUAGAUUUGGGAUUCCAGGCGGUUGAUUGCUAUUACCAUCUGACUCAUCUGACUCUGCAGUGCUUGCACCUGUCCCAAUUGAUUCCUCAUACUUUGCAAGUCAAAAUCCAUCUUUUGUUGAUUAGCAAUUAAUUGCUUCAUUAUCUCUUCUAUAGAUGGACUUGAGUUUGAAAGAGGUGGUGGCGGGCGAGACUGAUACUGUUAUUGAUACCCUUGCUAUCUAUUUGGUGCAAAAUCUGGCUACCUAUUUCCUCCAUAGCUGAGGUUGGGAUGAUCUCUCCAACCAAUAUUGUACGUAUUCGUGUACGAGUCGUAUGGUUUUCUUGGCACGGCGCGUGACCAGCCAUGUUCACUUGCUCCGUACUUUUCUCUUGAAUCAUUGAGCACAUCUCUGUAGAAUGACCCAUAGCAGUGCAGAUCCCACACAUCUUGACUCGUGAUGCAUUUCCUAUAGCUAAUUGCCUAACAAAGGAUGUUAAUUCGGUCAACUGCUGUUGGAUAGAAUAUGUUUCUACCUCAUUUACUUUGCGUGUUGGGGCAUCCUCCCUCGUACCAAACUGUUGCGAAUUUUCCGCCAUUCCUUCAACUAGCUCCCACGCUUCUCGAGAAGUCUUGUUCACCAAUGCCCUUCUACUUGCAGCAUCAAUUAUACUCCUGUCUCUAAAACGCAGCCCCUCGCAAAAAUAUUGGAUGAGCAAUUGCUCACUUAUUUGGUGUUGAGGGAACUUGAUGCAUAACUUCUUGAAUCGCUCCCAAUAAUCAUAAAGCGACUCUCCUGGAUGCUACUUGAUACCGUAUAUCUCCUUCCUUAGACUUGCAGCUCGAGAUGCAAGAAAAUAUUUGUCCAAGAACUUUUUCUUCAGCUGAUCCCACGUGGUGAUGCUACCUGGUGGUAGAUAGCACAGCCAGUCUUUUGCGGAGUCCUUCAAGGAGAAGGGAAAUGCCCUCAUUUUUAUCUAUUUUUCUGUAAUUCUCGGAGGUUUUAUGCUGUUGCAAACGACAUCAAACUCUUGCAAGUGCUUAUACGGUUCCUCACCUGGUAAACCAUAGAAAGAUGGCAAGAGAUGAAUUAGACCAGAUUUUAACUCAAAUGAAGUGUUAUCAUUUAAAAAUAGAAAAGUAACUGAGAUGCAGCACUGGAAUGUUCUUCUCGAAAUUGUCUGGUCUCUUUCUUUGUUCUACGCGUAGUCUUCUCUACCUUAGGAUCAAAAAUUAAUUUACCUGUACGAGAAGAACGAGGCAUACACUAGAAAAACACUAGAAAAUUAGAACAAAAAUGAACAUAAAAAGAAACAAAUAAACCAACGUCAGUCCCCAGCAACGGCGCUAAAAAUUGACAAGUUGUCGAUGCCUGUGCAAUAAUAAAAAUAAACCUAGUUACCAAUUAAAAUAAUCAGAGCCUAAUUCUGAGUACUAGAGCAGGGACUAUAGGUGUGCAAUGGGUUACUUGAUUCACCCUAUUCCUGAAGUUUGCUUAACCCGAUAUACCAGAAUGAGAUUGCUUAUUCAAAAGGAAUUAUUGAUUUGUAAACAGGGCAAGUAGGGUCGUAUCAUCAGGGAUUGAAAAAAUUUGUUUCUUUUCAAAUCCACAGUAACAAGGGGAUGUUUUUGUAUAAAUGAUAACAAUCUAAGGAGUGCAAAUAGAAAUAAAUAGAUAACUAGAAAUUAAAUGACAAUUCACUAAAAUUAGAGUAAUAAUAAUUAAAGGUCUAGCUAAGAAAUAACUUCAGCAAUGGUUCACCUAAUUGAUCAUCGACGCAAAGGCAAUUCCAAUUAUUUACUAAUAAAUAGGUUAUAACUGCAAAACAAGCAAUGACAGUCAACCCCUCCUUACUGUCGGUCGGUGAUUAAGGUACGCCCAAUCACUGCUCUAGUUGAGAAAUAAUUUUAGGGACGCUCGUAAGAUUUAAUUUUCCAAUUGCCUUACGUAUUAGAGGAGCCAUAAUCUAACCAAAUAACGCUACCAGGAUUAUUUUAAAUUAACCCGUGUAUUCCCUUGAUACAAAUUCAAUCAUGUCAGUUGUCACUAUUUCAAGGUAAUGAAACAAUUACGGAUUUAAUAUCCUAAUUGACAAUAGGUUACUAAAUCAAUUCACUAUUUCGAUCCAAGAUAAUCAAUCAAUUUAACAACUAAUAGCACUGCAAUCGGAGAAUAUGUAAAUACCAAUAAAUAAGAGGAAAAGAUAAAAUUAAAUCGAUCUCACAAUUUUUAAACAAAUCAAAGUAUCCGUUGUUUCUUGACUAGAAAAGAAAAUUUAGUUCAUUCCUAAUGUGAAAGACCCACGUGAGAAUUCAAAAAUAAUAUUCACGGAUAUUGUCUUGAUUCAAUAGAUUCAAUUGCGUUGGAAUAAGGAUAAAAAGCCAAACUAUAGAGAGUGAUUCAAUGUUUUGUUUCGUUUGCAUUUUUUCUACACAUAUGGAAGAAGAAAAACAACUAAAGGACGAAAAAAAAAAGUCAAAGAAAGGCACCCAAAGUAGUGCUUGGUCUCUACCAUCCUAUUUCCUAUCUAAUUACUACUUCCCUUCUGCGGCUGCCUAGAGGAAGAAAGAGAAAGCAGACUUCAGGUCUUGUUCCAUCUCCUCCCUUUUCGGCAAUUCCCCAAAAGUAGAAAAGUUCCUCCGUUUACCAAAAUGCCCCUGGAAUGAGGACUGCUACUUGAACUCAUUUUCUUGAUAACUGUCAAAUUAGCACUUGUUAUGGUAUUUGCGUCUACUUCCUGUAAUAAAUGUAAAUUGCCAAAAGUGAGUAAACUGAUAAUUAAUUUACAUCAGGUCAGGUAAUAGGAAAAAUUAAUUAUAAAAUAAAUGAUAAAAUUGCAACCUAUCACUUAGAAUAACCAGAAAUAAAACAAAACAAGAAAUGAAAGAAAUAAGAGGGUAGCAUAGACAUUUUGGAUUUUUCUGUUAAUUUGGAUGAUUUCCACCUACGGUCUAAUUUAAUCCAAAACACAAAUGGAUUAUGUGGAGAUUUUUAAACAAUGAGGGAGUAUCGUGACCGAAUCCCAAACCACAAAGGGGAUUUACUAUAUUUUACUCUUAAAUUUUGGUUUCAUCUCAUAGCAUACAAGAGUACUAUUUCACUGUCUGUCGACCAGGGAGGAGGGUUGGGUUGGGUGGUACGGGGGAGGGAGUCUAAGUAAGAGGUCUCAGGUUCGAAUCCUCCUGUUUAUACUAAAAAAAAAAAUUUACUAUCUGUCGACAAAGAUUUUCUAUGGUUGAUGUACCAUAGGAAAAAUCUGCCUAUACAAUUAUUUGGAAAAAUUAUCCAUCCAAACAUAGUCACGAUAGCAUUUUUUCAAAAACACUAGAUGCAAAAUUGUCCCCUUAAACGUGGAAAUUCAUGAUCUUUCCUCGACUAGUCUACUUGUCAAUUUUUGAAAAAAGAAUACUCACGCCAAAAACACGGCCUCUUCAUCUGCAGAAUUCUAAAAAGUUACGUAAACUCUAUAAACAAGUUGAUAGGUACAAUCGUACCCAAGAUCAAGUACAGAUAGUUGUACAUUCACUGCUGCAAUAACUAAUCUGAUGACUUACAAACACAUCAUGGUCAAUCGUUGAAUGGUAAUGAGUCUUUUGUUAUGCAUUAGUAUUAGUGUGUACACUCUAAUAGAUUGAUACUUAUACUCUUUAAAUUAUCAUAAUAAUACCCUUAAUUAACUUUAACCCUUAAAAAGAAUACGUGUUAAUACACGAGAGUGUGUAACCUGAAUUGUUACUUAUACAUUAGUGUGUAAUAGAACGGCAAGCAUUAUGGUGGUCAUUGAGCAACUUAUAGGAGAAAUAGUCCUAUAAGCUGUUCAAUGACCAAUCACAACUUGCUAAUUGGAUGACUAAUAUAGCUCUAGCUGUAAUGUUUUAAUUAAAUUCCACACUAACGUUGGGAUGACUUUUUAAUCAAAAAAAAAAAAGCCUUAGUUCAAGCUUUUCCCCUUAUUGUGCAUUUUUUAAAACAUUUGAUAGGCACUGCAAAUCUGUCAUUUUGGACAUUUUAUUAUUAACUAACAAUGAAAGCCGUGGACAUCAACCCAUAUCCAACAAAAUAUUAAAUUAAUAUUAGAAAAAUUAUUAAGUAAUUGGAAAAAAAAAAGAAGAGGCUAAUUUUCAUUGAAACCCACCGACAAACUAUCCGUGUCCAUAGCUUUUGAAUAGUGCAUUCAACGUUUAAUUGUAUGGUCCAGUUCAUUGCCGAUUACAUGGAGUAAAGAUUGUGCUCUUUCCUUUUUCACCCCUUUUGGAAUCGAUACUGUGGAGAAUUGGGUUUUUCCCUCCUUUUUUUCUUUUCUUUCCUUCUGUGCUUUGCAAAACAUACGUAAAAAUAUGAAAUCCGAAGCAUUCUUUAAUUGGGAUUAAGUAUUGUUGUUGAAAUUAAAAAGAAGAAAGAAAGAACAACAAAAAUCCCAAUCUGGGUUGAUUGUUGAGCUCUAGAUUGGCUGCAUCGUGCUUCCAUAGAAGUUCUCUUAGUGUGAUACGCUGCUUUCAAUCAGUUUUAAUAUUUAAGUAGAGUGCAAAAUAACUUUACUAUUUAAUGGGUUAUAAUGCACCAUUUGGUACCUCUCACCCACCUAUGAUUUGAUUUACUACUGGCAUGGUAAUGGACAGAGUUGGGGGAGCAGGAGGAGGGAGAUGGCGGUACCAGUCCGUCAACCACAGCACACCCUCCCUCGGACUUUGCGUGGUAGCGAAGUGGAGGCAGAUCGAGCACACAUGCACUAACGCCUUAAGUAUGUACAAUAUAUGUAUGCCAAAAGCAUAGCCAAGCCUACCAGCGCAUUUCAAUAAUAUAACCCGGAAAUUAAGGGCAUUGAAUUAAGUACGAUGAAUCAUAUUGGUGCACAAUUACAGUUUGAAGCUACCGAUUCGAGUAAAUUUAAGCGUAAGCACAAUCAAUCGCCAGUCAAAUGCUGAAAUAUGCAUAUGCAUGGAUGAAUGUAUGGGUUUCUUAGUUCCAGACCAAAGGCCAACAAUAAGGGAAGGAAGGACAGUUCUCAUUUUUAGCACGGACAAGGAGAUGAAGAAAAGUGUAUGUAGCUUGAGACAGAACAAUGGCAUGUGACCGCUCCUGAGACCACAUAACGUGGGGUGGGGAUGGGACGGCCAAGAAUGAAGAUGCCUGUCGGUCUCUCCGUGCUGCUACCAUAUGAAUCCCCCGUUAACCAAUUCAAGAUAAGCCUGAAGUUCUUUUCAUCCCCAAACCCUGUCCCAUCUGUGUAAAUCCAACAUCAUCAUUUACGACCUGCAACUCAGGUUAAGCAUGUUCUAUUGAGAUUCAGACACCACCCUUCAAAAGAUAUACUACUGUGAAACCAGCAGCUUAAUAUCAUUGUAUAAAAAAAAAAAAAAAAGAAAGAAGAAAAGACAUGAAAAGCAAAUUUUGUGGGGAUAAUUUCAAAAUCUCUCCUAAAGUUUUUUACUAUUUUACUGGCCUCCUUUCAAAUUUUAAAAAUUACACCAGUCUUCCUUGAGAUUAUUUAUCUUGUAACAUUGAGGUCCAAUCAAUAAUUAAAAAAUGAUAUUAUGAGAGAGAAAAAAAAUAAACUUUAACAUCAUAAAUAUUCUUAUCAACAUAUUAAAGUUAGUUACUGAAAUUUUUAUGGUGUUAAACUUCACUCUUUGUAAUAUUUUAGUUACAGAUUUUUUGAUUACUUGUUGUUGAUUUUUUUUUUUUUAGUGUAAACAGGAGGACUCGAACCUAAGACCUCUCACUUACACUCCCUCCCCCCGUACCACCCCAACCCAACCCAACCCUCCCCUCGUUGUUGAUCAUGUUUGACAAUGGAUUUGUAAUUGAAAAGAACAAUUUGGAUCUUACAUUGAGUGAAAUAUAUAGAAUGAUAUACUAUUUUUUAUGGCAUAUGUGAUUCAAUCCUUGAUGAUAAAAGCAAAUUCAAGUGUUUUCUUUAAUGUUUGUGCUGAUAUUAGAUUAAUUAAAUAAUUUAGUAGAUGAAGGAAAAUGGUGAAAUCAUAUUAUCUUCUCUUUCCUAAUAUCACUAUUUAAUUAUUGAUUGAACUUAGAUAUUACAAAUAAUAAAUCUCAAGGGAGAUUAGUAUAAUUUUCAAAUUUUGGAGAGAAGCUAAUGAAAUAGUCAAAAACCUUAAGGGAGGUUUACAAAAUUAUCCCAAAUUUGUGGGAAUUAGAAUAAUUGUACUGGACGGCACUGCCGCAACAGAGGGAAAGAGGAGGAGGUGCAGUUAACUUUUUGUUGUUUGAAAUCCUUGGUGAAAUAUUACAGAAAGACAGAUAAAACAGUUAGUACAUAGAUGUAUAUGACAGGGAAAAUGGUACGUCUGUUAAUCACAUUUGAAACACUUUCAUUGGUGAAUGACGAAAACUAUCAGGCUUGCCCAAUAGUUGAUCAUUGACCAAGACAAAUCUUGCCAUGCUAGAGGUACCAUCUUUUCGUACCUCUUUAGUGCACAGGACAUUCCUUUGUUUCAUCUAGCUAAUAAUCUACCAACUCAUUUCUUUGCAAAUGCACCUUUUAUGGUCACGUCUACGAAAGCUUUACAGGAUCUUUACCCAAAAAAUCAAUUCACCGACUCGCAUUUGAUGUCAAAAUUUCUUUACUUUACUCCAAGAUUGACUGUUAAUAAUAAUGCCACUUUGAAUUAUCACACCAUCCUUCUUGAUAGGAUUUGUGCUAGAGGUAGGGAGGGAGUCGCUGCAGCCGGUCUUCUCUUCAUAGACAGUACAAUAUUGCGAAAUCGAUCGCAUUCACGCAAUAUUAUAUUUCCAAGUCGUUGCAUGGGUAAGCUGCCAAAAAGUACGAACACAUGUUAUUAUAUAGCUUAAGAUUCAAAACUUUCGAGCAUAACCCUCCACCUAACACAAUUGAAUAAUGGAUAUUCACGAUUGUCAAAUCUGUCAAAGUACAGUUUGAGGACAACCCAUUCCAACCUGCAAAAGGUUUUUUUACUUUUCUAAAGUUGUUGAGAGCUGUUAAAAGAUUUACCAUGCUUACAUCUUCCGAGCCUUGGGAGUUAAAAAUGAAGGCACUGAGUGCUAUAAAAAGGGAAUAGAGGCUGCCUAGAAGCAUACCAGCCUAAAACAAGGAUUUGUAGUUAUGAUGGGAAGCAAAGCAAAAGCAAUGGGGUCUGGGCUGACUCCUCUUCUUGCCACUGUUUUAGUGGUGUUUGUUGCUCUUGGCUUGCCCUCAGAAACUGCAGCUGAUGAUCACUACAAGUAUUCAUCUCCUCCUCCUCCUUACACUAUCCCUCACCACCACCUCCAGUGCAUAUACCUCCACCUCAUCCUGUUUACAAGUACAAAUCUCCACCACCCCCACCACCACACCCAGUUUACAAGUAUAAGUCACCACCACCACCUCCUCAUCCGGUACCACACCCAGUUCCUCAUCCGGUGCCACACCCAGUUCCUCAUCCGGUGCCACACCCAGUUUACAAGUAUAAGUCACCACCACCACCUCCUCAUCCGGUACCACACCCAGUUCCUCAUCCGGUACCCACACCCAGUUUACAAGUAUAAGUCACACCACCACCUCCUCAUCCGGUACCACACCCAGUUUACAAGUAUAAGUCACCACCACCACCUCCUCAUCCGGUAUACAAGUAUAAGUCUCUCCGCCACCAACACCCAGUUUACAAGUAUAAGUCACCACCACCACCUCCUCAUCCGGUGCCACACCCAGUUUACCACUACAAGUCACCACCACCACCUCCUCAUCCGGUACCACACCAGUUUACCAUACAAGUCACCACCAAUCCUCACCCAGUUUACAAAUACGAGUCUCCACCACCUCCAGUUUAUAAGUACAAGUCACCACCACCUCCUCCACCAGUUUACAAGUAUAAAUCUCCUCCACCACCACCACCAGUUUACCACUACAAGUCUCCACCACCUCCUCCCCCAGUUUACAAAUACAAGUCUCCACCACCUCCUCACCACUACUAAGCAAUUGCUUCUGAGGUAAUAACACUUGUUCAAUAUACCCACUUCUGCAUGAUAAAGCAUAUCUCUAUCAACACAAACUGUCAUGUCUAUCAUGCUAAGUGCCUUCACUUCAUCCACCAAAAUGACUGCUAGAAAAUUUUUUUUAUGUUACCAAAGAAAGGCAUCAUUUUUUCCCUCUGUUAUCAAGAACUUGUACAGUAUAUAGAUUAAAGAGUUUUUAUUUUAACUAGCUUAUCAACUUAGAAAUGCAUAUAGCUGAUAACCAGCUGAAUAUUUGCAGGCAAAGGAGAAGGAAACCAUGUUUGAGACCUUCUUGAAGAUGUAGAAGCAUAAGAAUAAAAGCCCAAUGUGAAGAUGAUGAUUUCAAGUUUUUCUACGUUACCAUUUCUUUAUCUAAAUUGGUUGUAGCGCCCAAGUUCCUUUGUUUAUGGGAUUUGUAUCGUUUUACGUACCAUGCAGUACAUGUCAUGUUUGUAAGGUUUUCUAUCCUGCCGGCAAACCGCAGGUUCCAUGUGAUAAAUGAAUACUAUUUAUGUUACGACA